rnacentral:lncRNA from 1 species
UCUAAGACAAUACCAUGUGAUCUUAUAUAUGCUCUUGUCUCCUUGUAGAUUCCAUGACUCCAUCCUGAUCCUAUACUACAGUAUAUACUUCCACUAAUAAUUCAAGUAGCCAAUGGUUUCUCAAAAUUCUUUUAUCUAUAUAAAUUUUAUAGGUUAGAACCAUUUAGAACCAACUCUAAUCAUUCACAUCCUAAAAACAUUUGCAAUUUGAAAAACUUGGCUAUUGCUUUUAAUUUUUUUCUAAAACCACUUCUUCUAACUUUUUAACACAUACAACAAUGGGUAUCCGUUUCUCUGGUAUUAUCAGAAGGGCCUCAUUUUCUGCAAACCGAGCAAUAUCAAAAGCUGCGGACAUGCCAAAGAGAUAUCUUGCUGUAUAUGUUGGAUAGAAACAGACACGGCAUGUGAUCCGCAUAUCAUACUUGAACCAACCUUCAUUUCAAGAAUUGUUGAGUCAAGCCGAGGAAGAGUUUGGUUACAAUCAUCCCAUGGGUGGCCUCACCGUUCCUUGCACGGAAGAUGUUUUCCAACAUAUAACUUCUCACUUGAAUGGACUAUGAAUCAAACACCAAAAUAGACUAACGUAGUUUUAGUAGAGAUAAUUUUUUGUAAUCUAGUUAUCUUAUCAGAUUGUAAAGAUGAAAAAUGUCAUUAGAUUGACAAAUUUAUAGCAUAAAGACAUUUUUUAAUGACAAUGAAUUCGACUACUCAAACAUCUCCUUUGUGUUUUUGGUUUAUUGCACUUAAAAACUUAUGAAAUAUGACUAUAUGAGUAAUGUUGCUUGCUAUAAGAAAAUUAAGGGACUAGGUAUCCUGAAAAUUAAGGGAAUUUUUAUUUAUUUUUAAUUUAUUUUUAAUUUUUUUUAUAAACUACAUAACAUUUUCAAAGCUCUUCAUCAAUCAUUUGUGUACCAAAUGGUUUUCCAAACCACUCUUUAUCUAUAUAUAUUUAGAGAUGAUUAUGGUUGCUGUCAGAAACAAUUAACUUCCUCUAAUCAUAGCCUAAUAUUUUAAUUUUUUUCCUAGUUAUUUAUGUUAAACAUAUAAUGGGCGACAUUGUUAUUGAGUAGGGUGAUGGUUCGUAACUAAAUACUAAAUAUUCAUAAAUCUAAAACCUUUUUCCAUCGUUUAUAUUGUAGAUGUUUACAUAUAAUUUUUCAUUAUAUACGCACAAAAUGAUUCUAGUAACCUUGACACACAAGUAAUUUAUUGCAGCCUUUCCAAUAUACUGUCAAGAAAAGUUGCAUUUAUGAUCUUAAAUUCAUGAUGUUAACUUGGAGUGUCUUCUGGUAAUGUUUGAUCAAUAAAUUUGUGUUUCAACAUGAGGAGAUAUAUUUAUGCAAUAAAUUUAUUUUCUUUUUGAUUCUGGAAUGAAUUCAUAUAGCAAACUAAUGAUGCUGUAUAUAAUAGAAUUUGUUGAGAUUUAGAAUAAGCUAAAAAUGAUUUAACAAUAUCUUGUACCAACAUUCUCAUUGAGGGAACAUUUUGUUUCCGUAGGAAUGAGUGUUACAUGGCAGAAACAAAAUGAACAAAAUAUUCAAAACAGAUAAAAAAAAAAAAGCCUUCUAUGCAAAUUAGAAUGAACUAAUCUAUAUUAAUCUCUAUUAGCAUGAUAUCUACAGCUCAAUUCAUGCGAGAAGUGAGGUUUCGGAAUUCAUCCUCGCUGCACGGAAUGGUAAGACCACCCAUUGGAUGAUCAUAUCCAUAUUCUUCUUCAGAUUGAUUUAGCAAUUCUUGAAAUGAAGGUUGGUUCAAGUAUGAUACUGGAAUCACAAACCGCCUCAUUUGAUCUCCAACAUAGACUGCGAGAUAGCCUUUUGGGACUUCGAAUCCUUUACUAGAUGCUUGUGUUGACGAAAAUGAUGGCAUUCUGAUAAGCUUUGCUAUGCGGAAACCCAUUGUUUUUUUCUUUUAUUGUUAGAGGAUUUGGAUGGGAAAUAUAUAUUUGACUUAUGAUAAUUUAGGAUGCAAAAGACUUACGUUGCUUGAGAACCCAUGGAAUAGUGUAUAUAUAGAAGCUAAGGAACUCUACAAAAUCAAUUAGCCAAUGAAAGUAUUUUGGUGAGCUGUGAUAGGGCCUAGUGACGGACAAGGGAUCACAUGGUAUUGUACUAUUGUCUUAUAGAAGUCAUUUUCAAGGAUUAUAGAUGAAGUUAAAUGGAAGAACAUUCAAAUACCCCACUUUGUAACACAACUAUGGAAAAAUUAAAGACAGUGGAUUGGUGAAAGAAACCUGAUGUUUGUUAUUGAAUUUUGGUAUAGCUAAUGCAAUGGUAGACAUGGUUUAGACAUCUCACAUCUUUCUUCUAAUUGACAAGGAAACUAAUAUACAUAUACCAGCUAAAUAAAUCAUAUUUAUGUGCCACUUGUAAAGCUUGCGUAGGACCUGAUUUAUAGUUCAGAAGCAGUGUUAGGAGGAAAAACGAGAACAAAUAUUGAACACAAGAUCACAAACCACCAGGAACCACAAUUUAUAUUUUUGCCAGACAAACUCCAUGAUAUUUGCAUACCUGAACGGAACUUUGCGGUCCCUGCCUUGCUAAAUAAGUAACAAGGUUAAUUAAACUUUCUCUUGCAUUGAUAAACCUGUUUUCAUGUAGGGAGAUAUAUGUUGGUGUAUUAUCUAAGACAAUUCCAUGCGAUCUUAUCUAUGAUCUUGUCUCCUUUGUAGAUUAUUUCUCGUUCACUAGUCAUUCAAGUAGCCAACAGUUUUUCCAUAUUCUCUUAUCUAUAUAUAUUAAAGGCUACAAGCAUUUAGGACCAACACAAAUCAUUCACAUCCUAAACCAUUCCAAUUUCAAAAACUUGCUUCUUGCUUACAGGUCUUUUUUUAAAACUGAAUAUUCUCAAGUUUUAACACAUACAACAAUGGGUUUUCGUUUUGCUGGUAUCAUCAGAAAGGCAUCAUUUUCUGCAAACCGAUCAGCUUCGAAAGCUGUGGACGUGCCAAAGGGAUAUCUUGCAGUAUAUGUUGGAGAGAAACAAAAGCGGUAUGUGAUCCCAAUAUCAUACUUGAACCAACCAUCAUUUCAAGACUUAUUGAGUCAAUUUGAGGAAGAGUUUGGAUAUGAUCAUCCCAUGGGUGGCCUCACCAUUCCUUGCACCGAGGAUGUAUUUCAACAUAUGACAUCUCGCUUGAAUGGCCUAUGAAUCUGACACCAAAACAGACUGACAUAGUUUAGUAGAAAUAUUUUUUUGUAUUCUAGUUAUCUCAUCAAAUUCUAAAAGAUGAGAAGGAAAUGACCAUUAGAUUAGCAAAUUGUAAAUAUGUUUUGUUUAAUGAGAAUGAAUUCAACUACUCAAGCAGCUCUUUUACGUUUUUGGUUUAUCGCACUUAAUGAACUUAUAAACUUAUGAAAUACGACUAUAUGAGUAAUGUUGUUUACUAAAAGACAAAAAUACUUUGUAUUCUGAAACAUUUCAAAGCAGGACUAGAACACAUAUUCCUACAAGGGUAUAGCAAAAUUAAUUUUCAUAGGACAAAGGUGAAACAUAAAUUUACAAAGUUUUCUUUUUAAUAACUACAUAACAUAGACAUGAGGUAACUUCCCUUCAUAAAGAACAAGUGCACAAUAACAAUUCAGUAACAAGGUCAAUUAUUUCACUGAAUGACACAGGCCUCAUUCCAUGGUCCCUGUUAGGAUAUCCUUAUUUAAAGAGUUGAAUGGUUAGUACUUAGUAGGCUAUAUUAUAUGACAGGGUUUAGUAUGAGACAAUGGCUCACGAACCUCCACAUGGUGUUUUAGAAUAAUGGCCCACUUUGAAGAUGAGUUGCCCACAUUUUUAUUGCUCGAAUAAUUACCUUGUUCUUUCAUCCACAUACACUUGUUUUGUCGUUUGCACACAACGUCAACUUGAUAUGCCACUGACUACCAUUAUCAAGAGUAAUUUUGAUACAACGUCACCUUUAGUCAACAAUCAGCUCUGAUACCACUGUUGGAUCAUGAGGGGAGCCUAGGGUUAAUCACAUUGGCCUAGAGCAAUCACAUAAGUGGCUUCGACAUCACAUCUUGAAUCAAAACCAUUUGCCAUCAGAUAAAUGAGUCAUUUGUCCUAACAAAUAAUGCAUCGCCAAAAUGAAGGAAUGAAUAUGACAGCUAAAGGAAAUUUCUUCAAUUGUUGAUACAUUAGCUGCACAUUACUAUCAGUCAUUGGUCUGCUAGAAGCAUAAAUUCAAUGGUUGCGUGUUAUAAUGUCUUCUGCAGUCAAAAUCAAUGGCUUUCUUUAUCAUAACAGCUUGCAGGACUAGUACUUUGUGAAUAGCACGGAAAGUCCUUUUGAUUGAAUAGUCUUCAUUGUUGUAUAUAUGGUGGGAAUUGAUUAUGAGUAAUCACAUGACUUGGCAGUUGGUAAGGACCCUACACACUUGAACUUUCAGGUGAAGUUUUCAUCUCUUCAAAGUCAUGAAUACAUAUGCACGCCAAUGAUCCUAUAGUCCCAACUAUAGUAUUAUAUGAUAUAAUGAGGAAGGGAAAGAAAGACCUCACACUAACAAUUAUUAAUAAUUAAUCAUAACCGUUGAUUGAUAUUAAAAUGGAAGGUCAAAAUUUGGAGUAACUAUAGAGACUUACUCUUGAUCUUGGAGUCAAUAUAUUCCUCCUCUAAUGAAAUAUAUCUUCAAAAUGGUUACGAUUUAAAGAAUUAAAAUAAAUCAAUGAGUUAAUAUAACCAUUGUCAAUGGACUAAAACAAUUUUAUUAAAGUAUUGCACAUGAUUAAACAAUUGUAGUGGAUGCCACAUGUAAUGUUUGUUUAGAAUGUCAAGGAGACAUGUCAUGUGUAUUUAGGUAUUCUAUUGAUUGUGAAUUGUAUGGUAUACAUAUGAGAUGUCACAAUUUUUUUUUUGUUUGAGGGAAUGUCACAUUUAACUAUUGUCAUGUAUUUAACAAUUGCACCAAUUUUAGUGAUAACCUAGUCACCAAGAAAACCCCUAUUAAAAAUAUUCAUACACGAUCUUGAUUUGGUCAUUGCUUUGGUCAUUAGGGAACAAAUAGUCAAAUAGUCAAUAAUAUAAUAAUUGUAAGGCUAAAAUAUGGUUUAGUCCCUGCAAAUAUGGCUCGUUUUGGUUUUAGUCCCUGCAAAAUAUUUUGUUUUUGAAAAUAGUCCCUGACCCCACUUUUGUGAUGAUUUGCAUACGUGGCACAAUAUAACUAAACCAAUUUUGUAGUUUUUGGUCCCUGCAAAAUAUUUUGUUUUUAAAAAAGGUCCCUGCAAAUAUUUUUGUUUUUGAAAAUAGUACAGGGACUAUUUUCAAAAACAAAAAUAUUUGCAGGGAUCAAAAAUAACAAUUUUUUUAUACAGAGACUAAAACGAAAAUGAGACAUAUUUGCAGGUAUUAAAACCAUAUCUUAACCUAAUUGUAAUAUCUUAUCUGUGUCUUAGACUAUCAUUUAUAAAUUAUAAACUCAAAUCUCAAAGUUAACAUUUAUAAGGGACAAUUGUGAAUUGUGUGAAGCUUGUGCCUUGAACCAACACAAAGAAGAAAAAAAAGAUGGAAACAAAGAAAGUUCCAGAGGUGGUACUAAAUUCAGGGAAAAAGAUGCCAAUGAUAGGCUUUGGAACAGGAACAACUCCUCCUCAACAAAUUAUGCUUGAUGCUAUUGACAUUGGCUACAGACAUUUUGAUACUGCUGCUCUUUAUGGUACUGAAGAACCUCUAGGCCAAGCUGUGUCAAAGGCUUUAGAGCUAGGCCUCGUUAAAAAUCGCGAUGAACUCUUCAUUACUUCCAAGUUAUGGUGUACUGAUGCUCAACAUGACCUUGUUCUCCCAGCUCUCAAAACCACCCUCAAGCAAGCAUAAUUUUCUUAACCUUUUUUCUACUUCUUUCUAGUUUGUGCAUUUUAUUACUUGCCUAAUAUUAUUGUUUUGGUUUUUUUGGAUUGAAAUUUUUAGAAAUCUGGGAUUGGAGUAUGUUGAUCUCUAUUUGAUUCACUGGCCAGUAAGGUUGAAACAAGAUGCUGAAAGCUUAAAAUUUAAAAAGGAGGAUAUGAUUCCCUUUGAUAUAAAAGGAACAUGGGAAGCUAUGGAAGAAUGUUAUAGAUUGGGCCUAGCAAAGUCUAUUGGUGUCAGUAACUUUGGUGUCAAAAAGCUCUCCAUACUCUUAGAAAAUGCCGAAAUCGCUCCUGCAGUUAAUCAGGUAAAAGAAUUUAGCACUAGUUGAUUUGAUUCAUUUUGACAUAUAGAUCAAAUACACUUAAUUGGUUGCCUAAGUCACUUCAAAAUCGAAAAGCAUCAGACAUGUAUAAACGUAUCCGAUACUGAUACAUGUCAGACACUUCCCUAUAUGAAAAGUAUCCAAUAAUUUAUUCUCAUUCUUUCUAGAAAUAUUUCCACUGAAACUUCUCGAAUACAUUUUCAUUACUUUCGUACCGACUAAGCACACAAUUGUCAUCUAUAUAUGAUACAUCUUACUAAUCAUAGAGACACAGUGUUAUAUGUUUUUGUUACAAAUUUUUGUUUGGAUUUAGGUGGAGAUGAACCCAUCAUGGCAACAGGGGAAACUAAGAGAAUUCUGCAAGCAGAAAGGAAUCCAUGUGAGUGCAUGGUCACCACUAGGAGGAUACAAACUAAGUUGGGGUUCGCCUACAGUGAUGGAGAAUCCAAUUCUGCACGAAAUUGCAGAGGCUAGAAAGAAGAGUGUAGCCCAGGUGCAGCUCAUUAUUUUAUUUCCUAUGUUUAGCCAAUUAAAAUUUUAAUAAGGUUUUUAAAAUAUACAUCCCUUAUUUGUUUUAAAAUUCAGCUUCUUUUUUUAAAUGGUCAAACUUUAGUCUUGGUCAUAGAAGUCCUAAUAUAAUAUCACAUCAUGAACCAGCUCUUCAAAACCUUAGAUUGUUAGGUGAGAAUAAAUAAAUGGUUCUAUAUUUGAUAUCUUUUAACAGUUGAAACUUAUCAAAGUCAUAUACAUAUACUACUACUACUACUAUAUUGAGAUGACUGUUACACUGAAAGAAAGUCUAUUUCUAAUAUUGACAUAUAUUAUGCAGAUAGCACUAAGAUGGAUAUACCAGCAAGGGGCAAUUCCCAUUGUGAAAAGCUUCAACAAGGAAAGGAUGAAACAAAACAUUGAAAUAUUUGAUUGGGAAUUGAACCAAGAAGAAUUAGACAAAAUCAGUCAGAUUCAUCAAAGCAGAUUUCAAAAGGCAGAAAUAUUUGUAUCUGAUAAUGGACCUUACAAAACCUUGGAAGAGCUGUGGGAUGGUGAUGUUUGAGCAAACUCUUGUUUGAAUAAAUGAUGGGAUCAUGGAAAGUGUAUGAGCUGCUGAAUAGUUAUAAGUAGUAAAAUAAUGCAAAAAGGGUUUUGCUCAAGAGAUUAAAGACAUCACAAAUAAGAUUUAAAUUGUACUCAAAUCCAAGUUCCUUAUGUAAGUGACCUUAAAUAAGAGAAAACACUAAGAAGGGUAAUCUAAAAACAUGGAUCUAAUGACUAUUCCUGGACUAGAGAAUCACAUGGCAUGCUAUCUCAAAUAACUGAUACAUUAUACUUCCUUUCAAUGUAUAAAUCAUGCUAAGGGUUAUCAAUCCCUACAAAGCAUGAAGUAUGAAAUCAUUACUUACAAUUUAAUCUUUAAAUUAAUCACGCGUAGAAGUUUAUUCUGUGUAUAAAUUCUUAUUGAUUAAUUCUACUUUAUCUCUCUUUAGCUCUUGUGAAGUACAGUAAUUUGAUCUAAAUUCUGUAAACUCGAAAAUUAACUCGUGCAUAUACUGAAAUUUAAAGACUAAACUUAAACCAGAAGUCAGUAGAUAUUGCCUUUCUUUGGCAGAAAACAACGUGGAUCCUACUCCACUAGUUCAACGGUCAAUUUCCUUCCAACAAAAUCAAAGCAACAGAGUUCUUUUAAUAAAUAUAUACUGAGUCCUAAGAUUGCGAUUGCGUAAAGGUUACUUAACAAUCCAACAAAUCUAUUACUGAUCCAAAACCAGUAGAGACUCCCAGAUGGUUUUGAAAUAAAACAUAUUUUCGUCGUUCAUAGUAAAGUAAAAUUUGUUUUUUUCGUGAAUUAUGGAAUAGGAAAAAAACUAAGCAUAUGCAAGUCAAAUAAGUCUCUUCGUAUUAUAUUUCUGCGUAUAAGUUUAAUUUGCAAUACAAAUUAACUGAAAAGUUUCCUAAGCAAGUCAUAAUCUCUCUGUUUAUAAUAACCUGACUCGGUUGUUUUUCUAUUUUUUUUCUUCAUUUAAAUAAGGUAGACUAAGUAAGUGCCUGCUGUACAAUUUUUCCUCAAAUAAUCUAUUUCAGUUCCUUCUUCUGAAGAUGUUAGCACAGAUUCAAACGAGAAGUAAUAUUUAAGAAAACGUCUUCUCUGCAAGGAAUUGUGAGACCACCGGUUGGAUGGUCAUAUCCAAAUUGUUCCUCGGCUUGAUUCAACAAUUCUUGAAAUGACGGUUGGUUCAAGUAUGAUAUUGGGAUCACAAACCUCUUCAUUUCAUCCCCAACAUAUACUGCAAUAUAUCCCUUUGGCACAUUCGUGCAUUUUGAAGAUGCUUGGUUUGAAGCCCUUUUUGAGACAACAGGUAAUCGGAAACCCAUUCUUGUAUAUAUGUGUUUUUAAAAGAAGAUAUUGAGCUAAGAGUGAAAGACUUGUGUAUAAGAAGAUUGUUUCUGAAUAUCAAAUAUUUUGGGUUGUGAAUGAUAUUGUGUUGGUUAUAAAAGCUUGCAGCCAUGAAUAUAUAUAUAUAUAGAUGAGUGAAAGGAUAUGGACCAAGCAGUCGGCAACUUGAAUGAUCAGUGAAGGAGGACCAUGAGAUUUGAGUCAUUGGGAGCCAUAGAACCUAAGGUAGACAAGGACAUAUAAUAGUUCACAUGGUGUUACCUUUGAAGAUUAUCUAAAGGGUCAACAUCAAAUGUCAAAAUAGUAGAUCAUGCAUGUCCCACCUCCUUAAGUAGAGGACAUCGUAUAUAUAAUUUUUGUUGUUGUUCAUAAAAAACAAUAUAUAUAUAAUUAAUCCACUUGAAAUAAAACGCAUGAUCACAAACAUGUAGUAUGGUGUAUGUAUGAUCUCUAGAUGUUGAGAAGAUAAAUGACCUACCAGCUGGACAUCAACAUUAUCAAGAUGAAGAAACAUGUAUAAUGCAUGUUUACAAAAUUAUGAAAACCAAUAAUUUGGAUGUAUUUAGAAAACCAAUUUCAAUACUUUUCUGUAACAUCGAAAAUUCCAGAGUUCGAUCCAUUUAUCUGUUUAAUGCUUUUUUUGACUAAACCAAACCAAUUUCAAUAGUUUAUAUAUAAUAAUAAGUCGAGCCUGUCAAGGUGAAAAAGUAAAAAUUUAAUUUUGAUGGUCGUUUGAUUCUUUUGAAGUCUGUCAUAUACAUCCUCUAUUAUUUUAUAAUGUUUUUUUUUUGGUGGGUCGAGGAUUUUAGAAAAAUUCUUUGGGUCAGUUGGGACUCUAUUUGUUUGGGCAAGGAGGUCAGUGGUUUGGGGGUUAGGAGAAGGCGGGAGUUUAACCUUGUUUUAUUAGGCAAAUGGUGUUAGAGGAUGUGUGUGGAAAGAGGGAGUUUGUGGUAUAAAAUUUUAGUGGUUAGGUAUACUGUGAGGUAGGGGGCGGUUGAAGGAAGGCAUGAGGGAAGUGACAGUGUGGGAGAUUUUCUUAAAUAACCCACACCCAUUUUAAUUUUCCAAACACAUAAAUCUCCCAUCAUUUUAUUCAUUUCAAUGACUUUAUAAAUAUACAAUUUAAUUUCAGUCAUUUUGGUUUGUUUGCAUCUGUUUUCUCUUUUUACAAUUAAGUUAAAUGAAGUUUUUUUCUCUCGCAAUAAACAAACAGUAACAACAUUUGGUUUUAACUACUAAAUAGAAUCAAACAUCGGCAAUUACAGAAGAGAUUAAAAGAGAAUAUAGAAAUGAGAAUUUUUUUUGUUGAUGGACAUUGUGGUUAAUCAAUGAAAAAGAAAUAAUAUUCGAUAUAUCCGUUUUAUUACUUUAGAGUUUAAAAAUUAAACCACCUUGACUAAGGAACAAUAAGUUGGGAAAAUUCACCAAAGUGAAAAAUAGAAAGAAAAAAAGGUCAAAAACUAAGUGAGUUCAUACUCGUAUGAAGAAGUUAAUUGCUCAAAAAAAAUGGAAUUAAUAAAGUUUAAACUGUGUUAUAUUAUAUGGGAGGUGCUUGUCAAUUUGAUAAAAAAAAAAAAGAGAGAUUAGUGUUUAGUUAAAAAAUAGAACGGGUGUUUGUGUUAUUUAAGAAAACCUUACGGGAGGUUAGUGUAAUUUGCCCAUAAUUUUUUUAAGAGUAAUUUGCCCAUGAUAAAAUCAUUGAAAUAAUUGUUAUUAAAUAAUAAAGAUUUCUUUAUUGAUAAAGAUGUCGUUAGAAGCCUCGUAUAUGAAUUGUACAAACUAUAUUAUUUAGUGAUUCAUUUAUCAUUUUUUUUAGUGUUUUUUAUAGUCAAGAUAUAAUAAUUAAUAAUCUACAACAAUAAAAAAUAUUAUUUUAUAAUAUGACAUGGUGGCCUGAGGAUUCAAGGUGCUUGUUUGCCUACACCUGUUUCUUCAACUCGAAAGAGCUUUUAUGCUUGCGGAUUUGUUCAGGGAGUUUUUGGCACUUGGAUUUUGAUAUCGUGUUGACAGUUGAUCCAUUUAUUGUUCUUCACAGAUGUUCAUUUUUAAUUUUUUUUUCAAAUAUGGCUUCGCGCCUGUAUACGGAUUCACCGGUUUGCGUCUGUGAUUAGUGAACUUUUUUAAAAUAGAUUAGGAUCGAUACAUUUGAUCUGAUUUAUUAUGUUGUAUCACCGUUUUGGGUUGCACCUGAUUCAGGACUAAUACCCCUAGCAUCUUUAUCUAUUUAUUUUUUUAUUUAAUAUAAUUUUCCUUUUGAAAAAAAAAUAAAAUAAAGAAAAAACAAAGGAAAAUUAUUUUUAAAAAAGAAGCAAUCUUGAAAACGUGUAAUUUUUUUGAAAAGUAGGCAUAUGCCUUCUAAUGAAUAUUUUGUAACUUUCUUGAAGUUAUGUUUCAUUUUUUUUUUUUUUUUUUUUUUUUUUUUUAAGAAUGAAGUUAUGUUAUUUUGUGAUUACCAAUCAUAUAUAAUUGAACAUUUUUUUCUUCUUUAUUUUGUUAGUGAAAAUAUUUUUUCAGUGUCUUGUUAGUAUCAACGAUAAUUGUCUCAACCGUAUUUUUUUAUUUUACUGAUAAGUGAAACAUAUUUAUUAAAAUUUAUAUUUAUAAAUAUUUUUUUAGAUUAAAUAUGUAAAUAAUUGUCAUUUUUUUAUUGAAUUACCUACAAAAGAAAAACUCAUACGAAAGUAGUUCUUUUUUUUGGUCAAGUAGUCUAGUGACUAGCUAGAGCUCACACAAUUAAAUUGUGGAGAAGUAGAAUGUUCGGGGUUCGAACCCUGACCUCUGCAUAUAAUAUUCAAUAUCCCUACAAAUUGCAAAGAGAAAAUAUAAUAGGAAGAUUGUUAUAUUGCAUUUCAGUAUCGUAAAAGAGAAAAUAUAAUAUGAAGAUUGUUAUAUUGCAUUUCAGUGUGAGAUAAAAGCAUAUGAACAUCAUAAAACUUUUUUUUUGGUACAAUCUUAAAACUUAUUUUUAACAAAUGUAAAUUGAAUAUAUGGUCCCCUUUUAAUAAGUAUCAUAAAACUUAUAUUGAUAUUCAAUCAUUUAGAGGUUAUUUUUAGAGCUUUUUUAAAAAACAUGAUCAAUUAUCACUACAAGAAAAAAAACAAGAUUUGCUACCCAAAACUUGCUAUAAAAUGUUUUUUUUUUUUUUGGUACUGAGCUAUAAAAUGUACUUUUUUUUUUGGUAGUGAGCUAUAAAAUGAAUUGGUAGUUAAUUUAGGAGAAAACUUAGGUACAAUUUCUUAUGUGCUUUUUGUAUAGUUCUUAACUAAAAAUACAUUUUUUUUGGAUAUAACAAACUUUGAGAAAAUUAUGAAUUUGAGGAAAUUAUGGUAAAUUUAGUUAAGAACCAUACGAAAAGCACCUAAGGAAUUGUACUUAAGUUUUCUCCAUAUUAAAUCUCUUAGCUACCAUUUGACCUUGACCAUUUAAUUUUUAUUAUUUUUUAUAAAUAUAUAUAUAUAUAUAUAUAUAUCAAUAACAAUCACUUCUUUGAAAAAGAUAUUUGUCUGAAUACAACUAUAUAAAACAUAUUUCUUUUACAAAUUUAUCUUCAUUUUUUUAUACUUAUUUUCUCCCUCUCUUAUAUUUUUUGAAAAGUUACUAUAACCUCUUUUCAUUUAAAGACUCUUUUAGACUUUUUUAACCUGGUUUUAAAAAAAAUUAUAAUAAACAAGCACAAUGCUCUUUAAUUUUUUUUUUUAAGUUAUAGCAAACCCUUUGGGGCUUGUUUGUUACGAAUUAAAAUGAAAAUAUUAUUGAAAUUCAUAAUUUAGUGAUUUUUAAAAUUUUUAUAAAAAAAAUCAUAAUCUAUUUUGUGUUUGCUUAUUGUAAUAAAAUCAUUUUUUUAAAUAAUUUAAUUUAUUUAGAUAUAUCAAUAUAAAAGGAACUUUUUUGUUACAAAAUCACAUCAAUCUUUUAAAAGUUAUUUUCUCUCUCGACUAAAUAGGAUAUUUUGUUACAAAAGACACAGAAAGGUUAACAUAUGUCGAGAUAUCAAAAAAUUAAGAUGGGGCAAAAGUGUGUUUUUACUGAUUAUUAACUUUGAUAAUUAGAGAAAGAUAAUAGAUUAGUGUGUUUUAAGUUGAAUUAUAGGAAAACUUGUUUUAAUUGGGAUAAGAUUAAGUUUGUUUGUUGUUAAAAAAAAGAUUAGGUUUGUUUGUUCUUUAAAAUAAGAUUAAGUUAGUGUGUUUGAUUGAGUGAGUUUGUUUUAGUUUGUUUUUAAGAGAGAAAAUAGAAGGUGGUUGAAGUGAAAGACAUAAAAGAAUAUAAUUUUGAAGACAUGUCAAAAAAUUAAGAAGAGAUAAAAUUGUAUUUUUUAUGAUCAUUAAAUUUCAUAAGUCGAGAAUAGAUGACACCUACAUGAAGCAACAGCCUAGAAAAAUCCUAACUAUCAACUUCCUUUAACCGUUAUUCGUUAUCAAAGCUUACUUCCCUCCUAAGUAAACGCUAGCGCCUACUAAAUUAAAUCUCAAUCUAGUUAUCCACUUAUUAUAAUCCCCUUUUUUUCAGUAAUCGUAACCACUAUAUAAAGACUCACUCAGCACCCAACUUAACAUAUCAUAACAUACCAUACUACCAUCAAGUUCAAGUCAGAAGAAGAAGUCAUGAAUCAUCGUAACCAAACUUUCAUGCUGUUCUCUGUCCUUUUCCUGUUCUUCUCUGUCGACUUGGCAUUCUCGAUGCCGAAGGAUAGAGAAGAUCCAAUAAUCCAGCAGGUGGUCGAUAAGGGAGGAGCUGAGUAUCAAUUUAAUGAAUUCAAGCAAAGGUUUGGUAAGGUUUAUUCCUCCAAAGAUGAACAUGAUUAUAGGUUCAACGUCUUCAAGUCUAACCUUCACCGUGCUAAGAGACAUGGGAUAAUGGAUCCUUCAGCAACUCAUGGUGUUACAAGAUUCUCCGAUCUUACUCCGAGGGAGUUUCGUAAUAGCAUCUUGGGAUUAAAAGGAGUAGGGUUACCGAGACAUGCAAAAGCUGCACCUAUUCUUUCGACCGAGAACCUUCCUCGUGAUUUUGAUUGGAGAGAAAAAGGAGCGGUUACCCCGGUUAGGAAUCAGGUAUAUAUUGUUUCUAAUUAUGAUUAUUAUUGUUGCUGUAAUUUGUUUAUUGUUUUGUUUAAUAUUUUUAUUUUGGAUUUGUAACUAUGAAUUAGGGUUUCUGCGGUUCAAGUUGGAGUUUCAGUACGAUUGGUGCACUCGAAGGUGCUCACUUCCUCUCUAGCGGAGAACUUGUGAGUCUUAGCGAGCAACAUCAUGUUGACUGUGAUCACGAGUACAUUCAAAAAUAUGGUGGGCUGAUGCGAGUGGAGGACUAUACUUAUUAUAAGACAAACACUGCACGAUCGGUGGCGGCAAAUUUCAGUUCUAUUUCGGUUGAUGACAACCAAAUCACCGCCAAUCUCGUUAAACAUGGACCUCUUGCUGGUCAGUAAUACUCUAAACAAUUUGAAUUGUAAUUAUUAUUACUAUUAUUUUCUUAUAAUUGUCUAAUUCAAAUGUUCACAAAUGCAGCUGCAAUAAACGCGGUAUACAUGCAGACAUACGUGGGAGGAAUAUCAUGCCCAUACAUAUGUACAAGGAGGCUGGAUCUUGGAGUUUUGCUUGUGGGGUAUGGUUCUGGAGCUGGAGCUGAUAUGAAGGAGAAGGAGAAGCCGUAUUGGAUCGUUAAAAACUCGUGGGGUGAGACCUGGGGAGAGAACGGAUACUACAAGAUUUGCAGAGGACGAAAUAUCUGUGGAGUGGACUCAAUGGUUUCUACUGUGGCUGCUGCUCACACUACUACUCAGUGACAGUAGUAUGAUUUCUAUCUCAUACAUGUACCAACCUUCAUUUCAUUUCAAGACUUGUUGAAUAUGAUCAUCCAAUGGUUGGCCUUCCUAUUCCUUGCACCGAAGAUGUCUUCCAGCACAUAAUGUCUCGCUUGUAAAGCUCACACUAUUGUUGGAGACUGGCAUAGUUUACUGUUAGUAGAUCCAUUUUGAACAUGAGACAUCUUAUCAAAUUGUAAAGACCCUACAGAGAUAGGAAAUGUAAUUAUCAUAAAAAUGAUAGAUUUUGACUAUGCAUUUUUCGUUUGAUGAAUAAUGACAAUGAAUUCGACUUUUCAAGUAGCUCCUAUGUUUUUUGUUUGUUUUAUGUUAAAAUUUUCACUCUUCCUUGCAGUCAGACCUUCCAAAAUAUAAGCAGGACUGCUUGGUAUCAGAAAAAACCGACUUGGUGUUCUGAUAAAUUUCAAAGCACGAACAGUACACAUGAAAGGGCAGAACCGUUGUAUUUUUGUAUGGCUCAAACAUGAAAGUUAAAUUUCAGGAAAAAAAUUAUUUUAAUAACUAUAUAAUAUAGAUAAGAAAUUUAAGAUUUGGAGUGCCAAAGUCCCAAUCAUAGUUCCCUUCAUAGGCAAGUGCACAAUAACAAUGACUUAGAAUUGAGGUUAGUUAAUCCCUUGAAUAACACAUUCUCAGUCUACAGCAAAAACUUGUUUUGCUACCUUUGAUGCAUGGUUUAUCUGUAGUCCAUGACUGUAUCUUUUCUACUCUCUAAGUUUUGUUUACUGAAAUUUUAGAUAUACCUCUAAAUUUCCAAAAUUUAUUGAUCAGUUUGUACUUAUCAGAUUUUGAUGCUAGUUGUGGUUAAGUUUAAUUGAAGUUUCUCUACAAUUUCAAAUUUUAUCAUUCUAUUUUUUAAUUAAUUCCAGUGGCUAAAAUAGAAAAUAAAUAAAAAAAUUCUAAUCUAACAAGUACUUCAAGAAACCAAAUUCACUUUACAAUGGACUUGUUUGAUACCAAAUUCAGGUUGUUUAUUUGGCACAACUAUGGGACCAACAUGUCUACCAAUUUCCAAUUUCCAAAUUCAGUUUGUGUUAUUAUCUUAUCUCAAAUUCAUUAUUUUGUAGCUAUAUGGUAGAUUUCAUGGGUCAUAUAUUUUGUAACUCUAGGAUCAACAUGUCUAUCAAAUUUGAGGAACCUAUCUGAUAGAAUAUUGUCAGAAAAUUUUGGCAUUCUCUUAUCUCGAAUUCUCUAUUUACUAGUUAUCAUGUAGACAUAGAAUAUUUUCAGAAAUUGUGGACUUCCCUUAUCUCAAAAUCCAUUGUUUAGUAGCUAUAUGGUCGAUUUCAUGGUUCAUAUAUCAGAGCCUAAUUUGAGGAAUCUAUGUGAUAUGUCUUGAACUUGUCAUGUUGCAAGAAUACAAUUAUUGGCUUAUUGGCUGUAAAGUCUCCUAUAUCUUUCUAUAUAUACUCAUCAUUACAUUCUCAAGCAGCAUUACAAGUCACAAAUACAAUUUCAAAAGUUUCUUGCUUUCAUACACAAGCUGUUGUAUUCAUCGUUAUUGUGUUGCAACUCUUAAUAACAAUAUGGGAUUCCGUUUACCUGGUAUUAAAAUGUCAUCGUCUUCCAAGGCUGUGGAUGAAGUUUCAAACUGAAGCUGUUUGUGAUUUCCAUUUUAUUAUUGAACCAACCUUCAUUUCAAGAAUAAUAAUUAAGCCAAUUAGCAGAAGAAUUCUAAGAGCUCACAUCUCGCUUCAAUGUUAAAUCUCACAAACUCUAACGAAGACUUACAUAGAUAUUAGUUAGCUAAGACUAAUUGUACAUCAGAUAUCUUCAUUUUUCAUUCUUUUCUUAAUGGAAAUGACAGCUAACUGAGAUAGUUAUGAACAGAGAUUUUUGACUUGUCGGUCAAAUUUCAAAGAACUCUGUAUACAUCUUAUUUUUGCACAAAAGAUUAUAUAUAGAAACAGAACCCUUUUUACAAAUUCUCUCUUGGUUUUCUUUGUUUUAUUACUGCUUAUUAUAUCUGCUUUUCUGUGUGUAUAUAAACACCAAUUUUCAUUGGUCUUUGAAACUAGCUCAAAAGUUUAUUAUAAAGUUCGAGCCAACACAAAUGUAUCCUAUGUGGUGAAGUUUUCACCCAAAACCCCUAGUUUCAGACCCAAAAGCCCUAGCUAUCCAUUUCACCUGAAAUCCCUUCGUCUAUUAACCAUUCCUUGAAAGAAAGGCACCUGUUUGUUUGCGGUUUGAAAAAGGUAUGAAUGAGAUGCACGCUUGUAAUUUGUACCAUCUAUUGUCUGUGCUAGUCAGAGGAUGAUAUAAAGGCUCGGCGAGACUGAAAAGAGGAAGAUCUAUCAAUUAUGUCAAGGGACAACUCUUCAGUCUAGUUGAUUAUAAGAAUAAAUUACUCUUAUACAUUGAGUAGUUGAUAAAAAUGUUUUUUUGUCUUGUUCAUCCAUUAGAAUAUUUCUGCCAAUAACAACAAACAAUGUUGCUUGCUAUAUUAAUUCAUGACUCAAUCAAACCCCUUCUAUAAACAAAACAAACAUUCACUAUCUUGCUUUGUCAUAGAGGACACACACUCAAUAAUCAAUAUUAAAAUAAUAAUAAUACUAACAACAUCUUCUUUGCGUUUUGAACUAUUAUUUAUAGUCACAUUGUGAAUUGUACGAAGCUUAAGCCUUGAACCAACACAAAAAAGAAGAUGGAAAUAAACAAAGUUCCAGAGGUGAUACUAAAUUCAGGGAAAAAUAUGCCAAUGAUAGGUUUAGGGACAUCAACAAGUCCCUCUCCACCACAUGAAGUCCUCACCUCAAUUUUGGUUGAUGCCAUUAAAAUAGGCUACAGGCAUUUUGAUACUGCUUCUAUCUAUAAUACUGAAGAACCUCUAGGCCAAGCUGUGUCAAAAGCUUUAGAGCUAGGCCUCGUUAAAAAUCGCGAUGAACUGUUCGUUACUUCCAAGUUAUGGUGUACUGAUGCUCACCAUGACCUUGUUCUCCCAGCUCUCAAAUCCACUCUCAAGCAAGCAUAAUUCUCUUAACCUUUUUUUCUUCUUCUUUUAAGUUUGUGUAUUUUAUUUGUCUAAUAUUGUUGUUUUGGUUUUUUGGAUUGAAAUUUUUUAGAAAUCUGGGAUUGGGGUAUGUGGAUCUCUAUUUGAUUCACUGGCCAGUAAGGUUGAAACAAGACGUUGAAGGCCAUAACUUUAAAGGUGAGGAUACAAUUCCUUUUGACAUAAAAGGAACAUGGGAAUCUAUGGAAGAUUGUUAUAGAUUGGGCAUAGCAAAGUCUAUUGGUGUCAGCAACUUUGGUAUCAAAAAGCUCUCCAUGCUCUUAGAAAAUGCCGAAAUUGCUCCUGCAGUUAACCAGGUAUAUGAAUUUAGUACUACUUGAUUUGAUUCAUUAUGCCUCAGUUGCUUCAAAAUGGAAGAGCAUCAUACACGUAUCGUCAGAUAUUUCCCAAAACUUAUAGUAUCCAAUAAUUUAUUGUAAUUCUUUCGCAAAAUAUUUCCUUCGAUACUUUUUUACCAACUAAGCACGCAAUUGUCAUCUAGAUAUGAUAUAUCUUACUACUUAUAGACACAACGAGCAUCAUACAAAUUCAUAUUUGGAUUUAGGUGGAAAUGAACUCAUCAUGGCAUCAGGGGAAACUUAGAGAAUUCUGCAAGCAGAAAGGAAUCCAUGUGAGUGCAUGGUCACCACUAGGAGGCUACAAACUAAGUUGGGGUUCGCCUGCAGUGAUGGAGAAUUUGAUUCUGCGCAAAAUUGCUGAGGCUAGAAAGAAGAGUGUAGCCCAGGUGCAGUUGAUUAUUUUAUUUCAAAUUAUUUUUAAUGAUAACUAUGACCUAUGUUAAUUCAAUUUAGAUUUUAAUGAAGUUUUAAAAUAUGCAGCCCUGUUUUAUAAUUCAAGUUUUUUUUUUCAAUGGUCAAACUUUAGACUUAGUCAUAGAAGUGCUAAUGCCACAUCAUGAACCUUAGAUUGUUAUGUGAAACAAAUAAAUAGUUUUAUAUUGAAACUUCAUAAAGUCAUACAUAUACCACUGUAUUGAGAUUACUGUUACAUUGAUAGUCUUUCUCUAAUAUUGACAAAUAUUAUACAGAUAGCACUAAGAUGGAUAUACCAGCAAGGGGUAAUUCCCAUUGUGAAGAGCUUCAACAAGGAGAGGAUGAAACAAAACAUUGAAAUAUUUGAUUGGGAAUUGAACCAAGAAGAAUUAGACAAAAUUAAUCAGAUUCCUCAAUGCAGACUGCUAAAGGCAGAAAUGUUUGUAUCUGAUAAUGGACCUUACAAGUCAUUGGAAGAGCUGUGGGAUGGCGACCCUUAAGCGAAUUCUUGUUUAAAUAUUCGAUGGGAUCAAUGCAAGUGUAUGUACUGAAUAAAUUAUUGUUUAAAUUCCUUAUGCAAGUGAAAUUUUAACUUUGAUUAAUAUCGUUAAUUCCUUAGUAUCGUUAAUUCCUUAGCUGACAUUAAAUAAGAGAAAACACUAAGAAGGAUUUAGUUACUAUUCAUGAACUAGAGAAUCAAUGGUAUGCUAGUUUAUUCUUUUCAUGUGUAUCUUUAGCUGAUUAAGCUUUUACGUCGAUUGGAUAAAUGACUUAAGAAUUUUUUAUGGAGUGGUGAUAUUUCCAGAAGGAAAAUUCUGUCCUGUUUCUUUUGCAGACCCUCGGCUUACCAUGGGAGGUGGGUGGCCUUGACCUGCGUUCUUCCACUACGUGAAAUAAGGGAUUUAGCCUCAGUCAUUUGGGAUCAGUCGCACCUGACUAACGUCAAGCAACAAAUUAUGCGCUAUUUCCCAUCACUCAAAUGUAGAAUAGCGCCUACAACAAAUACGUGGUAUGUAUUAGCCAAAAAAUUGGUUCGAGCCAACACAAAUGUAUCCUAUGUGGUGAAGUUUUCACCCAAAACCCCUAGUUUCAGACCCAAAAGCCCUAGCUAUCCAUUUCACCUGAAAUCCCUUCGUUUAUUAACCGUUCCUUCAAAGAAAGGUACCCCUAGUUCAACACAAAUGUAUGAAUGAGAUGCAUGCUUGUAAUCUGUGCCAUCUAUUGCCUGUGCUAGCUAGAGGAUGAGAUAAAGGCUCGCUGAGACUGAUAAGAGGAAGAUCUCAUCAUAAGUGUAGUUGUUCACAGAUAACAGUUAUGUCAAGGGACAACUUUUCAGUCUAAUUGGUUAUAAGAAUAAAUUAGUCUUAUACAUUGAGUAGUUGAUAAAAGUUUUUUUUGUCUUGUUCAACCAUUAGAACAUUUCUGCCAAUAGCCAACAAAAAAUGUUGCUUGCUAUAUUAGUUCAUCACUCAAUCAAACCCCUUGUAUAAACAAAACAAACAUUCACUAACUUGAUUUUUCAUAGGGGACAAAUACUCAAUAAUCAAUCUUAAAAUAAUAAUAAUAACAACAACAACACCAACAACGUCUUCUUUGCGUCUUGAACUUGUAAUAUAAUGGAAUUGCUUGCCUUUUCAUUAUGUGAAUAGAAUAUCUGUAUACAUGUGCAGGUCAACUAUCUAAUUAUGAUACAGCAUAAUUACAGGAAAAUAAUUAUAACUAAUUAUGACUAAUAUUCUAUUCUAUCAGAACUAUCAUCAAUAAAUUGUAUGAAGCUUAAGCCUUGAAAUCAACAAAAAUAAAAAAAGAUGGAAGCAAAGAAAGUUCCAGAGGUGAUACUAAAUUCAGGGAAAAAGAUGCCAAUGAUAGGUUUUGGAACAUCAGAAAAUCCCUCUCCACCACAUGAAGUCCUCACCUCAAUUUUGGUUGAUGCCAUUGAAAUAGGCUACAGGCAUUUUGAUACUGCUUCUGUCUAUAAUACUGAAGAACCUCUAGGCCAAGCUGUGUCAAAAGCUUUAGAGCUAGGCCUCGUUAAAAAUCGCGAUGAACUGUUCGUUACUUCCAAGUUAUGGUGUACUGAUGCUCACCAUGACCUUGUUCUCCCAUCUCUCAAAACUACCAUCAAGCAAGCAUAUUUCUCUUAACUUCUUUUUUUCCGCUUCUUUUACGUUUGUUAUUUUUAUUACUUGUCUACUUUUAUUUUUGGGUUGAAAUUGUACAGAAAACUGAAGUUGGACUAUGUGGAUCUCUAUUUGAUUCACUUUCCAGUGAGGUUGAAACAAGAUGUUGAAGGCUAUAACAUUAAAAGUGAGGAUAUAAUUCCUUUUGAUAUAAAAGGAACAUGGGAAGCUAUGGAAUAUUGUUAUAGAUUGGGCUUAGCAAAGUCUAUUGGUGUUAGCAACUUUGGUAUCAAAAAGCUCUCCAUGCUCUUCGAAAGUGCCAAAAUCUAUCCUGCAGUUAAUCAGGUAUGACUUAAGAGAAUUUAGUGCUAGUUGAUUUGAGGAAUUAUGACGUAGAGAUCAAAUGCACUUAUUGGUUGCGUCUGUUAUUUCAAAAUGGAAAUGCAUCAUACACGUAUCCGAUACUCAUUCACUUGUUAGUUGGAUUUAGGUGGAAAUGAACUCAUCAUGGCAUCAGGGGAAACUCAGAGAAUUCUGCAAGCAGAAAGGAAUUCAUGUGAGUGCAUGGUCACCACUAGGAGGAUACAAACUAAGUUUUGGUUCGCCUGCAGUGAUGGAGAAUUCAAUUCUGCGAGAAAUUGCUGAGGCUAGAAAGAAAAGUGUAGCCCAGGUGCAGCUCAUUAUUUUAUUUCAAACUAUUUUCAAUGACACCUAUGUUUAGCCAAUUAAAAUUUUAGUGAAGUUUUUAAAACUUACAGCCUGUUUUUCUAAUUCUUUUUUUUUCUUUCUCAAUGGUCAAACUUUAGACUUGGUCAUAGAAGUGGCUAAUACCACAUCUUGAACCAACUCUUUAUAUUAUAUCAAAAUGUCAAACUUCAUAAAGUCGUACCUAUACUACUGUUACAUUGAAAGUCUAUUUCUAAUGUGGAUAUAUAUUAUGCAGAUAGCACUAAGAUGGAUAUACCAGCAAGGGGCAAUUCCCAUUGUGAAAAGCUUCAACAAGGAAAGGAUGAAACUAAACACUGAAAUAUUUGAUUGGGAAUUGAACCAAGAAGAAUUCGACAAAAUCAAUCAGAUUCCGCAAUGCAGACUGCAAAAGGUAGAAAUGUUUGUAUCUGAUAGUGGACCUUACAAAACCUUGGAAGAGCUGUGGGACGGUGACGCUUGAGCAAAUUCUUGUUUAUAUAUUCGAUGUGAUCAUGGAAAGUUAAUGUACUGAAUAAAUUAUUGUUUAAAUUCCUUAUGCAAUUGAAAUUUAACUUUUAUAUAAUAUCUUUGAUUCCCUAGCUGACAUUAAAUAAGAGAAAACACUAAGAAGAAUACUUGGAUUUAUUUACUAUUCCUCGACUAGAGAAUCACAUAUUUGUAGUAAAGUAUAAAUUGUUUUUCAUGAAUUAUGGAACAAGAGAAAAAUUAAGCAUAUGCCAGACAAAUAUGUCUCUUUGUAUUAUAUUUCUGCAUAUAAGUUUGUAAUACAACUUAGUUGAAAAUUUUCGUAAAUAAGUCAUAAUCUCUUUGUUCAUAAUCAUCUCACUCAGUUGUUUUUCUAUUUAUCUUUCACUGUCAAAAGGUAGACUAAAAUGAAAAAUAUGUAAGUGCCUUCUGUACAAUUUUGCCUAAAAUAAUCUAUGUCAGUUCCUUCAUCUGAAGAUAUUAGCACAGAUUCAAACGAGAAGUAAUAUCUAAGAAAACGUCUUCUCUGCAAGGAAUUGUGAGACCACCCAUUGGAUGGUCAUAUCCGAAUUGUUCCUCGGCUUGAUUCAAUAAUUCUUGAAAUGAUGAUUGGCUCAAGUAUGAUAUUGGGAUCACAAACCUCUUCAUUUCCUCUCCAACGUAUACUGCAAGAUAUCCCUUUGGCACAUCCACGCCUUUUGAAGAUGUUUGGUUUGCAGCCCUUCUGAUGAUACCGGUUAAACGAAAACCCAUUCUUGUAUGUGUUAUGAAAAGAUAUUGGUCUAAAAAUGGUAGACUGGUGUAAAUGAAGAAUGUUUCUGAAUCUCAAAUUCUUUGAACUGUGAAUAAAUUUGAGUUGGUUCUUAAUGCUUGCAGUCAUUAAUAUAUAUAGAUGAAAGGAUAUGUAAUAAACAGUCAGCAACUUGAAUGAUCAAUGAAGGAGGACCAUGAGAUUGGGAGUCAAUGGGAGCCAUAGAACUUAAGGGAGACAAUGACAUAUAAUAGAUCACAUGGUGUUGUCUUAGAUGAUUUUCUCAAAUUUUCAACAUCAAAUGUCAUAAUAAUAAAUAAUGUAUGUCCCACCCACCACCUUAAGUAGAGGCCAGCAAUAUAUAAAAUUAAAUAAGUUGAUGUUUAAACUUGAGAAAGUCAUCUAAAUUUUGUAAGAUCACAUGGUAUUCUACAAUUUUAUAAUUUUCAAAAAUUCAUCAAUCAAGUUUAAUUUAUUAGUUUUCAGUGCAAGUUGUGCUGAAGGUCAAUGAAAGUUUCUCUACAAUUUUAAAUUGCGUAAUUAUAUCUGCAAAUUAGCUCAGUGGCCAAAAUUGAAAAGAAAAAUAAAAUAUAUCAAAUCUAAUCCAAAUAUUACCGAAGUGGUUGGCAACUGACUUAACUCUAGGUCCACCAUGUCUACAAAUUCCAAGAGCUGAUGUUCUGGUUGUUUAACGAUAGUUUGACGUAGCUAUGUGAUAUGUUUUGAGCUUGUCUGCUAGAAGAGUGGGAUUAUUAGCAUAUCGGUUGGCCUGAGUUUUCAAGUCUGAAGUAAAUCCUGGAUAUAAUUAGACAAUCAUGAAACAAUACCAUGUGACAUCUCAUUGGCCUUUCUCUCUUAUGAAAUAAUAGCCCAAAACACAACCACAGAAUCCAUCAAGGAAUUGUUUCCACAAAAACUUGUAGAUCUAUCUAUAUAUACUCAUUAUGACUAUCUCAAGCAGCAACACAAUUCAAGUUACUCACAAAUACAAAUUAAAAUAUUUCUUUCUUACAUACACAAGAUGUUAGUGUGUUGUAACUCAUAAUAACAAUGGGCUUUCGUUUACCUGGUAUCAUUAGACGGUCAUCAUCUUCCAAGGCUGUGGAUGAAGUCCCAAAAGGCUAUCUUGCGGUUUAUGUUGGAGAAAAAAUGAAGCGAUUUGUGAUUCCAACUUCAUUAUUGAAUCAACCUUCAUUUCAAGAGUCGUUAAGCCAAUCAGAAGAAGAGUUUGAAUAUGAUCAUCGAAUGGAUGGUCUCUCGAUUCCUUGCAGUGAAGAUGUUUUCUUAGAACACACUUCGUGCUUCAAUGUUAAAUCUCAUUAAAGGAGACUUACAUAGAUAUUAGUUAGUUAAGACAAAUUGUACAGCAUACACUUUCAUUUUUCAUUCGUUUCUAAGCUGAAAUGCCAUCCAACCGAGACAGUUAUGAACAGAGAUAUUUGAGUUUUUGGUCGAAUUUCAACGAAUUUCUGUAUACAUCUUAUUUUUGCACAAAAGAUUGUAUAUACUAACAGCAACCUUUUUACAUAUUCUGUUGUCCAAUAAACAUGUAAUUUAACAAUGGCAUAGGUCAAAAGAAAACAUAAUUCUCACCGAAGGAUUACUAUUUGCUAGUUCUUUUAUUGGAAGAAGUAGGAGAACAAUUGCGGUUGUAAAAUUGCAAAAUGAAAUCGAAGAGCCUUGUAAUCAUAAGUUCGUCAGCCUCGGGCAUGUCAAAACAACCAUAUGUUCUAGAGGUGUCCAUCAAGAAUCACAAGGUUUUAGAGUAGAUGACUGACUUGGAGAAAUGAAAGAGAUUUGUACAAAAAAAAAAAAAAACGUAAUUAUUGUUUAACCGAUUUAAUCCCUUGUUUCAUAUGUCCAACAUAUGCUCAAAGAGUUUCAUUUUUUUUUUUUUGUAUAAAUCUUUUUGAUCUAUCCGUAUAUGGGUUAGUCAUAAUAAGUUAUCAAUCACUAUGACAUACGGUUGCUAAAGAAAUUUCUUCAAUUUUUGAUAAAUGUUUGCACAUUAUUAGCAAUCUGCUUCAUUGAUCUAUUUCCUACCAUUUCCUAAUGUCUUUAACAAAUAGAAAAUCAAAGAAACAAAGUAAAGGAACUCUCUUAUUUAAAACUCUUCUUGUUCCAAAAUCAGAAUAGUCUUCCUGGUUUUGGAGUCAAACAUAAUUGCUUCUUUCAUAAUAAGGCUUUCACAAAAGGAAAAUACUUUGCAGUUUCACAGUAUCAAACAUAAUUCUACAUUAAACUUGUUUAUCCCAAACUCUAUUAAAGGUUAGUUUUGUUAGCGGAAACUCUGCCAAGGAAAAUAUGAAAGAUAGAUCUCUGUCCCUUUGUAUUAUAUUUUGAAAGGGUGGGGUACAAUCUAAGACAAACACUUCAUGAUAUCUCAUCCUAUGCUCUCUAUUAUUUUACCCUUUCAUACAGCCAUUUAGCUUUGAAUUGGGUUUAAAGGAAAACCAAAGAAAUCUCAUUUGCAGCCUAUUGCAGAUAAGAUAAAGUCUAAGCUUAGUGCGUGGAAAGCUUCUCUUCUCUCUAUUGCAGGGAGAGUGACUUUGGUUAAGUAUGUGAUUCAAGGAAUGAUGAUGCACACUAUAUAAUCUGUACUCUUGGCCUAAUUCAUUGCUGAAGGAAGUUGAAGCUUGGAUCAGGAACUUUAUUAAUUUGGAGUGGUGACAUAUCCAAAAGGAAGUUAGUGACUGUUUCUUGGCGUAAAGUUUGCAAGCCCUACUCUGAAGGAGGUUUGGGAUUGAGUACACUUUGAAUGAGCUGCAAACCUUAAGUUCUGUUGGGAUCUCAAAAAUUCAAAUGAAGACUGGGCCAUUCUUCUAAGAAGUAAGGUGUUUAGAGGAAGCAAAGUAAUUUCAAUGAAAAUUGCAGUGUUAAGUCAGAGAUUAUUAAUAUCAAUGAAAAGUGCAGCUGGAUCAUAGGUAAUGGGGAAAAUAUCAAUUUUUGGCUUGAUCCGUGGCUUGACAACCUGUUGCUUCUAUUCUUAACUUGCCAGGCAACAUUCAUAGUAGUUUAAUAGAUAGGGUUUCUGAUUUUUUACCGGCACUUCCCUCAACAUGUUUUGGACUCUUUCCCUAACCUGAAUCAACUUGUCAUGCAAGUAACUCUCCCUAGUGAGCCUAAGGAAGACAAAUUAGUUUGGAAAAGAUGCUAAACAGGAGAUCUUUCUCUUAAAGAGGCUUUUUCAUUCAAAUAUGGCACAGGACAAAAUAUUUCUUGGGCAAAAACGCUAUGGUGCCCUGAUAUCCCACCUUCAAAAUCUUUAUUGACAUGGAGACUCAUGCACAACAAACUUCCAACUGAUGAUAACCUAGUGCUCAGAGGGUGUAACCUUCCUUCAAUGUGCUUUUCUUGUCAGACUUCCUCAGAAACCACCUUUCAUUUGUUUUUUUGAAUGUCCAUUUGCUAUAAAAUUGUGGUCAUGGUUAGCUUCUCUCCUCAACAUGCCUCUUCAGUUCAACUUUUUGGGAGAAAUUUGGUCAAUCUUAGAUCAUAGUUGGACUCCUCAGUGCAAAGUAGUGGUUAAAGCUUGUAUCAUCAAUCUUUUAAUAAUCUGGUACAGAAGGAACAACGUUAGAUUCCAGGACAAGGUAGUUACUUGGAGAACAACUAUUACCUUGAUCAUCUCUAAGGUCUCUUUAUCAGGGAACUUCGCCUCAAAAACUGCUGCCUCCAACAUGUCUGAAUUCAUAAUUCUGAAGACUUGCAAAGUCACAAUCAAGCCUCCUAGGGAUUCCUUAAUCAAAGAAGUUAUUUGGGCUCCUCCUAUGCAUUCUUGGAUUAAGAUCAACAUGGUGCCUCAAUCAAGAACCCUACUAGAGCUGCAGCUGGAGGAAUAUUCAGAAACUCUGAUGGGGCUUGCUUAGGUGGCUUCUCUCAUUUUUUUGGUAAUGCAAAUGCUUUGUAUGCUGAACUGUUUGCAGCAAUGAAUGCUAUUGAAAUUGCUGCUUUGAUGGGAUUCUCUAAUGUUUGGUUAGAGUCUGAUUCUCAGUUGGUGAUCCUUGCCUUCAAGUCCAAAUCUGUUGUUCCUUGGGGUCUAAGGAACAAAUGGGAGAAAUGUAUUCAUAUUACUCAUAGAAUGAGAUUUUGUGCCACUCACAUUUAUAGGGUUGCGGAUUCCCUAGCCAACUUUGGUUUAACUUUAUCUACUUUAGAUUUGUUUUGGUUUGAUAGCAUCCCUGACUUUGUUAGGAGGGAAUACAAUAGGAAUAUGUUGGGUAUGCCCAACUUUAAAUAUGCCACCUUUUGAAAAGGUUCUGGUGUUGUCCUCCUUUUCUUUUUAAUGAAAUGAUAUGAUGCUCUUUGCAUCUUAAAAAAAAUUAAAAAAAAAUACAACAGUAUAGACUAAUCCAUCGAGCGGUGUAGGAAAUCAUUUAUAAAUAUGAUUAAAUUUAAAUGUUUUGUUAUUAAUUUUAUAACUUAGAAUAUAAAAUAUAUUUUUCUCUUAAAAAAAAAGAAUAUAAAAUAUAUUUUUAAAUAAUCAUAUUUUAUCGACAUUAGUAAUUUUUCACUCAUUUUAAUUUUAUAUUUUAUAAUUUAUGGUUAUAUAAAUCAGAUGAACUAGUUUUUUUUCUUCUUCUAUUUUUUAUUCACAUUCAUAUUUAUAUUUUAUAAUUUUUCUAUUUUUAAUUUUAUAACAUAGGUUCAACCUUUUUAUGAACCAGAUGAACUAUAGCGGACCUUCACAUGCAAUUACUCGAACCGUGGUUAGUUUAUUUUUUCAAUAUAAAUAUAGUAAAAAAAGGAGGAUAUAGAUAUGGUGAGAAUUUUUUUUGCAAAAAGAAAUGGUGAGUAUUAUUGUUGUAGGUAAAAGGAUGAAUUUAUAAUACAUUAUAAAAAUAAGGGCUAAUGGUGCUUUACCCCCUGUAAUAUAGAUCAUUUUUUAUUUUCUUCCCUGUAAAAUAUUAUUUUUGAUUUACCCCCCUGUAAUUUUUUUUUUUUUGGAAUACCCCCCUAAUAGGUCAUAAAAAAACGAAAAAAUUCUGCAAAAAAUAAAUAAAGUCGUUUUUUUAUGACCUAUUGGGGGGUAUUCCAAAAAAUAUAUAUUUUACAGGAGGUAAAUCAAAAUAAAUAUUUUACAGGGGGGAAAACCAAAAAUGACAUAUAUUACAGGGGGUAAAACACCAUUAACCCUAAAAAUAAAGUACUAUGAUAAAUAUACAACAGCAACCAAGCCUUAUCCCACUAAGUGGGGUCGGCUACAUGGAUCAAAUGACGCCAUAGUGUUCUAUCAAAAUCAUAUUUGGAUCCAACUCAUUGACCUCUAAAUCUUUUCCAAUGGUUUCUCGAAUGAUUUUCUUAGGUCUUCCUUUACCUCUUUUAACCUGAUUCUACUCCAUUUGAUCUACUCUUCUUACAACGGCAUCUACGGGUCUUCUCUCUACAUGUCAAAACCAUCUAAGCCUAUUUUCUACCAACUUUUCUACUAUAGGUGCUACCCCCACUCUCUCUAAUGGUGUCAUUAUUCUAUCAUGUCUAGUCUUACCACUCAUCCAGCGCAACAUCCUCAUCUCCGCUACACUUACUUUACUCUCGUGUUGGCUCUUAACUGCCCAACACUCCGUACCAUACAACAUUGUCGGUCUGACUGUUGUCUGAUAGAAUUUUCCUUUCAGCUUAAGUGGUACUUUCUUAUCGCACAAAACACUUGAGGCUCUUCUCCAUUUCAACCACCCAGCUUGAAUACGAUGAUUUACAUCUGCUUCUAUUUCUCCAUCAUUUUGCACUAUGGACCCAAGAUAUGUAAACUGUGUAACUUGGGGUAUGAUAUGAUCUCCAACUUUCACCUCCAAGGUAUACCCACUUCUCCUUUUGCUGAAGUUACAUUCCAAAUACUCCGUCUUGCUUCUACUCAAGCGGAAACCAUACGCUUCUAAGGCUUGCCUCGAGGUCUCUAGCCUCCCAUUUGACUCCUCCCUCGACUCACCAAGCAAGACUACAUCAUCGGCAAAAAGCAUACAUCUCGGUGUUAACUCUUGGAUGUGUUUCGUUAGUACAUCCAAAACUAAAGUAAAAAGAGAAGGACUUAGGGUUGACCCUUGGUGCAGUUCUAUUGUUAUGGGAAAAUCUACGCUAUCCCCAUCAUGCGUCUUCACACUAGUGGAAGCUCCCUCAUACAUAUCCCAGAUAGCUCUAAUAUAGGCAAUCCUCAUCCCUUUCUUCUCCAGGGUUUUCCACAAAAUCUCUCUAAGUACUCUAUCCUACGCCUUCUCCAAAUAAGUGAAAACUAAUUGCAAGUCUUUUUUAUCCGUCCGAUAUCGCUCCAUCAUGCGUCAAAGUAAGUAGUUCGCUUCCAUAGUCGACCUCCGAGGAAUAAAACCAAAUAAGUUAUCCGUAACAUGAGUCUCUUUUCUUAGUCUUCGCUCAAUUACCCUUUCCCAUAACUUCAUGGUAUGACUCAUUAGCUUAAUUCCCCUAUAAUUCGCGCAAUUAUGUAUAUCCCCUUUGUUCUUAUAAGGUGCUUCUUCUCCACUUGUCUGGAAUAUUCUUCGUCUUCAUAAUCUCGUUGAAUUUUUUUGUGAGCCACACAAUUCCUUAUAUCGCCAAGACUUUUCCACACUUCGAUAGGUAUGUUAUCCGGCCCAACUUCCUUGCCAUUACUCAUCCUUUUCAAUGCUUUUUUCACCUCGUGCUCUUGAAUUCGACGAUAAUAGUUAUAGUUUCGGCCCUCCGCUCUGAUGUCUAACCUGUUAGAGUCUGGUAAGAUCUCAUAUCCUUCAUUAAAUAAGUUAUGGAAAUACAUUUUCCAUCUAUCCUUAAUAUUUCUUUCUUGAACCAAAACUCUACCAUCUUCAUCUUUGAUACACUUCACUUGGUCCAGGUCUCUUGGCUUUCGUUCUCGUCCCUUCACAAGCUUGUAUAUAGAUUUCUCCCCCUCCUUGGUACCUAAAGAUUUGUAUAAUCCUCCAUAGGGUCUCGCUUCACUCACCGCCUUCUUAGCCUUUUUCCUAGCUAUCUUAUAUUAAUCCCAAGUUUCGGCAUUUUUACACUUAGACCAAUCUUUAAAUCAAUCUCUUUUAAUCCGAACUUUACUAUGAACACUGUUAUUCCACCACCAAGAUUCUUUAGCCCUAGGUCCAAAACCUCUAGAUUCUCCCAACGUCUCUUUUGCCACCUUCCUAAUCUCGUGAGCCAUCAUCUCCCACAUAUCAUUAGCGCUUCCAUGUGGUUGCCUGAAACCUCCCUCUAAUAUCUUGCAGAGCCCCGCUACGGCCAUUCUCUUUGCGCUCCUCUUAACCCUUACAUCCAUCACCAUUACUCUAUGUUGGGUAGUUAAGCCCUCUCCAGGUAUGACUUUACAGUCUAAUUAGAUCUUCCUGUCUGUUUUCCUAAUAAGAAAAAAUCGAUUUGAGAACAUGAGGGCCCACUCGUGUAAGUGAUGAGAUGCUCAUCUCUUUUCCUAAAACAUGUAUUAGCUAUAGUAAGAUCAAAAGCCGAUGAAAAAUCUAAGAUGGAAUUAUCCCCGGCAUUUAACUCCCCAAGACCAUACCCCCAAUGCACGCCCUCAAAACCUCUUGAAACACUCCCUACAUGCCCAUUUAAAUCACCUCAUAGAAAAAUCUUUUCUCCUAAUGGGAUAUCCUGAAUUAAGCCUUCUAGCUCCUCCCAAAACUUGACUUUAAGGUGUUCUUCUAACCCUACCUGAGGUGCAUAAGCGCUAAUUACGUUAAAGGUCUCUUGUUCCACUACAAACUUUAGGGAUAUAAUCCGAUCUCCUAUCCUUUUAACAUCCACAAUAUCUUUCUUCCACUCGUUAUCCACAAUGAUGCCUACCCCAUUUCUCGAUCUAACUUCGCCUGUGUAUCAAAGCUUAAAUCCUGAACUAUCUACUUCUUUCGCCUUUUUCCCCACCCACUUAGUUUCUUGUAGGCACAUAAAAUUAAUCCUCCUCCUGGUCAUAAUGUCUACUACUUCCAUAGAUUUACCCACAAGAGUACCUAUAUUACAUGUCCCAAAACGAAUCCUGCUCUCAUGAACUAGCUUCUUUACCCACACCCGUUCACGAAGAUGUGGAAACCCUUGCUUAUUUUUCACUACAUCCAGGCGGUGAUGCAGCGGCCCUUGCUCAUUUGACAUUGUACUCGAGCUAUACAGCGUGUUGCUUCUAGGCAACGACCUAACAUUCACACUAUUUUGUAUUUGGUCCAUGUCAUAGAGAUUCGGCAAAGUUUUACGUUGGCUGUCGAGGCAUAACAUAACCUUCCUUUUACUCGGGCUUGGGAUCGACCUUGGUAGGAUUAAAGUACUAUGAUAAAUAUCUUAAAACAUAAACAACUAAAUUAAUUUUGAAUAAAAGAUGAAUUUGAAGGAGCAAAAGAAUAUUUUAGCACAACUUUUUACUCAUUAUUAUGUUGUUAGGGAAUUAGAAAGUGUGCUAGCUAGUCUUUGAUGUGAUAUGAUUACUACCAUUAGUUGUGGAAUUACAAAAGUUUAGGGGAUGACUACCGACUUGUAUACUUCUAUUAUUGGUGCAUCAUUGUUUUUCAUAGAGGGCUAUAUUUUCUACAAAACACUAGUUAUCCCUUUGAACCUUGAAACACCUAUGAAUAUCCUUUGCCAGAAUUUGAGGAAUGCUUGAUGAGAGAGGACGAAUAAUAGGUCAAAGGUCGGUUGAACUAUACGCAAGUUUCAACAAAGAUAAAAGUUGGAAAUUAUUUUUACUUUAUUUAUAAUGUUAUAUCUAAGGAGGGUGUAUUGAAUUAGGAUUUUAAAUGAUAAUUUUUGUUUAAAAAAGUUUUGAAGAUUUUAAAAGACUUAGCAUAAUUUUGAUGACUUUAAUUAUUUUAAAAGACUAUUAAAGAUUUCAAUAGAUUUAAUUCAUAAGGUUUUAAAGGAUUUAAAAUGAUUUUAUGGAUUUCAAGAGACUUCAGCAGAUUUUAUGAAUAUUAAUAAAUAAUUGAAAAAAAAAAUCAUAACACACUCUCUUUCACAAAAUCUCAAUAAAGAUUUUUUUAUUUUUUUAUGUUAUUUUUAUUUUUUACGGGAGAGAGAGGAAAAGAGAGAGUAAUAGAGAAGGGAGGAGAGAGGGAGAGAUAUUAAUAUCUUAAAAGAAAAAAACAAUCUUAACAAAUAUUAUGUUUUCAUGAAAGACUUUUUCAUGCCAAAAUUUCACUAGAAAAUUCCACAAAAUUCAUCAAAAUCUGAUUUAUUAAAUAAUCUUUCAAAAUUUGAAUGAUUUUGAAUACCACUAAACUUUUUUGUAAGUGAUUAAGAAUCUUGAUUGAUUAUAACAAGACUUUUUUUGACUUUUUUAAAUGACAAAAAAUUUUGAUUGAACAAUGCAAAAUUUUUUUUAAAUUGAAAAGAAUCUCAUUAUUGAAUAUCACAAAAUUUUUUCAUUAUAAAACAGUCUUUUAAAAUUCCUUAAAAUCAUGAUCCAAUAUACCCUAAAUGAAUGAGCAAUUUUCUGAAAAUAAAGUAACACAAAUUCAGCCCAUUUUACUUUCUACCAAGUUUUAGGGUUUUGGGUAGAAACAACAGUUACACUUUGUACCAAGUUUUCUUUUCUCGCGGCGGCGAUUCAAGACCUUCGAAAUGGGUAAGAACAAACCAAUCCUUUAUUCUCUCGUACUCAAUUUAAUUGAAUCUGAAUCAUUUAUUCUCAUUUUAACGCAAUAGCUAAAACAUAUGAGCUGAGGCAAAAAACAAAACCAGAUCUUCUGAAUCAAUUGAAGGAUCUGAAAGCAGAACUUGCUCUCCUUCGCGUCGCGAAAGUCACCGGCGGUGCCCCUAAUAAAAUAUCCAAAAUGUAUGCCUUUUCCGCUGCACUUAAUUGUAUACAUAUUUUCUUGUUUUUAUUAUAUAAUAAUGUUUGUUUUAAUUUAAAUACGCUGAGAUUCAGCCCUUAUGUAUCUAUCUAACUUUCUGCAGCAAAGUGAUUCAAAACAAAUUACUAGGAGUGAAUAGGCAAAAACCCCCUGAAAUUGUAACUUUCGUCAAAAACCCCCCUGAUUUUUAAGAAACUUGAAAAACCCCUUUGAAAUUAUCAAACGUCAGUCAAUUACCCCCCUCCGUUUGUUUUGGCUGUUAAAUGACUAUUUUUUUUAUUUCUUUUUGCUUUCUUCAUCUUCUUCCUUCCACUUUUUUCAUCAUCUUCUUCAAUAUUCAUAAAAAAAAAUCCAGAAAAAUUUAAGAAACAACAACCAUUAACAACAUCAUCAUCAACAUCACACACUUUAUAAUGAUUCUCUCUCUCUCUUGUUUGUUACCUUCUUGAAUUAAUCAACAACAACCCUUUGGAAUUCAUCAACAACAAAAUGAAUAAUAGAAAAGAUCAUGAACUUGUUGGAAAAAGAACAAGGUUUAUGAUGAAUAGCAUGAACAACAACAUCAACAACAACGGUUCUUCUCAUUCUCAUGAUGUUACUGUUCCAUCAUCACUCAUGUCUCCUCUUCAGAAUAAAUCACUUUUUAACCCUCAUUCAAAUGGAUUUCCUUUUUGGAGCAGCGAUGAGAUUACCAACAACAAUGAUCAUCAUCAUCAAUUGUCUCUUGAUCUUUCUGCUACGACCCUUUUGGAUAACAACAAUGAGCAACAAACAAGAGAAGUUAGUAAUGAGAUGAUGAUGAUGUUGUUAAUGGUUGUUGUUUCUUAAUUUUUCUGGAUUUUUUAUAAAUAUUCAUGAAGAUGAUGAAAAAAGUGGAAGGAAGAAGAUGAAGAAAGCAAAAAAAAAAAAAUAAAAAAAAAUAGUCAUUUAACUGCCAAAACAAACGGAGGGGGGUAAUUGACUAACAUUUGGCAAUUUCAGGGGGGUUUUUGACGAAAGCUACAAUUUCAAGGGGGUUUUUGCCUAUUUACUCAAAUUACUAGAUAUUUUUAGAUAUUUUUUUUUGUGUGUUUAUGAAUUUGAUUGUUUUUGUUAUUGUUUGGAUGCAGCAAAGUUGUUCGGCUUAACAUCGCACAGGUUUUGACAGUGAUUUCACAGAACCAAAAGACAGCAUUGAGGGCAGCGUAUAAGCACAAAAAGUACUUGCCUUUGGAUCUUCGUCCCAAAAAGACCAGAGCUAUUAGAAGACGUCUCACUAAGAAUCAGGUAUUUUUUUAUGUUCUACAUUGUUUCUGUUUGUGUUCUGUGGUAAAUAAGCAGAGAGGUGUGUCAAUAUUGAAGUGAAUAGUUUAUGAAGUUGGUGAAUUCUGAUUUUCAAAGCUUCUCUUGUUUUGAUCAAUUACUCUAGAGUGUCUUUUUCAUAUUGAACUUAUGGGAUUGCGUAAACAUAGCCGAAUUUUAAUAAAUCUAUAUUGUUCUACUAUCCUCUAUUUAGUAGAAAGUGUUGUCAAAUAGCCACCAUUGCAGUGCGGAAGUAUAGAAGAAUUUGAACAAACUGCUAUUUUCCGUGAUGUGCGAUUGACAACAUUGCAAAAUAUAGGAAUAUGGAACAUUUAUUCCCAUGAAAAUGGGCGUCAAAAAAGUUUCUAUGUAGGUGGGAAUACAUCCAUGUCUCUUUUAAAAUAAAUUUUGGGAAUAUUAUAAAUGUUAACCCAACAUCCUUUUUUAAAAGCUAUGAUAAAACAUCUAUCUUUGUAUUCUAAAGAAAGUUAUUUUCUGGAACAAGUCUAAGGCUUCUUCCAAAAUUUUUGAGAAUAUUAUAACUAUACAGAUUGAAUUUGAAGAUUUCAUCUAAAGCCUCCUUUGACACAAUUCUGAAUUCCUCUAAAUUAGGGGGGAUUUGUUAUGAAAAAAAAAGAACCCUAAAGCCCUUUUCCUCCCAAAGUACUCUAUUUCUUCCACUUGCUCCAUUUUUACCACUGCCCUCCCCUCCUAAACUCCUAAACACACCCUAAAUCUGGAACACUUAAAACAAACACGCCCUUAAGCUUGGAAUGUGGCAGAUUUGACUGUAAUGUUCAGCCACAUUUCUUCAGAAACUCAGAUUAAGCUUGCUUUGUUUAACUGGCAUGGUUUAGGUUAGGCCACAACAUGUGUUGCACAUAUUAAAAUGAAGACGAACAAUUCACUCAUUUUUUCAUAAUUGUUUAUGUGGACAAUAAAUAUGGAUCUUAACUUUAUGCACUAUGAGGGCCCCACAAGAUUUGUCAACAAGACCACACACCUUUUGUAAUAACUCUAGGGACUGGGGGAACUGGGUUUCGUUGUAGAGUUUUGCUGCAAUGGAAUUAUUUUAUCGAUGUGCCUUAUUGGAGCAUAGAUUAUAUAUUUGCCUGUUAUGACUGGUGCAAACCUUUUGUUUUUAUAGAACCUUAGUGUACCUGUUUUGACUUUUGUGACCAAUCUUUGUUGGUGAAGUUGUUUUGAGUAUCUUCUUUUCAUGAAUUCAUUGAAUUGCUGACUGCGGUUUCAUUGAAUAUUAUAAGCAAAAACUCAAUUGUUAGUUUCAUUGAAUAACUGAUGAAUAUGUUGUAUAAUAUUGACCAAAGAGUGUAUGAAUUAUCUUUGCGCCUUACUUUUCAUGAAUUGACUUGGUAUUUCUUACAGCUCUCUUUGAAGACAGACCGUGAGAAGAAGAAGGAAAUCUACUUCCCAUUGAGAAAGUAUGCCAUUAAAGCGUAAUGUUGGACCCUUUUUUUUUUUUUGUGGACAUUUUUCUAAAAAUAUUUGGUGUUGUGUUCUAUGUUUGUUUCCUUGAGUUUAACUUAUCUUCAUGAAAUGGAAUUACAAGUACAUUUGUUCUCAUUCCAGCUUCAGGUUUUUACUGCUUGAACUGUUUGUUUACUUUACCAUUUGGCACAAAUAUGUUUACAAAUAGUCGCAUCAAUAUAUAUGCAAGUAUGAUCGUUGUAACUUGAAUGACUAUGCGGUACGAGAGUCAUGUUGUGUUUGCUCCACUCUAUGUGAAUGCACGUCAUCGUGCGCUACUUCGGACAGCUCCAACACAGGACUAACGGCCUGAGGUAACCUUCCUUGAGGGAUUUCAUCCAUAACAUUAUGCAAUGCAAAGCUGAACGAGUUGGCGGAAACGUCGUUAUUAACGGCUACGACAUAAACAACGUUAUUAACGGGUACAACAACAUCGUUAUUAACGGGAGCUGACUGUUCCUGAUUGUUCAAACCACCUAUUGUAGAAGUUGGGGCUGUAUCAACAUGUUGAACCAUAUGUGUGUAUUUAGCGACAACAGUUUGAGUUAAUGCCUGUUCUUGGUUCUGCUUCUUUGUAAUAUAGAACGUUGAUCUAUACUACUAUGUAUUAUUGCUGUUGAAGCAGGGGAAGAACAGAACAUGUCCAUUCUUUUCAUGGAUAUAAGUUGAAUUGAAGUUAAGUUGUUUAAUUUGUUUGGUUUGUAAAUGGCUUUUUAAGUAGUAGCUGAAGGUAAUGAAGGCUAAAGGGAGUGUAAUUGUAAGAUCUUUCUAAUAUUGAGAGAGGGAAAAGAAGAGAUAAUGCAUUAUUAGGUCUCACUGUAAUGAUGCCUUGGAAGAUUUGGGAUUAAUCUCGAUCUUCAAAGUGCAUUUUCUCUUUAAUCCUUAUUUAUUUUCCUAAAAUAUGUAUCCUUUUAUAUUUUGUUCAAAAUUCAAUUAUCUCCUUUAUUUUUUAAAAUAUUCAUUUUAGUCGUUUAUCUGNACAACGAUAGACGAAGAAAAAUGUUAUGUGAACAAUAGUGAUUGAAUAUUAUGUGAACAAUAGUCGUUUUUUUAAAUAUUUACAUUGAAUGACUAUUGUGACUACUUGUUACAUAUUCAGCUACCAAAGUAAAUUACCCCAUAAUAAAUUUGUAUCGGAAUUUGUGUAUUUUAUUUUAUAUUAAAUAUACAAAUUUUGUUAUAUUUUUAGUUGCUUUUGUUAAUUUAUGUUUUUUUAUAUUUUCAAUAAAAAGUAAUGGAGUAUUUAGAUUUUUUUUUAUGUACAUGAGUCACUCUCUGGUUAAUUUUAUUUUGUAAAUUUUAUUUUCUAUUUAGCAUAAAAAUAUCACGUUGAAUUAGUUAUCAUUUCUUAUCUUUUAGCAUAAGUUUUAUUUUAAUUCUUUUUAAAUUUUUGUUUUGAAGAAGUCAACCUAUACCAUUGAAAUUGAGAUUGGAGAUAAUCAAACCUAAGACCUUGAGAAAAGCAUACUUCAAGGUCUCAAGCCAACGCCUAUUUUAUAGUUUUUUUUAAUUUAUUAUGCACAUGUGCUACAACAAUUUAUAAUUAAAAUAGUUAUUUUUAUGUAGUAAAUAGCUCAACAAAUGACAUCUAGAUUAUUAUUAUAAACAUUGAGUACGAAUAUCAUUACUUUCAUGUUUGCAUCCAUUGAUUAAAUGUGCUACAAUAUCAAUAUAUUUUAUCUGUCUGCAGGAGUUUUUUUUUUUUGAGGGAAUCUGUCCGUACGAGUUAACCUACCCACUUUACCCCUAUGAUGGGUUUUAUCUAUGCAUAUCAACUUAUAUUUUUUGUUAUCCCUAAUAAUUGCUACUUCACUAAAAAAUUGUAAAGGUCUAUUUUUUUAUGCAUUAAUCAGAUACCCUUUAAACGCAAGAGAGGAGUUAGAUAGGGAGAUCCCCUCUCCUCUUCUUUACUGCAUUGUUGAGGAUGUUUUGAGUCGAAACAUCUCCAAACUUGUGGAACAAGGCAAGCUUAAUCUCAUCAAAGGCACCAGAAAUGUUCAAGUUCCUUCUCAUUCUCUUUAUGCAGAUGAUAUAAUGAUCUUUUGCAAAGGAAAACUAUCUUCAAUUAAUGCCCUCAUGGAUUUGUUCAAUUCUUAUGCUUUGACUUCAGGUCAAUUUAUUAAUCCCUCUAAGUCUACUGUGUUUUAUGGCUCAAUUUCAAAUGCAAGGCUGGAGCAGAUAACCAAUCUUAUUGGUUUUAACAAAGGCUCACUCCCAUUUUCUUAUCUUGGAUUACCAAAUUUUAAAGGAAAACCAAAGAAAUCUCAUUUGCAGCCUAUUGCAGAUAAGAUAAAGUCUAAGCUUAGUGCGUGGAAAGCUUUUCUUCUCUCUAUUGCAGGGAGGGAGAGUGACUUUGGUUAAGUAUGUGAUUCAAGGAAUGAUGAUGCACACUAUAUAAUCUGUACUCUUGGCCUAAUUCAUUGCCGAAGGAAGUUGAAGCUUGGAUCAGGAACUUUAUUAAUUUGGAGUGGUGACAUAUCCAAAAGGAAGUUAGUGACUGUUUCUUGGAGUAAAGUUUGCAAACCCUACUCUGAAGGAGGUUUGGGAUUGAGAUCCUUGUACACUUUGAAUGAAGCUGCAAACCUUAAGUUCUGUUGGGAUCUCAAAAAUUCAAAUGAAGACUGGGCCAUUCUUCUAAGAAGUAAGGUGUUUAGAGGAAGCAAAGUAAUUUCAAUGAAAAUUGCAGUGUUAAGUCAGAGAUUAUUAAUAUCAAUGAAAAGUGCAGCUGGAUCAUAGGUAAUGGGGAAAAUAUCAAUUUUUGGCUUGAUCCGUGGCUUGACAACCUGUUGCUUCUAUUCUUAACUUGCCAGGCAACAUUCAUAGUAGUUUAAUAGAUAGGGUUUCUGAUUUUUUAACAGAAACCCUACUCUUUGGGAGAAAUUUGGUCAAUCUUAGAUCAUAGUUGGACUCCUCAGUGCUAGCAGUGUACAUAGGAGAGGACAUGAAGAGAUUUGUGAUCCCUAUAUCAUAUUUGAAGCAAAAAUCAUUCCAAGAAUUGCUGAGCCAAAGUGAGGAACAAUUUGAAUAUGAUCAUCCAAUGGGUGGUCUCACCAUUCCUUGCAGAGAAGACAUUUUCUUGGAUAUCACCUCUCACUUAAUUUGAAUUAGCUCUUUGAAGAUAUCAUAGGACUGACGUAGUUAUUUGACCCAUUUUGUAGCAGUUUAGUUUCUAUCCUUCAGAAGAUUAAUCUUUUGUUGUUAUCAUAGUUGUAAAAAUGUUCAUCUCAAUGAGAAAUUUAUUAACAUCAUUUUCUCCAUAAAUAUAAAUCUGUAAAUCAAAUCAUCUAAUGGAUAAAUGUUCAGUUUAGAAUCUUUAAAUGAUAUAAUGGAAGAUUCAGUUAUUCAAAUAUAAAAUCAACCCCCCCUUUUGCAAAUAUAAAAUUAAAGUUAAAAGUAACUAUCAUGAUUUAACGAGAUCAUAGAUUGUAUAUAUUGAAAAAAAAAAAAAAAAACUGAAGAGAAGCAGAUAAUUAUUCAAUAAAAAUUGGUUAAGCAACAAGUCGCUUUGGCCGAGUGGUUAAGGCGUGUGCCUGCUAAGUACAUGGGGUUUCCCUGCGAGAGUUCGAAUCUCUCAGGCGACGAAUUCUUUUUCUAACAAAAUUGAGUUACUCUACACUUUACUUUAUAAUCAAAUUCUUUAAUGACAAAGUUGUUUUUCUUUUGCUUUGAAAUGACUAGUUACAAUUUUGCUCUCAAAAAAGAAAGUAAUUUCAAUUUUGCUGUAAAAAAAUGUGUAAUUUCACACAUGGGAGAGAUGAAGAACUAAGGGUGUGCACACUUCUUUGAGUUAGAUAUUGUAUUUGGGGUUUGUCGAAAUUCAAGAUAAAUUGACGCAAUUUUUAAUAAAUUAGAGACCAAGAAAAAAAUUGAUGUAAUUUUUAAAACACAUUCCAAGACAUAUCAAAUAAAAUGUGAAACACUUUUUUUUAAUAAAUCAAUACAAUGUUCUUCAACCUCAAUUUAGAACCACUGAUGAGGACAGAAGGGGCAAAAAAUGUCAUGACCAGCUAGAAAUCCAUUUUGGUUUGUAUCUCUCAAAUACAAAUUAUGUAAAACUUCUUUUCUUUUAAACAUUUUGAGGACAGAAAAUCAGUUACCCUUUUUUUUUUUUAGAGAAAAAAUCAAUUACCCUUGAAAACCUCAACAGAUCAUCAUAUACCAUCUCCUAUAUAUAUAUAUAUAUACACUCAAACCAUCCCUCUUUUUUCAUAACUCUUUGCCACUCACACUUACUUUACAAUCAAAGUUCAAAUUCAAAUCUAAAAACAAAAGAGAAAACAAUUCAGAAGAAUGGGUGAUUUACAGAUUCAACAAGAAUCCAUGUUGAUCCCUCACAAACAGAAACAAUCCAUGAUUAUUCCAACAUCAUCAAUGCUUCAUCAUCACACUCACAACAACACUGUCAAACGCCGUUCACCAUCAUCAUCAUCUUAUCACCAACCAUCAUCCAAGAAGCAUUCUUUUGACGCAAGCAAUCUCACCCGUAAUGGCUUCUCUGCCAUUACACUUCCUUUCAGUCUCCGUGGAAAUGCUCUUAGCCGCUGUGUCUCUGAUCCAUGCACCUUUCCGGAUCAAUCCAUGCCGGUAAAAGGGCCGUCAACUGCUUUGCAGCCUCUGCCUCCGAUCAGCAGAUGUAUAUCUGAAGUUAUUGAUCCUACUGAGGUUAAAGAAGCAGUAGCUCGUUAUUUGAACUGUGCUGAAAAAACCACCCCUGAAUCUGAUUCAAUGGUAUGUGUUGAAACUUGUGUUUCUUGCUAAAAAAGUAAACUUUUUUUGAUUUGGAAUAUUGGGUUUUGUUUGUUUUUUGUAGAGGCUUAAAAGGAUGAAGGAUCGGUUAAAAGAAAUGAAGAAAGUGUGGGAUGAAGUUAUGGAAGUCGGGGAAGAAAAUGAAAAAGAACAAGAAGAAGAAGAGCCCUCUCCUGAUGCUGAAGAUAAAAAAGAUGAAAAAGAACAAGAACAAGAAGAAGAACCCUCUCCUGAUGCUGAAGAUGAAAAAGAUGAAAAAGAACAAGAACAAGAAGAAGAACCCUCUCUUGACUCUUUUGUUUCUGAAGAUGAAAAAGUCAUAUCUCAGGUACAUAUCUUGAAUAUUCAACUGUGAUUGAGUUUUCUAUUGUAAUCUUCAAUGUAUUUGGUUCUUUAAUUGGUACUUACAAGUUAUGCUCAUAAAUUUAUAAGUUUUUUCUUGUUUUUAUGUAUAUCCUAGUUGCACUUGCUUAAUUACGUAGAAUCCGGGGGUUAUGGGAAAUUAAAGUAUUGAAUUUGAUCAUAGUUGCAUUUGUAAUUAUAGUUUAUGUGCAGCAAUUUUAACAACUCAAUUAUAUAGGAUCUGGGAUUUAUGGGAAGUUAUUGAAUGUUUCGUUGCUUGUUCACAUAAUUUCUCUUCUGUAGUUAAGCAAUAGUCAUAUACGUUAAUGCUAGUAAGUUGUCCAUCACAGAUCACGGAAAUAGUGGUUUGUUCCAAUUCAGAUUAAUAGUUUUUAUGCUGAACAAUUGAUUUUUGUUUUUGUAGGAUGAAUUGGGAAAUGAUUAUGAAGAAGCUGUUAGUGUGGAGUGGGUUGAUAAGUGUUUAAGCCUUACUUUCAAGUGUCCAUGUGGCAAGGGAUAUGAGGUUCUAAUCUGUGCAAACAAUUGUUACUACAAGUUGGUCUAGAAGAAUCAGUAUGCUUAUUUGUGACAUGGAUCACUUUUGUUUAUAUUCUGUUUUAGUUUGGAAAAAGCUUGUCUGUUUUCAUUUGUAGUAGCACUUGGUUGUCACUAGAAGAACCAGUCUAUAUUUGUAGAUCCUUUACAUUUGUUUUGUAAAUAAGUUGGUAUGUACUAUCUCAACAUUCUUUGAACAUAAUGAAUGAAAUUAUUUUUAUACCAUCUAUCAGUUCAAUUCCUUGUGAAGUAAGCAUUACUAGUUCCUUUAGACAGUUGACUGCACAGUUGGGUUUGCGACGUUAUUAUUGACACAGCUUACUACCUUAGCAAGUACAAAACCUAAAUUUACAUGUGUCAACAUAAAACCUCUGCAAAACAUGCUAUGAUGAGCUACAAAGAAACAAGAACAACAAACCCUUAGCAACAGAAAACACAUGCUAUAUUGCACUCAAUUCAAUUCUGCCUGCAUAUACAGUCAAAAGAGAGACAAGCAAAUAAGUCAGGAGGAGAGGAAACAAGCAAAGUGAAACAAUGAGGUGCAUAUUACCUCUUCAUGUUUCUUUAACAUUUUUAGUAUAUGGAAAACUCUCUUUUCUAUAAUAAAAUAUCUCACUAAAGACUAAAAUUCUCUCUUUUCUAUAUAAUUCAAUCUAAUUAAUUCAACCACCCAAAUUGCGUUGACGACAUAUCAACUCUCCAUGUGUCACGUCGUAAAUAUUCUGAUGUGACACCUCUAAGAAAACUCCACAUUCUUCUAUGUGAACGCAUUUAUGCAUCCAAUAGUAUUCACUACUAGUCAUUUGUCAUUUGAGUUACAAUAUAAUAUAGCCGUUGCAAAUUAAAGUAUUAUUUACUCAAAAUUCAUUGCUUCUCGUCAAUGUCAUUAUUGGUAUUUCACCUUUAUUUCUUUAGCAAUGCAAAACACAUUAAUUUAAUUUGAUGCAUCUUAUAGAAAUUCAUUCUUGGCUCACUUAGAUAUAAUCUCAUCCUCAACUUACUAUAUGUUUUCUCUUGCUUUUGUAAUCAUCCUUUCUCUCAAGGUAAUCAUCUUAGUGAAAGACUAAAGAGCCACAACCCCACAAAACCGGCUUGUGAGGUGAGGAUUGCCUCCACUUAUAAACACUUUGUCAGGAAAUCUCUUAUCCGAUGUGGGACUCUUUAACACCCUGAUUCUGUAAAGGCUUCACAUCAGGGUUCAUAGGAGUAUCAAUUGGUUUACAAUCGAGCAUCCUUGUUUCUUCCAAGAUAUGAAAAACAUAUUUUCUCUGAGAAAUAACAAUGACAGUCUGUGAUUGAGCUACUUCAGUCCGAAGAACAUAUAACAUAACCGACCUAAUUUUUUUUGGAAAGCGGCCGAAUAAAUGUUGUUUUUGGUCUCUAAUUCAUUCUUAGUCCUUACUGGUAAUAACAAUGUCAUUUACACAUAACACAAGAUAAAUGACUUUGUUCGAAGAUGAACUUUAAAAGAAUAUAAAUUGAUCAGCUUCACAAAGAAUCAUGCCAAAUUGUUGAAUAACCUUGCUGAGUUUUCUGAACCAAGAUCGAGGUGAUUGAUUUAUAUCCUCCUAAGCAAUAAAUCCAAGUGGUUACUCCAUAAAUCUCAUCUUCUAUCAGUCGAGAUUUCAAAUAAUCCACCUGUUUAUGUUGGCCUACUUUAAUAGCAAGGGCCCACUAACAACCAAAUUUAGAGUUUCAAGGAGGUAUCAAGCUAGAUUUCAUGUACCACUAGACUCCAAUGCAUUCAUUUCAUCAAUCAUUGUUUUUUGCCAUCCUGGAUGGGAUAUUUCUUCCUGGGCGAACUUAGGAAUUGAGAUAACGGAUAUUGCAAAGACAAAAGCAUAGUGGGAUUGAGACAAACCAUGAAAAUUCAAAAGGUUAUACAUAGGAUGAGAAUUAUAAGUAAUCUGUUUACCUUUUACGAAGAGUAAUAUGUAAGUCAAUCGAAGGAUCAGGUGGGACCACAGUUGGGCAAAGGAUUGGAACCGAACCCGUAUCACUAAAAGAGGUAGGAAGAUUCUCUUGAGCUAAAUUGCCAAAAUCAGUUGGAGCACUCUCUCGAACUUUGACAUGUCAACGUUGAUAAAUAAUACCAUAAUAAUGAAACUUAGAACCACUAUGUGACCGUGGAGGUCUGUGAGUACAGACAAGUGUUUCAAAUAUAGGAAUAGGUAGCACAUGAGUACUAUCAUCUUUUGCAGAAUCAGAUGUAGCUGGUGUCACAAGUAUUUUCAAAGAAUGUAACAUUUGCAGAGAUAUAAAAUGGAUGUGUAGAUGGACAAUAACAUUGAUACCCCCUUUAAACUCUGAACUACCCCGGAAGCACACACACUUGAUAAACUGUGCCGACAAUCUUUCGCGACCAGGAGAUAGAUCAUGAACAAAAUAAGUGGAUCCAAACACUCGAAUAGGAACAAAAUAAAGGAGGUCCUUAUGAAACAAGUGAAAUGUGGAAUCACAUUAUCCAAUAUUGAAAAUGACUUGUAGUUGAUCAAAUAACAGACGGUGAAAAGUGCAAUACCUCAAAUUUUGAAAGAAGCAUGAGAAUUGAUCAAUAAGGUACGAGCUGUAUCAACUAGAUGACGAUGUUUCCGCUCAGCGAUACUAUUUUGUUGUCGUGUGUGUGGACAACUAGACUUAUGGUUUGUGCCCUGAGAAGUCAAGAAGAAGUUGCAUCGUGAAGAAAAGAAUUCUUUGGCAUUGUAACUAACACUUAUAAGAGCGGGUAAUCGAAAGCCCAUUUUAUGUGCUUAUUUGGGAAAAGAAGAACAGAGCAAAGAUAUAAAUAUAUUAAGAAGGAUGUAACUAACACUUGACGUUGCCAAUGACUAAUGUUGUUUUUGAAGGAAAUAGCAAGUAUAUUUAUAAUUAUUGAGGUUCUCUGAAAAGUGAAAAUCCGAUUCCAAUCUAAAAUAUUAUUUGAAAGAGUUGAAAGUUAAAGAGCAUAAGAUAAUAUAUCAUGUGGCGUUGUCUUAAGAUUGCAUUUAUCGUACCCCACCUUCUAAGAAAAUGGCCAAUAUAAAGCAUCCACUUGCAACCAAAUGAGACUUUCUCAAGUGCAGAGCAGCCUCAUAUCUGUUCGUGCAUUAAUUACUACUUCAUAAUUAUGAAAACAUGCUUAGACAUGUUUUUUUUUUAUUAUAAUAGUGUUGAUGUCCAGAUGCUAAAUUAUACUUUCAAGUUGAUUAAUUAUAUGCUGGCCUCUGCUCAACAAGGUGGGACUUGCAUUAUCUAUCUACCACAACAUUUGAUGUUGAUCUUUGAGAAAGUCCUCAAAACUCUUAAGACAACACCAUGUGAUGUUUCAUAUGCUCUUGUCUGACCAUGACUCAAAUCUUAUGGCCCUCAUUCACUGAGCAUUAUAGUUGCCGACGAUUUGUUAAGUAUCCUUUCAUCUAUAUAUAUUCAUGGCUGCAAGCCUUUAGCACCAACACAAAUCAUUCACAUUCCAACUCUCAUUUGAAGUUCAAAAACUUGACUCUUUUCUAUAUACAAGUUUGUCUAUUUUAGACCAAUCUCUUCUUUUCAACACAUACAAUACGACAAUGGGUUUCCGUUUACCUAGUAUCAUCAAAAGGUCAUCAUCUUCAAAAUCUGUGGGCGUUCCAAAGGGAUAUCUAGCAGUGUACGUAGGAAAGGAGAUGAAGAGAUUUGUGAUCCCUAUAUCAUAUUUGAAGCAAAAAUUAUUCCAAGAACUGCUGAGCCAAAGUGAGGAACAAUUUGAAUAUGAUCAUCCAAUGGGUGGUCUCACUAUUCCUUGCAGAGAAGAAGUUUUCUUAGACAUCACUUCUAGCUUGAAUUGAAGUAGCUCUGAAGAUAUUAGAAGAUUGACAUAGAUAUCUGAUCAAUUUUUGUAUGAAAUUAGUUUCUAACCUUCAAACGAUUUCCACUUUUGUUGUUAUCAUACUUGGAUGUAAAACAUUCAUCGGAAUGAGAAAUUUAUAUACACUAUUACAUUAUUUCUCUAUUCCUUCCUUCCUCUUAAUUAUCAAUAUGAAAAUCGAUUGCUAAAUGUUCAGUUUAUGAUAUCUCUGACAAAAUGAAAAAUUCAUUUACUUCAUUUAUAAAAUUGAAUCUCCUCUGUUACAAAAAAAAAAAAAAAAAAAAAAACUGAUAUAAUUUAGUGGUCAUAAAUUAAGUAUAUAUUGCGAAAAAAUCUUCAAGAAUAACACUGAGUCUAGCUAUAUUGAUUUAUUUGUAGUUUUAUUUUGAGUCAUAGAUCCUGUUGUUGAUUUGUAAAAAAAAAUAAAAGGUUUAUUUGCAUUUACUUGUUGGCCAAGUUGAGCUUAGGCAUGAAUGUCACCUACAAUUUCUUACAAUUUUUGUUUUGAGAAAACUAGAAGAGUUAAAGACUUCAGAGCCAUAAGAUCAAGCAGGGAAAUUUGAAUCAACUUCAACCCCUGGAGUUGAAAUAAUUAUCUGGCUUGUAAAUUUAAAUUAAACUUGUAUAAAAUUGAAGUUUAGAUGCUAAUUUUUACUUGGGAGAUAAGACAAUAGUUAAAAUAAUGAGGUUCAAAUUUUUCUUUUUUUGAAUAUAUGUGAAAUAUUUAACCAAACUAUACCUCUUAAUAUAUAAUCAUCAAUGGAAUAAAAGACAUUUUUUGAAGACAUAGGCCAAACCUAAUUAAUUUAACUAAAUUAUUAAUGGUUAAUGAUUUAUUUCAAAAAAUUUAGUUAUUUACCUGGAAUUAGCAAAACAGGUAUUGCUGCAUAGAAAGGUUUAGCUGGAUUUUACAGAAAUAAAAAUAGCAGAUUGUCUUUUUUCAACAGGCUCAAAGAACUAACUAUAACUUGUGGUAGGCUUUAUUUUUUAAAUCAAUAAAAUUAUUUAUUCUUCAUAAGCAGGCUGAUAUUUAAGGAACUAACUAUAGCUAGUGAAAGUUGUAACUGAUAACGUAAAUGAGCUCAAUGAUGUUAUUAAACAAUAAAAAAGAGGACAGCAAUUUCUUUAAUUUGUUAUUCAAAUAGUAAAUUUUCUCCAUUUCCCAUGAAAAGGGUAAUAUUUACAAGUAAAAAAGAUGCCUAAAAUGAAAAUUGUCUCAAUUAAUCUAGUCUAUGUGAGUAUGCUACAGUGUAAGAUUCAUAGUCCAUUCAAGGAAGAAAUUAUAUGUUGGAAGACAUCUUCCGUGCAAGGAAUGGUGAGGCCACCCAUGGGAUGAUCAUAUCCAAAUUCUUCCUCGGAUUGACUCAACAAGUCUUGAAAUGAAGGUUGGUUUAAGUAUGAUACAGGGACUACAAACCGCACCAGUUUCUCUCCAACAUACACCGCAACAUAGCCCUUUCUCACUUCUACAGAUUUUGAUGUUGCUUGUCUAGCUGUUACCGAUCCUCUUAGAAUAGAGUUGAAAUGGAAACCCAUUUUUUUGUUAUUGUUUGAGAGAAGAACAAAUAAAAAAUCUCAAAUGUAAAAAGGAUGUAAGUUGAAACUAAAUAUUUGAUGAUGCCAAUGAGUUGUCCUGUUUGUGAAGGCGAGAGGAAGUGUAUUUAUAGAUUUUGAAGUUCUCUCAAAAUCAAAUUUCAACAAAAACUAUUAUUGAAGGGUUUGAUGGAUAGAGAGCAUAGGGAUAAGGUCUCAUGUGGUGUUGUCUAAGAGUGUACCCUACCUUCUUAAACAAAUGUCCAAUACAAAGCUUCCACUUGCUACCAAAUGAGAUGUGCUCAAGUGCAGCCUCAUAUUUCUUCAUGAUUUAAUUGGUGUACUUCAUAAUUUUGUAAACAUGCUUCAGACAUGUUUUCUUCAUUAUGAUAAUGCCGAUGUGAAGCUGGUAAGUGACUAUAAGGCCAUGGAUAACAAUAGAUCAACUCAAACCAUUCUACAUGUCUGUGGUUCUACUUUCAAGUCUAUCUAUCAUAUGAUGCUUCUACUCAAGAAUUAUGCAUUAUCUAUCUACUACACCAUUUGAAGUAUAUCCAUUCAUUUAGAGACAACACCAUGUGAUCUUUCAUAUGCUCUUGUCUGGCCAUGACUCAUAUCUCAUGGCCCUCCUUCAUUGAUCAUUGUAGUUGCUGACGGAUUCAUUAUUUAUCCUUCAUCUAUAUAUAUUAAUGGCUGCAAAGGCAUUUAGGACCAACAAAAAACCAUUCACAUCCCAAGGCAUUUGAAAUUCAGAAACUUGAGUCUUCUAUAUACAACUCUUUCUUUUUUAGACCAAGCUUCUCUUUUAAACACAUACAUACAACAAUGGGUUUUCGUUUACCAAGUCUCAUCAGAUCAAGAGUAUCAUCUUCAAAAGCUGUGGACGUUCCAAAGGGAUAUCUAGCAGUGUACGUAGGAGAGAAAAUGAAGCGGUUUGUGAUCCCUAUAUCAUAUUUGAAGCAAACAUCAUUACAAGAACUGUUGAGCCAAGCUGAAGAACAAUUUGAAUAUGAACAUCCAAUGGGUGGUCUAACUAUUCCUUGCAGAGAAGAAAUUUUCUUAGAUAUCACCUCUCACUUCAAUUGAAUUAGCUCUUUGAAGAUAUCAUAGGACUGACGUAGAUAUCUGACCCAUUUUUGUAGCACUUUAGUUUCAUACCUUCAAAAGAUUUUCACUUUUGUUGUAAUUUGGAUGUAAAAUGUUGAUCUAAAUGAGAAAUUUAUUAACACCAUUUUCAUAUUUCUCUAUUUCUUCCCUUUAAAUAUCAACAUGAAAAUCGAUUGUUAAAUGUUCAGUUUAGAAUCAAUAUUUGAUAAAAUGAAGAAAUUCAUUACUUCAAUUACAAAGUUGACUUCCCCUGUUGCAAAAGUAUAUAAUGUUAAAAGUAAGUUUUAUAAUUUAGUGAUCAUAAGUGAAGUAUGUGUUGCGGAAAAAAAAUCCGCAGAGAAAAAUAUUGAGUCAUUGAUCCUGUUGAUUUGUAAAAAAAAAUGGUUUAUUUGCAUAUACUCAUUGUCCAAGUUAAGCUUAUACAUUGAUAUCACCGACAAUAUCAAACAGUUAGCAAUCCUCUAGACUAUCUAGUGAAUCAAUGGUUUAUAGAGUGCAUGGCCACUACUGAUAAAUAUUCGACUGAAAUAAUAAAAGCUUAAGAUUUUCUGUUUUGAGAAAAUUUGAAGAGUGAAAGACUAAAGCUGAAGAGCGAUGAAGACAAAGCUGAGAUACAAAGACUCAAUAUAAAUCUGCGAUGAAGGGAAUCAAAAUUAAUCCUUCAUGCAAUGUUUUUGCUCAAUUUAGAAAUAAGGUUAGUGACAGAGAACAAGUUCUGCUCAUCAUUUUUGUUUGAUUCUGCCAAUUUGAUAUUCAUUGAGGAAGACAUGCACACAGUGAUAAGAUUAUAAGAUGAAGAAUCAAAUGUUGAUUCCAAUUUAUUUAUAAUCAUAAAAUGUUCUAGGCCUUAGUUACCACUUCAGUAACUCCUUGUUCAUGUUGACUGUUGCCAUAUGAAUAUCUUUAUUGAAGAUUAAAUUAGGAACAUUUGAUACAAAGUGGGGUUUGCAAACUGAAUACGAACACAUUAGAUGAAUCAAGUUAAACAGGAAAUGGAGUUACAAUUUUUGUUCAAACGACAUAAUGAUCUUUCACUUCUAAUAUCAAAUAUAACACACAUUUUACUUCUGCCUUGAGAAACUACAAGGCAUAUCAGUUACAAAGGGGGGAAAAAUAACUAGCUCACAUUCCAUGUGGUUCUUUUAAUGCUGCGACAAGUCUGUUAUUUUUUUUAAACUCAUUGUGACCACGUCGAUGUCUAUAAAAGUUUUCCUAACCUUUACAUGCAUGAUAAUUUAAUUUUUCCAGCUCAUAAUAGUAUGGUUCAAGAUUUGAGGUAAACAUUAUGAAAUUUGUGCAGCAAUAAAAUUAGGUCAGUGAUUAAUGGAAUCAUUAUUUACACUUGAACAGAAGGCAAUCAGGCAACAAGCUGCGCCGCUAGACUUGGUUUAAUAGCCAAAGAUUAAUUCUAAUCUUAGAAAUUCAAAUCAAAAACCAUUUGAAGCAGGCAGCCCAUAUUUGUGAACUCUAUAAAAUGUAAUGCAUGAAGAAAGAAUCAAAAACUAUAUCUAUCUAAUAUAUGAGAAUAGCAUUUCAAUUCCUCCUGAUAUAAAUAUAAUCGACCAUUAAUUAACAAAGAACAAUAAAGUCACAAAUAAUUAGAACAAUCAUAAAAUAAAUUAUAAACAGAAAUUAACAUAAAAUUGAUUGAGUCAUUAACAUAAAAUUGAUCGAAUCUAAAGUUUAAGUCACAUAGCACCACAUCUACAUCCUUACAUUAGAAACAAGGUGAUACCAAACUCUCAACGUAGACUUCAGGGAUAUUCCAACCAUUGAUGUUUUCAAUCAUUUUUCGUUUGGUCAACUGUGUGGUGUGCUUCCCUCCACUGCAUUUUUCGUUUGGUUUUUAAUUUACUGAAUCUAGGUAAGAAUAAAUACUCUUCCUUUCAUGAAUUUUGUGGGCAAUAUGUUUUUAUGGGCAAUAUGGCGACAACAAGUUAAAACGAUAUACAUGACUUUAAGAUUAAUAGUUUUUAUGCUGAACAAUUGAUUUUUAUUUUUGUAGGAUGAAUUGGGAAAUGAUUAUGAAGAAGCUGUUAGUGUGGAGUGGGUUGAUAAGUGUUUAAGCCUUACUUUCAAGUGUCCAUGUGGCAAGGGAUAUGAGGUUCUAAUCUGUGCAAACAAUUGUUACUACAAGUUGGUCUAGAAGAAUCAGUAUGCUUAUUUGUGACAUGGAUCACUUUUGUUUAUAUUCUGUUUUAGUUUGGAAAAAGCUUGUCUGUUUUCAUUUGUAGUAGCACUUGGUUGUCACUAGAAGAACCAAUCUAUAUUUGUAGAUCCUUACAUUUAUUCAUCGGCUGGUUUGACUUCGAUUAUCUUGCAGUCUUGUUUAACUGUUAAACUAUGUAUGAACCAAGAUUGAUUUGGCCGAUUUUUAAGUUACAAAACUGGAUUAGCAUUUAUGUCAAUAAUGAAAUUCUUAGUCACAGAUUUUGGGUUUGCAAUGUUAUUAUUGAGACAGCUUACUACCUUAGCAAGUACAAAACCUAAAUUUACAUGUGUCAACAUAAAACCUCCGCAAAACAUGCUAUGAUGAGCUUCAAAGAAACAAGAACAACAAGCCCUUAGCAACAGAAAAAACAUGCCAUAUUGCUUUCAAUUCAAUUCUUUGCUAAAUUAAUUCUGCCUGCAUAUACCGAAGCAAGUAAGUCAGAAAAAAGAGAGACAAGCAAAUAAGUCAGAUCCCAAAUUACAUUGAUAAAUAAUACCAUAAUAAUGAAACUCAGAACCACUAUGUGACCAUGGAGGUAUGUGAGUACAGACAAGUGUUUCAAAUAAAGGAAUAGGUAGCACAUGAGUACUAACAUCUUUUGCAGAAUCAUAUGUAGCUGGUGUCACAAGUAUCCUCAAAGAAAGUAACAUGUGCAGAGAUAUAAAAAGGAUGUGUAGAUGGAAAAUAACAUUGAUACCCCCUUUGAACUCUGGACUACCCCGAAAACACGCACUCGCUUGAUAGACCGUGCAUACAAUCUUUCGCGGCCAGGUGGUAGAUCAUGAACAAAAUAUGUGGAUCCAAACACUCGAAUAGGAACAAAAUACAGGAGGUCCUUAUGAAACAAGAGAAAUGUCGAAUCACAUUAUCCAAUAUUGAAAAUGACUUGUAGUUGAUCUAACAACAGACGAUGAGAAGUGCAAUACCUCAAAUUUUGAAAGAUGCAUGAGCACUGAUCAAUAAGGUACGAGCUGUAUCGAAUACGAUAUUUCUGCUCAGCAACACUAUUUUGUUGUCGUGUGUGCAGACAACUAGACUUAUGAUUUGUGCCCUGAAAGGUCAAGAGGAGUUUCAUUGUGAAGAAAAGAAUUCUUUGGCAUUGUAACUAACACUUAUAAGAGAAGGUAAUCAAAAGCCCAUUUUAUGUGCUUAUUAGGUAAAAGAAGAACAGAGCAAAGAUAUAAAUAUAUUAAGAAGGAUUUAACUAGCACUUGAGGUUGCCAAUGACUAAUGUUGUUUCUGAAGGAAAUAGCAAGUAUAUUUAUAGUUAUUGAGGUUCUCUGAAAAUCCAAUUCCAAGCUAAAUUAUUAUUUGAAAUUGUUAACGAUUAAAUAGCAUAAGAUAAUAUAGCAUUUGGUGUUGUCUUAAGAUUGUACCCCACCUUCUCAAAAAAUGGGAAAUACAAAGCAUCUACUUGCAACCAAUUGAGACUUUCUCAAGUGCAGAGCAGCUUCAUAUCUGUUCAUGCAUUAAUUACUAUUUCAUAACUGUGAAAACAUGCUAAGACAUGUUUUAUUUCAUUAUGAUAGUGUUGAUGUCAACAUAAACCACUCUACAUGUUUGUGGUUAUACUUUCAAGUUCAUUAACUCUAUGCUGGCCUCUGCUCAACAAGGUGGGACUUGCAUUAUCUAUCUACCACAAGAUUUGAUGUUGAUCCUUGAGAAAGUCCUCUAAAUUCUAAAGACAACACCAUGUGAUGUUUCAUAUGCUCUUGUCUGAACAUGACUCAAAUAUUAUGGCCCUCAUUCACUGAUCAUUAUAGUUGCCGAUGGUUUGCUAAGUAUCCUUUCAUCUAUAUAUAUUCAUGGCUGCAAGCCUUUAGCAUCAACACAAAUCAUUCACAUUCCAACUCCCAUUUGAAGUUCAAAAACUAGUCUUUUCUAUAUACAAGUCUGUCUAUUUUAGACCAAUCUUUUCUUUUUAACACAUACAAUACAACAAUGGGUUUUCGUUUACCAAGUAUCAUCAAAAGGGCAUCAUCUUCAAAAUCUGUGGGUGUUCCAAAGGGAUAUCUAGCUGUGUACGUAGGAGAGGAGAUGAAGAGAUUUGUGAUCCCUAUAUCAUAUUUGAAGCAAAAAUCAUUCCAAGAAUUGCUGAGCCAAAGUGAGGAACAAUUUGAAUAUGAUCAUCCAAUGGGUGGUCUCACCAUUCCUUGCGGAGAAGACGUUUUCUUAGACAUCACUUCUCGCUUGAAUUGAAGAUAUCAAAAGACUGACAUAGAUAUUUGACCAAUUUUUGUAGCACUUUAGUUUCUAACCUUCAAAAGAUUUUCACUUUUGUUGUUAUCAUACUUGGAUGUAAAACGUUCAUCUGAAUGAGAAAUUUUUGAACACUAUUACAUUAUUUCUCUAUUCCUUCCCCUUAAUUAUAAAUAUGAAAAUCGAUUGCUAAAUGUUCAAUUUAUUAUCUCUCUGAUAAAAUGAAAAAUUCAUUUACUUCAUAUAUAAAAUUGAAUUGCCCCUGUUAGAAAAAUAAAGAAAUAAGAAACUGAUAUAAUUUAGUGGUCAUAAAUUAAGUAUAUAUUGUUAAAAGAAUCUUCAAGAAUAACACUGAAUAUAACUAUAUUGAUUUAUUUGUAGUUUUAUUUUGAGUCAUAGAUCCUGUUGUUGUUUUGCAAACAAAAAUGGUUUAUUUGCAUUUAGUUGGUGGCCAAGUUGAUCUUAGGCAUGGAUGUCACCUACAAUUUUAGACAGUUGCCAAUUAUCUAGUUUUUCUAAUUAUUUUGAAGGAGAAAAUUUAAAAAACUCCUAACUUAUACUAUGUUUUUAUAUCAAAUUGAUAUUUGUUGAGUAUAUAUUAUCGACCAGUAAAAAAAACGUACAUAUUAUCUAUAACAGAUUCCUGUUCCCUACAGAAAUAUACAACUGAAACAACACAAUACUGCGAUUUUUUGUUUUGAGGAAACUAGAAGAGUUAAAGACUUAAGACCUAAGAUCUAGCAGGGAAAUUUGAAAUUUGAAUCAAUUUCUACCCCUGGAUUUGAAAUAAUUAUUUAGCUUGUGAAUUUGAAGAAUGUAACCAAAUUAAGUGAGAGAGCUUAUGAAUAAAAUUGAAGUAGGUGCUAAUUUGUACUUAGCAGAUAAGGCAAUAGUUAUGAUAAUCAUAUCCAAAUUUUUUCUUUUUUUGAAUAUAUGUGAAAUAUUUAACCAAACACCUCUUAAUAUAUAAUCAUCAAUGGAAGAAAAGACAUUUUUUGAAGACAAAGACCAAACCUAAUUAAUUUCGUUAAAUUAUCAAUGGUUAAUGAUUUAUUGCAAGAAUUCUACUAAUUUACCUGGAAUUAGCAAAACAGGUAUUGUUGCAUAGAAAGGGUUAACAGGAUUUUACAGAAAUAAAAAUAACAGAUUGUCUUUUUUCAACUAUAGCUUGAGGUAUGCUUUAUUUUUUAAAUCAGCAAAAUUAUUUAUUCUUCAUAUGCAGGCUUAUAUUUAAAUAACUAACUGUAGCUAGUGAAAGUUAACUGAUAAAGUAAAUGAACUCGAUCAUUAAACAUUAAAGAAGAGGACAUAUAUUUUUGAAUUUGACAUUCUUACGGUAAAAUUUGUCCAUUUCUCAUGAAAAGAGUCAUAUAUUUACAACUUCACAAGUCAAAUAAAUUCCUAUUUGAAAAAUGUCUCAACUAAUCUAGUGUAUGUCAGUAUGUUACAAUAUAAGAUUCAUAGCCCAUUCAAGCAAGAAGUUAUAUGUUGGAAGACAUCUUCGGAGCAAGGAAUGGUGAGGCCACCCAUGGGAUGAUCAUAUCCAAACUCUUCCUCGGCUUGACUCAACAAGUCUUGAAAUGAAGGUUGAUUCAAGUAUGAUACAGGAACUACAAACCGCGCCAAUUUCUCUCCAACAUACACGGCAACAUAGCCCUUUUUCACUUCUACUGAUUUUGAUGUUGUUUGUCUAGCUGUUACCGAUCCUCUUAGAAUAGAGUUUAAACGGAAACCCAUUUUUUGUUAUUGUUUGAGAGAAAAACAAAUAAAAAAUCUCAAAUGUAACUAAAUAUUUGAUGAUGCCAAUCAGUUGUGCUGUUUAUGAAGGAGAGAGGAAGUGUAUUUAUAGAUUUUGAAGUUCUCUCAAAACCAAAUUUCAAGAGAAACUAUUAUUGAAGGGUUUGAUGGAUAGAGAGCACAGGGAUAAGGUAGCAUGGGGUGUUGUCUUAGAGUGUACCCUACCUUUCCUAAACAAUGUCCAAUACAAAGCUUCCACUUGCUAAAAAAUAAGAUGUGAUCAAGUAUAGCCUCAUAUUUGUUCAUGAUUUAAUUAGCGUCAAUAAUUUUGUAAGCAUGCUUCAGACAUGUUUUCUUCAUUAUGAUAAUGCCGAUGUGAAGCUGGUAUGUGACUCUAAGGACAUGGAUAACAAUAGAUCAACAUAAACCAUUCUACAUGUCUGUGGUUGUACUUUCAAGUCUAUCAAUUAUAUGAUGCUUCUGCUCAAGAAUUAUGCAUUAUCUAUCUACUACACCAUUUGAAGUAUAUCCAUUCAUUUCGAGACAACACCAUGUGAUCUUUCAUAUGCUCUUGUCUGGCCAUGGCUAAAUUCUAAUGGUCCUCCUUAAUUGAUCAUUGUAGUUGCCGACUGUUUGUUAAAUAUCCUUUCAUCUAUAUAUAUUAUUGACUGCAAAAGCAUUUAGCACCAACAAAAAAUAAUUCACAUCCCAAGGCAUUUGAAAUUCAGAAACUUGAGUCUUCUAUAUACAACUGUUUCUUUUUUAGAUCAAUAUCUUCUUUUCAACACAUACAUACAACAAUGGGUUUCCGUUUACCUAGUAUCAUCAAAAGGACAUCAUCUUCAAAAACCGUGGACGUUCCAAAGGGAUAUCUAGCAGUGUAUGUUGGUGAGAAAAUGAAGCGGUUUGUGAUUCCUGUAUCAUACUUGAACCAAACCUCAUUCCAAGAACUGCUGAGCCAAAGUGAGGAACAAUUUGAAUAUGAUCAUCCAAUGGGUGGUCUAACUAUUCCUUGCAGAGAAGACAUUUUCUUGGAUAUUACCUCUCACUUAAAUUGAAUUAGCUCUUUGAAGAUAUCAUAGGACUGACGUAGAUAUUUUACUCAUUUUUUUGUAGAUGUUGUUAUCAUACUUGUUGUAAAAAUGUUCAUCUCAAUGAGAAAUUUAUUUGCAUUAUUUUCUCUAUAUUUCUCGAUAUAUAAAUCUGUAAAUCAAAACAUCUUUAAACGAUAUAUUGGAAGAUUCAGUUAUUUAAAUAUAAAACCAACCCCCCCUUUUACAAAAAGAAAAUUAAAGUUAAAAGUAACUAUCAUGAUUUAACAAUUAUUGGAUAAUUAUUUAUAUAACCAAAAAAAAUGUUGGAUAUUAAUUUAUAUAACAAAAAAAAAAUUGGACAAUAAUAUAUAUAACAAGAAAAAAAAUUAAAAUUAAAGUUAAAAGUAACUCUGCAGAGAAGCCCAUAGUUAUUCGAUAAUAAUUUAUAUAACAAAAAAAAAUUGUUAAACAACAAGUCGCUUUGGCCGAGUGGGUAAGGCGUGUGCCUGCUAAUUACAUGGGGUUUCCCCGCAAGAUUUCGAAUCUCUCAGGUGACGGAUUUUUAUUUUUUUCAUAACAAAAUUGAUAGGAAUUUUUUUUAAUUAUCUAGUCUUCUAUAUGUGGAUUUUAAUAAUGACAUUAAUUUUUCUAGUAUCAGAGAAAUAAAUGUAAUACAUGAACUCGAUCGAAUAAUCUGACAGAGUGAAUAACUUAGUUGCUUCAUGUUAAAAAUAAAUAGAAAAACUUGAAUUUAUUAAAUACAAGUUUCAUCUAUCUCUUGGUAUAUAUUUUUUUCCGUCGGGAAUACAAAUCAAGAAAAUCAAUCCUAUAUAGUAUGUGCGGGAAGAAACUAAAUGAAUCAUAACAGGGGAGAGACAGAGCAUUGUGAUUCAAAGAAAAAUAAUUUAUAUAGUAUGAGAGACAGAGCGUUGUGAUUCAAAGAAACUAAGCGAAUCAUAACAGGGGAGAAACUUACUUUUAUGUGAAUGUGUUGUGAUUUAUGUAGUCUGAAUUGAUGCACUUGGUUCUUGAAGUUCAGGCUUCCAACUGCUUCUAUUUGACUACCUCUAUUAACAUUGAUGUGAUAAUUAAGUUUUAUAGGCUUUGAGUUUCUUAUAUAUUAUGUUAGUGUUUCUUUUGCUACUUCAUUUUUGAUGUUCAAAUUAACAAUACAAAUGUACAAUUGAGUCAAAACUACUAUUGUAUAGAUCUAACCGAGUUCAUUUGCUAUUUUUCUGUUUCGGAAUGUGUGGAAAAAAACUAGUAGUGAAAAACUUUCAUAAGUCCUACCAGCCAGUCAGUUUGAAUCUACUUCUAAUUACUGAAAGGAUUUGGAAUUUUUCUAAAGUUUAAAGGUGUCUACCAAUAAACUGUCUGACGGAGCUUCGAGAAAAAAUUGAAGUCUAGGUGCUAAUUUCUAUUUAGGCGAUAAGAUUAGUUAAAAUAAUCAUGUUCAACUUUAAGUUUUUGAGUAUUUGUAAAAAAUUUAACCAAACAAGCUCUUAUUAUAGAAUAAAUAGGCGCAAAGCCGAUUUCGGAGGACAGGCCAAGCCAUGUUUAUUUAGCUAAAUCAUCAAUAGUUAUUGAUUUAGUCCAAGAAUUUUAGCUAGCUGGCUGGAAUUAGCAAAACUGGUUUAGUUAAUCUGGAUUCUAACAGUGACAUUAAUUUUUCUAGCAUAGGAGAAAUAAAAGUAACGGAUCAUAUCAUUUGAAAAGACAUAAACAUAAAAGAAUAAACUAUAGCUUGUGAUAGGCAUUAAUUUUUAAAUAAGCAUGAAAAGUGAAGUUAUAACUGAUAAAAUAACUGAGCUCACUGUCAAUAAAUAAGGAAAAAGAGGACAGUAUAUUUUUGAAUUUGAUAUUCAGAUGGUAAUAUUUCUCCAUUUCUCAUGAAAAGUGUCAUAAAUUUACAACUUCACAAGUCGAAUAAAUGCCUAUUUGAAAAAUGUCUCAGCUAAUCUAGCGUAUAUCAGUAUGUUACAGUGUAAGAAUCAUAGCCCAUUCAAGCAAGAAGUUAUAUGUUGGAACACAUCUUCGGAGCAAGGAAUGGUGAGGCCACCCAUGGGAUGAUCAUAUCCAAAUUCUUCUUCCGCUUGAUGUAGCAAUUCUUGAAACAAUGGUUGGUUCAAGUAUGAUAUUGGGACAACAAACCGCUUCUGUUUCUCUCCAACAUACACUGCAACAUAGCCCUUUGGAACUUCUGCUGAUUUUAGAGCUGCUUGGCUAGCUGUGAAUGAUGCCCGUCGAAUAACAUUUAAACGGAAACCCAUUUUUGGUGAUUGUUUGAGAGAGAAGAACAAACUCAACAAAGUAAAUAUCUCAAAAAAUUUAGAAGAAUGUAACUAAUACUUGAGGAUGUCAACGACUUGUGUUGUGUUUGAAGCCAAUUUGUAAGUAUAUUUAUAGUUACUGAGAUUCUUUGCAAACCUAAUUCCAAGCUAAAUUAUUUCUUGAAAGAGUUAAAGGAUAAGAUGAUAUACCAUGUGGUGUUGUCUAAACAUUGUACCACCACCCUUUCAAGUUCAACCUCAUAUUUUAUCAUCUAUUAACUAUCACUUCAUAAUUGUGUAAACAUGUUUCAGACAUGUUUUCUUCAUUAUCAUGGUGCUGAUGUCCAGCUAGUAUCGACUAACGAAUAGAUAGACUAAUCUGCAUUAUUUGAAGGGGGUGCAUUAUCUACCAUGAAAUUAAUUUGAUGUUGACCCAUGUGUAAGUCCUCCAAAACAAUACCAUGUGAUCAUUCAUAUGGACUUGUCUCCCAUAGUUCUCAUGACUUGCAUCCAUCUCAUGGCUCUCCUUCAAGUUGCCGACUAUUUGUUACAUAUCCUUUCAUCGUCUAUAUAUACGAUCAUUUAGGACCAAUACAAAACCAUUCACAACCAAAACCAUUUGAAAGUCAGAAACUUGAGCCUUCUGUUUACAAACAAUUCUCCUUUUUAGAAUAAGCUUCUGAUCUUUUCAACACAUACAUACAACAAUGGGUUUUCGUUUACCAAGUAUCAUCAGAUCAAGGGCAUCAUCUUCAAAAGGUUUGGACGUGCCAAAAGGCUAUCUAGCAGUAUACGUAGGAGAGAAAAUGAAGCGUUUUGUGAUUCCUGUAUCAUACUUGAACCAAACAUCAUUCCAAAAGUUGUUGAACCAAGCUGAGGAACAAUUUGAAUAUGAUCAUCCAAUGGGUGGUCUCACCAUUCCUUGCAGAGAAGACAUUUUCUUAGAUAUUAAUUCUCACUUGAAUUGAAUUACCUUUUUGAAGAUAUCAUAGGACUGACGUAGUUAUUUGAUCCAUUUUUUGUAGUAGUUUAGUUUCUCACGUUCAAAAUAUUUAAUCUUUUGUUGUUAUCAUACUUGGUUGUAAAAAUGUUCAUCUCAAUGAGAAAUUUAUUAACAUUAUUUUCUCUAUAUUUCUUCAUAAUAAUGAAAGAUUAAGUUAUUCAAAUAUAAAAUCAAUCCUCCAUUUUGCAAGAAAAAAAAAUAAAGUUAAAAGUAACUAUCAUGAUUAAUGAUCAUAGAUUGUAUAUAUUGCAAAAAAAAAUCUGCAGAGAAGCAUUUAAGUAACAAGUUGCUUUGGCCGAGUGGUUAAGGCGUGUGCCUGCUAAGUACAUGGGGUUUCCCCGUGAGAGUUCGAAUCUCUCAGGCAACGAAUUGUUUUUUUUAAUAACAACCAUUGAGUUAAAAAUAGUUAACUCUACAUUUUUUGUUUCAAAUAAAAAAAUUAUAAUCAAAUUCUUCAAUGACAAAGUUGUUUUUCUUUUGCUUUGAUAUGACUAGUUACAGUUUUGCUCUCAAAAGAGAAAGACUAAUUUCAAUUUUGCUGUAAAAACAAAGUGCAAGUUCCAUUUAUGAACAUGGGACUCUCCACAUCUUUUACCAUCUCCUACUUUUUUUUUCUUUGUAUAAAUCGAGUAUCUCAGCUGUCGAGUCUAAUAUAAUCACAUACAACAAAAAUCUCCUCAAAAUUUUAAUGUUGUUGCGUACACAUAGUUCGAAGUCAAAACCUCAAUAUAGACAAGAAGAAAAUUUUGAUAUCUUAUCUAAGUAAUCAUGGUAUGUCAUCCAAUCACUCUUGAAUUAUAGUCUCGCACUUUACUUUUUCCUAACUCUAAAAGCUGCAGAACAUCCCUAUUUAAUGUGUGCUAGUAACUGAGCCAUUCGACAAGGUUGCCACUGAAACAUGACUCGUGCUACCAGAGAUUGAAUUUUUUCUAUCUAUGAUCCAUCAUUGGAUGAUUUACUCAAUUAUAUCAAUAUUAAUAUAUAAACCUAUCUUUUUGCAUGAAUCUGACACUUUAGAAUUCAUGUUUAAAUUCUUAUGGUAUAAUUAUAUCAAUUUUUUCAUGUUUAAAUUCAUGGAUCAUAGAUAACUUAAUGAAUUUACUUGUAACGAUCCAUCUAUAUAGAUCUUCAUGUUUUUUAUUUACUCCACUUUAAUAUAUAUUGACUUUUCAUUAUAGUAUGACUUUUCAAUGCAAAGUACAAAAAGGCACUACAAAGGAAAAUAACUUUGAAAAGCAUAUGCAAAGGGCAUUAAGAGUUUAUAACAUAUAUUCAUUGAACAUUGGCCUAAAGCCUAAAAAAAGUUACAAUCUUUGUCCAUAUUAAAAAACACAUGACAUGACGGUUAUUGUAUUUAUGCAGCUUGUUUUUGGCAGACUGUUUUGUAUGAAUGUUCCGAGUUGUGAAGUGGUAAAAAUCAAUUUAGAACCACUGAUGUGGACAGAAGGGGCAAAAAUUGUCAUGACCAGCCAGAAAUCCAUUUUGGUUUGUAUCUCUCAAAUACAAAUUAUGUAAAACUUCUUUUCCUUUAAACAUUUUGAUUAGAUUUUAAGGACAGAAAAAAAAAACAUUGGAUUAAAAUGCAUAUAUAAUAAUAAAAAAUAUUAAUUCUACGAUACUACAUAGAGAUUGGUACAGUGAGAAUUAGUUAUCAUGGGUUCGAUCCUCGGCGCUCGAAGUCUCUAACUCUAUAUCCUACCUACAAAAAUCAGUUACCCUUGAAAACCUCACAAAUCAUCAUAUACCAUCUCUCCUAUAUAUAUACUCAAACCAUACCUCUUUUUUCAUAACUCUUUGCCACUCACACUUACUUUACAACCAAAGCUCAAAUUCAAAUCUAAAAACAAAAAACAAAACAAUUCAGAAGAAUGGGUGAUUUACAGAUUCAACAAGAAUCCAUGUUGAUCCCUCACAAACAGAAACAAUCCAUGAUUAUUCCAACAUCAUCAAUGCCUCAUCAUCACACUCACAACAACACUGUCAAACGCCGUUCACCAUCAUCAUCAUCUUAUCACCAACCAUCAUCCAAGAAGCAUUCUUUUGACGCAAGCAAUCUCACCCGUAAUGGCUUCUCUGCCAUUACAAUUCCUUUCAGUCUCCGCGGGAAUGCUCUUAGCCGCUGUGUCUCUGAUCCAUGCACCUUUCCGGAUCAAUCCAUGCCAGUAAAAGGGCCGUCAACUGCUUUGCAGCCUCUGCCUCCGAUCAGCAGAUGUAUAUCUGAAGUUAUCGAUCCUACUGAGGUUAAAGAAGCAGUAGCUCGUUAUUUGAACUGUGCUGAAAAAACCACCCCUGAAUCUGAUUCAAUGGUAUGUGUUGAAACUUGUGUUUCUUGCUAAAAAAGUAAUCUUUUUUUUAAUUUGGAAUAAUGGGUUUUGUUUGUUUUUUGUAGAGGCUUAAAAGGAUGAAGGAUCGGUUAAAAGAAAUGAAGAAAGUGUGGGAUGAAGUUAUGGAAGUCGAGGAAGAAAAUGAAAAAGACCAAGAAGAAGAGCCCUCUCCUGAUGCUGAAGAUGAAAAAGAACAAGAACAAGAACAAGAAGAGCACUCUCUUGACUCUUUUGUUGCUGAAGAUGAAAAAGUCAUAUCUCAGGUACAUAUCUUGAAUCUUUAACGGUGAUUGUGUUUUCUAUUGUAAUCUUCAAUGUAUUUGGUUCUUUAAUUGGUACUUAUAAGUUAUGCUCAUAAAUUUAUAAGUUUUUUCUUGUUUUUAUGUAUAUCGUAGUCACACUUGUUUAAUUACGUAGAAUCCGGGGGUUAUGGGAAGGUAUUGAAUUUGAUCAUAGUUGCAUAUGUGCAGCAAUUUUAACAACUCAAUUAUAUAGGAUCUGGGAUUUAUGGGAAGGUGUUGAAUGUUUCCUUGCUUGUUCACAUAAGUUGUCUUCUGUAGUUAAGAAAUAGUCAUAUAUGUUAAUGCUAGUAAGUAGCAAAGUUGUCCAUCACAUAUCAUGGAAAGUAGUGAUUUGUUCAAAUUCGGAUAUGCUGCUGUAUUAUAGCUGAUAUGUAACCACCUUUUGUUCCACUUAAAGGAUCUGAGGGUUUGGCUAAGAAGCAUAAUAAAUUGUUGAUGUGAUCAUAGUUGCACUUGUAAUCAUUGUUUUAAAUUGCGAUUGCAGUCGCACUUGUGGUCACGAUGUGAACCUUUACAUUGUGGUGAAAUAUGGACGAUGUGACUAAAAUUGUGUUUGUGAUGCCCUUGUAUAGACCUCAAAAUCCUCUAAAAAGCGGCUGCAAUUGCGAUGUAGUUAUGGAGACAACAAGUUAAAACUAUAUACAUGACUUUAAGAUUAAUAGUUUUUAUGCUGAACAAUUGAUUUUUGUUUUUGUAGGAUGAAUUGGGAAAUGAUUAUGAAGAAGCUGUUAGUGUGGAGUGGGUUGAUAAGUGUUUAAGCCUUACUUUCAAGUGUCCAUGUGGCAAGGGAUAUGAGGUUCUAAUCUGUGCAAACAAUUGUUACUACAAGUUGGUCUAGAAGAAUCAGUAUGCUUAUUUGUGACAUGGAUCACUUUUGUUUAUAUUCUGUUUUAGUUUGGAAAAAGCUUGUCUGUUUUCAUUUGUAGUAGCAUUUGAUUGUCACUAGAAGAACCAAUCUAUAUUUGUAGAUCCUUACAUUUGUUUUGUAAAUAAGUUGGUAUGUACUAUCUCAACAUUCUUAGAAUUAGGAACUGACCAGUUCAUCGGCUGGUUUGACUCCGAUUAUCUUGCAGUCUGGUUUAACCGUUAAACUACGGAUGAACCAAGAUAGAUUUGGCCGAUUUUAAUUUAUAAAACUGGAUUAGCAUUUAUGUCAAUAAUGAAAUUCUUAUUCACAGAUUUUGGGUUUGCGACGUUAUUAUUGACACAGCUUACUACCUUAGCAAAUACAAAACCUAAAUUUACAUGUGUCAACAUAAAACCUCCGCAAAACAUGCUAUGAUGAGCUGCUAAGAAACAAGAAAGACAUGCCCUUAGCAACAGAAAAAACAUGCUAUAUUGAAUUGAAUUCAAUUCUUUGCUAAAUGAAUACUUCCUGCAUAUACAGAAGCAAGUAAGUCAGAAAAAAGAGAGACAAGCAAAUAAGUCAGAUCCCAAAAUGCAUUGACGACGUAUCAACUCUCCAUGUGACACGUCGUAAAUAUUCUAAUGUAGCACCUCUAAGAAGACUCAAAUUGUUCUAGGUGAACACAUUUUUGCAUCCAAUAGUAUUCACUAAUAUUCAUGUGUCAUUUGAGUUACGAUAUAAUAUAGACCGUACGAUGAUUUUUCUAACUUGUAAACAAGACCAGUAUCACCCUGACCAAUGAAGCCAGGUGGCUGCUGCAUAUACAUCGCCUCCAAGACUCCAUGAAAUAAGAUAUUUUUAAUGUCAAGUUGACAAAGGUAAAUGUAUGAUGGCAGCCACUGAUAUUCAUGUGCCAUCUGAAUGAGGAAAUAUUCAUUUUGAUAAUCAAAGGCUCCAAUGAAAUAAAUGUUCAGUACAGAAUCUCUAGACGAUCAUUGAAUGAAAAAUUAAUUUCUCUUUUGAAAAGAAACUGUCCAAUGUUAACAUUUCACUACAAAUGCAAUCUAACAACAUUUUAAUUUCAGUCUGUUAAUGCCUAAAAAAGUUAUAAUUGUUUGGGUCAUCUGAUCUGCAUGUUGCUCCAAAUAAUGCUUCAAAGGCAUUAUCCAAGUCGCAUGAAUAGCACACACUUGUUCUUUGAGUCAUAUUAUUUUAGCCUUCGGAUGACUAAGGUUAAGUUCAAGAAUUUUGCAUAGCUACUUAUAAUUAGCAAAACUGAUUUUGUUAGAGAAAUGUUCAGUUACAGUAUUAAAAUAAGAGAUUAUCUUAUUUUAACAGGCAGAAAGAAAUAACUAUAACUUGUUAUUGAUUUUUAUUUUUUAUUUUUAAGAAGCAGAAAAUUAAGAGUGCGUUUGGAAAUUGAGAUUUCCACGGUGGAGUGGCUUGUUGAUGCACAAUGUAGGCCACUAGACAUUAAUGAACUAAUUGAAGUUGAUCAAUAAUAUAUAUAAUCUGUCUCCUUAAGCUUUGUUUGGGAGUUUGGAACUGGAGGGGAAAAUGGUAAAAUCUUUCACAUUUUUUUAAAGAGUAAUUAUUUUAGAAAAUGAUAAAUGAAUGCUUAUGAUUAAUAUAUUUUUAAUUUUAUGAAUAUUAUAAUUACAUUGAUUAAAUUUGAAGAAUACAUGUAAACCCUCCUCAAUACAUUUUUCGAGUUCCCUCAAAUGAGGAGGAUUUUGUAUUAUGAAGAAAAAUGAACCCCCAAAGUCUUUCCCUUUCAAUAUCAUCCAUUUCAUCAACUUCCUCCUCCCUUUUUUUCCAAACCCCUCCCCUCCCUUCCACUCCAAACUCGCAAACAAAGCCUUAAUCUCCAUGAGAUGGUUCUCUACAGUAUACAAAGAAAGAAUAAAAAUUUGAUUCUGUGGAUAAAACUUAAAAAUUAUUUAAAUUCUGUCCUUAAUAAACUUAUGUUUGGUACUUUUCUUUGGAUCUGAAAAAUAACUUUAGCUCUGCACUGACUGUUCAUAUUAUUUUUACUGUGAAAUUUAUGAAGAUAUACUUUUUUCCUUAGGCAAGCAGAUGGCUUUUUUUACGUGAUGUUCAAAUUGCGGAUUGCUGAAAUUGUAAUUGAUAAAGUAACUGAUCUUACCGUCACUACACAAGAACGAAAUAUGAAAGUUGUUUUUCUUUUGAUUCAGAUAACUAUUUUUCUCUGUUUCCAAUGAGAAGGUAUAAUUUUUACAAGUUAAAAAAUUCCUAUGGUACAAAAUUUCUCUACUAAUCUGUCAGUAUGCUAAAGUGUCAGAUUCAUGGCUCAAUUUAAGCAAGAAGUUACGUGUUGAAAGACGCCUUCAGUGCAAGGAAUGGUGAGGCCACCCAUGGGAUGAUCAUAUCCAAAUUCUUCUUCCGCUUGAUGUAGCAAUUCUUGAAACAAUGGUUGGUUCAAGUAUGAUAUUGGGACAACAAACCGCUUCUGUUUCUCUCCAACAUACACUGCAACAUAGCCCUUUGGAACUUCUGCUGAUUUUAGAGCUGCUUGGCUAGCUGUGAAUGAUGCCCGUCGAAUAACAUUUAAACGGAAACCCAUUUUUGGUGAUUGUUUGAGGGAGAAGAACAAACUCAACAAAGUAAAUAUCUCAAAAAAUUUAGAAGAAUGUAACUAAUACUUGAGGAUGUCAACGACUUGUGUUGUGUUUGAAGCCAAUUUGUAAGUAUAUUUAUAGUUACUGAGAUUCUUUGCAAACCUAAUUCCAAGCUAAAUUAUUUCUUGAAAGAGUUAAAGGAUAAGAUGAUAUACCAUGUGGUGUUGUCUAAACAUUAUACCACCACCCUUUCAAAUUCAACCUCAUAUUUUUUCAUCCAUUAACUAUCACUUCAUAAUUGUGUAAACAUGUUUCAGACAUGUUUUCUUCAUUAUUAAAGUGUUGAUGUCCAUCUUGUAUCGACCUAACGAACGGAUAGACUAAUCUGAAUUAUUUCAAGUGGAUUAACAUGCUUUGUUCAAGGUGGUGCAUUAUCUACCAUGAAAUUAAUUUGAUUUUGACCCAUGUGGAAGUCCUCCAAAACAAUAACAUGUGAUCUUUCAUAUGGACUUGUCUCCCAAAGUUUUCAUGCCUCAUCCAUCUCAUGGCUCUCCUUCAAGUUGCCGACUGUUUGUUACAUAUCCUUUCAUUUGUCUAUAUAUACAAGCAUUUAGGACCAACACGAAAUCACUCACAACCAAAAGCAUUUGAAAUUCAGAAAGUUGAGCCUUCUAUUUACAAACAAGUCUUUCAUUUUUAGAUCAAGCUUCUCUUUUCAACACAUACAUACAACAAUGGGUUUCCGUUUACCAAGUAUCAUCAGAUCAAGGGCAUCAUCUUCAAAAGCUGUGGACGUUCCAAAGGGAUAUCUAGCAGUGUACGUAGGAGAGAAAAUGAAGCGGUUUGUGAUCCCUUUAUCAUACUUAAACCAACCAUCGUUUCAAGAAUUGUUGAACCAAGCUGAAGAACAAUUUGAAUAUGAUCAUCCAAUGGGUGGUCUUACUAUUCCUUGCAAAGAAGACAUUUUCUUAGAUAUUACUUCUCACUUGAAUUGAAUUAUUAGUUCUUUGAAGAUAUCAUAGGACUGACGUAGAUAUCUGACCCAUUUUUUGUAGCAGUUUUAUUCUCACCUUCAAAAGAUUUAAUCUUUUGUUGUUAUCAUACUUGGUUGUAAAAAUGUUCAUCUCAAUGAGAAAUUUAUUAACAUUAUUUUCUCUAUAUUUCUCCAUAAAUAUAAAUCUGUAAAUCAAAGCAUCUAUUGGCUAAAUGUCAGUUUAGAAUCUUUAAAUAUAAUGGAAGAUUCAGUUAUUCAAAUAUAAAAUCAAUCCUGCCUUUUGCAAAAAUAAAAAUAAAAAAUUGUUAAAAGUAACUAUCAUGAUUUAAAGAUCAUAGAUUGUAGGGUUAAUAGUAUUUUUCACCCUUGUAAUAUAUGUCAUAUUCGGUUUUCGCCCCUAUAAAAUUUUCGGUUUGAUUUUCACCCUCAUAAAAUUUUUAUUUUCCGGAAAACACCCUUAAUAGGCCAUCCAAAAACCAAAAUUUCUUGAAAAAUUUUUCUGAAAAUGGCCUAUUAGGGGUGUUUUUCGGAAAAUAAAAAUUUUACGAUGGUGCAAAUCAAACCGAAAAAUUUUAUAGGGGCGAAAACUGGAAAUAACAUGUAUUACAGGGGUGAAAAACACCAUUAACCCUAGAUUGUAUAUAUUGCAAAAAAUAACCAGCAAAAAAGCAGAUAAUUAUUGGAUAAGAACUGGUUUAGCAACAAGUCGCUUUGGCCGAGUGGUUAAGGCGUGUGCCUGCUAAGUACAUGGGGUUUCCCCGCGAGAGUUCGAAUCUCUCAGGCGACGAAUUGAAUUUUUUGUUUUUUAAUAACAAAGUUGGUUAAAAAUAGUUAACUCUACAUUUUAAAUCAAAUUCUUUAAUGACAAAACUCAAAAUAGAAAGACUAAUUUCAAUUUAUGAACAUGGGACUAGCUACAUAUUUUACCAUAUCCUAAUUUUUUUUCUGUAUAAAUCAAGCAUCUCACUUGUCGAGUAUAAUAAGGCCCCGUUUGGAUAAACAGCUUAUAUAGAUGUUUAUGGCAUUAGAGCUUACAUCAUAAGCUCUUAUAUUUGAUAAGCUAUUUAUGUUUGGAUAUGUACACUAAAGUACUUAAAUAAAUUGAAGUGUUUGGAUCUGACAUUACAUAAGCAAUUAUCGAAAUUUUAAAUAUUUUUAAUUUAACAAAAAAAUCAAAGAAUCGAACCACAAAAAUGAAAGAUAAUAGUGUAUAGUUUGUUACCAAAAAAAGACAAGUUAAGUUUGUUUUAUUUAUUCAGUUUCUUUUUGUUACGUAACAAAAAAAUAAUAAAAAUUUUCCUUCAAAAAAAAAAUAAUCUUAGUUAUGUGUGUUACUUUGGUAAGAUAAGUAUAUAACAAUUUUGUUACUCAUGCACCGUCAAAGAUAACUAACAUUAUAAUUAAAAUAUAUGUUUGUUUCUAAAAACAAAAACAAAAAAAAAAUUAAAAUAUAUGUUUUGAAAAAGUGGAUCCAGAGAGAAUCGAAGGAGGUUACAUAAAUUCAUAAGCUCUUUGUUAAGCCGGAGGGUAAGCUGAAAAUUUAAGCUUAUUAAAAUAUGGCAUAAGCAGCUUAUGAAACUAUGAUAAGCUAUUUUUAUUUAUUUACCCAAACACCUUUAAAAAGGCUUAUGGGAGUAGAUAAGCCCAGAUAAGCUCAACUUAAGCCAAUCCAAACGGGGCCUAAAUCCACAUAGACGAGGAAACUCUUCCCAAAAUUUUAAAGUUGUUGCGUUCACAUAGUUUGAAGUCAAAACCUCUAAAUAGAAAAGAAGAAACUUUUGCCUUCUUAUCUACGUACUCAUGGUAUGUCAUCCAAUCACUCUUGAAUUACAGUCUCACACUUUACUUUUUCCCAACUCUAAAAGCUGUGGAACAUAUCCCUAUUUAACUCUUGAAUUACAGUCAAAACCGUCAAGGCAUCAACAAGCCCUAUUUAAGGCCACCACUGAAACAAGACUCGUGCAACCAGAGAAUGAAUAUUUUCUAUCUAUGAUUCAUCCUUGGAUGAUUUACUCAAUUAUAUAUAUAUCAAUAUCAAGAUAUAAACAUUGCUGUUCAAUAUCCUAGUAUGAUUUUAUCAAGAUAUAAACAUUGCUAAACAAAGAAAGAUUCGAGUUUCUGGAUUUCAAAUGCUUUGGGAUGUAGAUGAUUUUGUCUUGGUCCUAAAUGCUUUCAGCAAUGAAUAUAUAUACAUGAAAGGAUAAGUAACAAACCAUCGGCAAAUGAAAUUAUCAGUGAAGGAGGGCCAUAAGAUUUGAGUCAUGUUCAGACAAGAGCAUAUGAAAGAUCACAUGGUGUUGUCUCGAAAUGAAUGGAUAUACUUCAAAUGGUGUAGUAGAUAGAUAAUGCAUAAUUCUUGUGCAGAAGCAUCAUAUAAUUGAUAGACUUGAAAGUACAACCACAGACAUGUAGAAUGGCCUAUGAUGAUCCAUAAUUAUACAUUGCCUUAUAAUCACUAACCAGCUGGACAUCGACAUUUUCAUAAUGAAGAAAACAUGUCUAAAGCAUGUUUACAAAAUUACAAAGUACCAAUUAAUGCAUGAAUAAAUAUGAGGUUGCAAUGUUAAGACAACAUCACAUGAUAUCUUAUCCUAUGUUCUCUAAUAUUUUACCCUUUCAAACAAUAACUUUUGCUUGGAAUUGGGUUUCAAUUUCAAGAUAAUCUCAAUAACUAUAAAUAUACUUCCUCAUGUCUUCACAAACAACACAAGUCCUACGCUUUCUCAAGUAUUUAGUUACGGUCUUAAUUAAUUUGAGUCCUUGCAAAAUCAGCAGAAGUAAGAAAGGGCUAUGUUGUAGUGUAUGUUGGAGAGAAACAAAAACGGUUUGUAGUCCCUGUGUCAUACUUAAACAAACCAUCAUUUCAAGAUUUGUUGAAUCAAGCCGAGGAAGAGUUUGGAUAUGAUCAUCCAAUGGGUGGCCUCACCAUUCCUGUCAACGAAGAUGACUUCCAAUACAUAAUUUCUCGCUUUAAUGGGCUGUAAACUUCAUACUGCAAGAGACUGACAUAGUUUAGUAGACUAGAGACAUUUUUGUAAAGUACGUAGGAAUGUUAUCAAAUUGUAAAGACUAGAAAAGAAAUGAACAUUAGAUUCAAAAAUUUGUAGAGUAUAUACUUAUUGUUUAAUGACAAUGAAUUCAACUACUAAAACAUCUGUAUUUUUGGUUUAUUAGUUAAAAUAUUCACUCCUGCCUACACUUAAGGACCUGCGAAAUAUGAGAAAUGUUGCUUGCGAUAUGAAAACACAGAGUUGUAUUCUGAGAAAACUUAAAGCCGGUAAAAACACAUGGCUCCUAGCAACUUGGCAAGGGCAGAGAAAAAGAUAAUUUUCGAUCAAAAGUGAUUAAUAUUUUUUGUUUUGGAUUUGAAGGCUUGAUCACAUGAUGCACCUUCCUUUCCUAGGCAUAUUUACAAAUCAGUGAUUUAAGAUGAAUCAGUAGAACGAGCAAAAUCCUAAUUAUAAUAGAAAUUAAAGGCAUUCUUUCCUACCGUUGAAGUGUGGUUUGUCUAUAUUUCCAUAUUCUUAGAUUUUUUAAUAUACUUACCAAGAUGACAAAUUUUUACAAAUGGUAACUAGCUAGAAGAAAGGAAUGCAAAAUACACAGGGAUAAUAACAUCAUGUUCUACAUCUUUUAAUCAACUUAGCAAGAUGAAAGGAGCUUAAAUUGUGCACACAUGGUCAUGACUAAAUAUCUCAUCAUAUCUUAAACAAAGUCCCUUUCUUGCAAUUAUGCAUAGGUCAGUCUUCUAAACCUCCCUCGUGUUACUUUCUUUCCCCACUUAACUUCCAUCCGCGCGUAAACAUAGACUGUGAUUGUGUUGAAUAUGGCUCAUAGUCACCAAUUGAAUAUAUGUGUAAAAUAAUUGUAUUACUAAAUAAAUACAAUUCAAAUUUACUUCAGUAUCCUUAAACUUUUGAAUGAUUUUGUUUUCAGACAUGUCAAGAAAAUUAUAAAAUUCCUUUGUAAAAUAUGUGCUCAAAAUUUAAUUUUUUGGUUGGAUUUUCUUUACUUUUAUCUUGAACUAUUUGUGCUUUAAGAAAAAUAAUUUUUUUAAUGGCUAUAAAAAUCAUAAUUAAUUCAUUCCAUGUUACAAAACUCUAACGUUUUGUAAAAGAAAUCUCUAUAAUGUAUACAAAAAUUCAUUAAAAAUUUAAGGAUAAUUUUGAACUUAACAAAGAUUAAAAUUGCAUAUUGGAAAUUUGUAUAGGAGCACAUAAACAUGUCACUAAUUUUUACGAAGAUGAAAAACAAAAUUUGUUAUAUUUAUUGAAAUCAAAAACUUAUUUUACCGUUUUCUUUUUUGUUGAUAGAAGCUCUUUUUUUGUUGAUAGAAAGCUCAGUAGUUCAUUUUUUAAAUUUAAGUGUUAAUAUUAUAUUUACCCCUAUAAUAUUAGUGGUUUCUAAUUUAAUCAAUGUAAAAUAAAAUUGUUUAAAUUUCAACCCUAUAAUUUGAAGAUUCUUGAAAAUGAAUCCAAACCCAUCUAACUCAUAAAAUGUUGAUGUGAUCAUAUGACAUUGUGACUGUGUAUAUAAUUAUAGUUUUAUUUUUUUCCUUCAACCUGUAUAUUCACGUGGACAUGCCAUUAUUUAAUUAAAAAAAGGAAAAAAAAAAUAUAAUUAAAAAUUAAAAAUGUUAACGAGUGUCUCGAGACAUGUUUUAAGGCUCUUAAACAGUAACUUUUUAUAAAAAAAAUUAUGCAUUCAAUGCUUUGGAAAAAAACAUAAAAAACCCAAAGAAAACAUAAAAACAGAGGUGGAAAAACUAGACCCCUUCUUCUCUACCGUGUUCCCAGGAAGAUUCUUUCUCCCGGUCCUUCAUCUUUUGCUUCACAUUCUUAACUUAAUCUUCAAAUUUAUCCAACCCAAAAAAAUAAAAAUCCAUAAAAUUACAACAAAUCAGAAGUUAGCAAACAACAUCAAAAUAGAUCCAACAUUAAUUGAAAAGAGAACCACAACAAAACCCAAACUCAAAUUGAGUUGCUGCAAUCACUAAUCUAACACUAAUCAUGAAUCAAUUGAAACCUAAUCAACCUCUUGAUCAAAAAAUUCAAAACUCUGAUCUGAGUUUUCUUUUAAUGAUUUACAAUGUUUUGAUGCUUCCACUGAAUUCGUCACUUGGUUUUUUUGUUAAGAUGAGCUCUGAUUUGUUCCAAUUUUAUCCAUAAGAAAUUGGAUGUCUCCCUCCGUUUCUUUUUAAGUGUCACUUUUGGAGAAAAUUUUUGUUCCUAUUUAACUGUCACUUUCAAAGUUCAAUGCAACAUUAAAUGUUGUUUUACCAAUAUUAUGCUUAGUCAAUUUAUUGCGGAGAGAGAAAUAUAUGAAAUGAAAUAUUAAAUGAAUAAGGUCCGUAGAGAAAAUUAAUAGUGUUUUUAAGGAAAAAAUAAUAGUUAUAUAUACAGUUUUUGAAAAUUCAAGGGAUCACCAGCAACAAAUAUGUUUUUUAAAUCUUUUCAAGGGAUCACCAUGACCAAAUAUGUUUUUUUAAAUCUUAUACACACAUGUUAAAUUAAAUAGGCUUUGUUUUCAUACCUGUAUCUUUUUUUUUUUCUUUCUUUUCAAAACCGAUCCAGUAAGUUGUAAACGUUUUGUUUUUCAUCCCUUCUAUUAGCUUCUGUUACAAAAAAUGUACACAUGGCUAAAGGAGGUUGAUGUGGCAGUGGCUGAUGUGAAAGACAACGCUGACGUGGCAAACUAUAUAAUGAGUCACACAAGGAGAGGGAUCAAAACCAAAAAACGAGAAGUCGAAAAUUCAAAUUUAAAAAUAACAAUUCUACAAUCUUCUUCUUCCCUCCUCAUCUUCUCCAUCUUCAUCCUCAUUUUCAUAAUCUUGGUCAGAAAAAUUAAAACCCAAACUUCAAAAUCAAAUUACAAAAUAAAAAAAAAAUCUAAAACAAUUUUUAUAUGAACUUUAUACCACUUCCAUUUCUUCUUCUUCUUUAUCUUCUUAUGAACUUCAUACCAUAGUCAUGAACAUCAAGAAACAAAUUCAGAAAAAUAAAAUAACAUAACCCAAAAAAAAUUCAACACAUCACCACCAUACCCAACAAAAAAAAUGCCACAACCAACACCACCACAAAUUAGGGAAAAAAAAUUGCAUUAUCAUCACCACAAUCAUCAUCAACAUUAUCACUCGCCAUAGCAUCGUCAACACACACCAUUUCAUUUUAUAAAAUAUCGAAAUUGUAUCAAUGACAAGCUUAGAGAAUUUUAUCCAUAAGCCAAAGAAUGAUGGUGAAUUAAAAGGGUGAGGGGGCGGAAAUAAGCACCUGAAAAAAUGUAGUGAAUCGUAUCAAAAAGAUCCAUCAACAACAAACCAUAAUUAACCAAAGACUAGAAAUUAGUUACUCCUCGAUAACCCAAAAACUCCAGCAAUUACAGAAAAAACAAAUUAAUUAACCCACAAACACAAGAAACUAAUUAAUUAACCUAGAAACCAUAACGAUAAACCCCACAAAAGAUUCAAUUCGCGUCGGUGGUGUAAUGAUGUUUUGGUGUUACUUGUCUUAGAAAACAAGAUUUCGAAUGAGAAUGAUGAAGGAUGAAUUAGAUGUUAGUUCUUUCUAAAAUUUUGGAAAGCUUCUUUCCAAAAUUUAGGGAAAUCUUCUAAGCGAGAUGAAUCAAAUUAGUGAAAUUUAAUUUUAUUAAUUUAUUUUUACUUUUAGAAUUUUUUUUGUUUUGUAAUUUGAUUUUUAAUUUUUUUUUUAAUGAUUUUGAGUUUAAUUUUUUUUGGGCAAGACUAUGAAAAUGAGGAUGAAGAUGGUGAAGAUGAGGAGGGAAGAAGAAGAUGGAGAAUUGUUAUUUUUAAAUUUGAAUUUUUCGACUUCUUGUUUUUUGGUUUUGAUCACAAUACGAAUUUCGUUUUUUUGGUUUUGGUCCAUCUUCUUGUUGUGUGACUCAUCAUUCAAUUUGUCACGUCAGCGUUGUCUGCAACUGCCACAUCAUCCUCCGUUAGCCAUGUGUACGUUUUGUAACAAAAGCUAACGGGAAAGACAAAAUGCAAAACAUUUACAACUUAUAGAGUCAUUCUAAAAAAAGAUACACGGACAAAAAUAAAAAAUACACAAAAUUACAAAGACGAUUUAUAUAUUUAAGCCAACUAAAUGAAAGGCCCCAAUCAUUGAUUAGAUAUAGCCCUCCUACCUGGCAAUAUACAAGGAAAAUGCCAAACACUCACUCAGGAGGGACAAAUGUCAUGUUUUUAUAAGUUUGACUUUAAAUCCACCAAACCAAUAUGCUGAAGAAAUAUAUCUCAUUAAUUUGACAUAUCACUUUUAAAAAAAAGUUGAAUCCUGAAAAAAGCAUCUGUCUGAUUAAUAUGUAAGUGAGGUUUAAUCUUAAUAUUUUAAUCAAAUCAAACUUUUUUUUUUUUUUUGAAAAAUAUUGAUAGGUCCGACUUUUUCCACCUCUUAUGUAGAAAUGGAUUAUCUUAAAUAGAGAUUUUCACAAGAGGGUCAAUAGUAAAAAUACUCGACAUUAAACCUUUUCUCCUCAUUUUAUUCAUAUUUUUCAGCUUUUAUCAAUCUCACCUUUUAAAUAUAUCUAAUAUGACUGACUUUGACUUUUUUGGCUCCACUACGAGAUUAAUUUUUAAAUUAAUAAUGAACAUAUUUGUUUUUGGAAACGACUUCAUAAAUCUAACUCAUAUUCUUUUUGUGGAGAAGAGUCUUCGAACACCAUGUUGGUAUAUGGGAUUCCAUGAUCUUAAAUUAACUAUAACAUUCAAGUCACAUUAGAGAUGUAUAAAUUAAGGACCUACCACCGAUCUCAUCAAGUCAUGGUAUCGUUAGGAAAUAUUCCAAAAAUUCCACCAUAUCUAGCUACUUUUAUUUUUAUUUUUUAUAUAUUAAUAAUAUCUAGCUACUUUUGUACUUAAAAAAAAAUAAAAAAUUCUAGCUACCUUCGUAAACAAGUAAUUUGCUAUUAUCUAAUAAGAAGGCAAUAUCUAUCCAGCAAUUAAAUCUUAACAUGUUUCCCUUCUCUAGAGGAAAGUUCCUGCAUCUACAACCAAAUUGUUAGGCACAUGUUUUACUAUUUAUAUGUCUAGUUUCUAAAUCACAGCGAACUUCUUAAAAAUAUAUUGAAUUUGAACCACAGAAACAUGAUGUUAUAUGUCUUGUCGUCUUUAACUAAUUUGAUUCUUUUGGUUCCAAAAUUUAUCUCUAUAUAACAUCCCACAAUUCUUCAUAAUGUUUUCACACUUCCCACGAACUAGUCAUUUUCUUCAAAGCUUGUUAUCAACUUCUCUUGAAGGAUAAUGGCUAUUCGUUUGCCUUUAAUAAUGCAAGCUAAGAAGCAUAUCCUCUCCCGCACGCUUACAAUCCGAAAAAAAGUGUUAUCAGUUAAUAAUAUACCAAAAGGGUAUCUGGCGGUAUAUGUUGGAGAAGAGAAAAAGAAGAAAUAUGUUGUUCCAAUAUCAUACUUGCAUCAACCUGCUUUUCAACAAUUGCUAGGUAAAGCUGAAGAAGAGUUUGGAUUUAAUCAUCCAAUGGGUGGUCUCACCAUUCCUUGCAGAGAAGAUAUUUUUGUUACAGUCACUUCUCAAUUGGAAGUUUAAUCUCAACAACAAAUAAGUAAUAUCAAAUGCAAAUGGACUACACAAUUUUCUAUCAAGAUGUGAUCUUUGCUGCCAUUUCAACAAAUGGACUAUGCAGGGUUAAAGAUGACUAGAACUUUAGUAGCCAUUCUGCUUUGAAGCAUGUAGAAUAACAUAGGGUAUGCAUUACAUGAAAAUAAUUAUAUAACAUAACAUAAGGCAUGUAGAAUAACAUAGAAUAUUGUCUUGGAGAUGGAGUCUUACUAGGUUGAAGUUGUGUCCAUGUUUAUAUUUUGAAUGGCGUUGGAAUCCCAUUGGCGUCGUUAGGGGCUUUGGGCUGCUGUUUGUUAUCGAUAUUAGGGCUCCCAUUGUUGCUGCUCUUUUGUUUAAUUUUGUUCAGGGUGCUCUCUGAAUUUUUAGCAGCCGUGGGGGUCCGUCCCCAGCUCUUUUUCCAGCAGUAGCUGCUGUUUUUGUGUUCAUGUGUGUUGUGAUCAGUUGUAGCCGACUUGGCGUUUGUACCCGAGUUAUAGUGUUUUGGUGCUCUACAGUACGUCUUGUGCGUGUAGUUGCAAGUUUUAAUAAAAUUUAACCAUUUAAAUAAAUAAAUAAAUAAUUUCAUGCUUGAGGAGCUUAUCAUAUCCGGUCUCACAAAAUCACAUGAUGACUAAAAUUACUCGAGAAUUAAAUCCACAAGUAUUGAUUGAUGUUCAAUAUAUAUAUAUAUAUAUAUGUUGUAGAACAAGGGACUUAACUACUCUUGCAACUUGUAGUUUCUAUUACUUUCAAUUUGUUGAAGAAAGAUCUUCUAGGUAUCAUUCAUAAUGUAGUAUGACUAGUCCAUAUAUAGACCAAAUAGGUAUGUACAUAAAAGUGAAGAUGUGGGUAUUGAACAUGGUAUGUCUUGAACAUAACAAUCAAGGACAUUGAUUAAACAAUAAUUAAGUUCUUUUCUCUAAAAUAAAUCUCUUCCACUUUGAAGAAAAACCUGUGUGGGUGAUUCAUAGGCCCUUGUCUCACACUAGACCCCAUAAAAUAGAAUCAAGUUAACAAUAGUUUUCAACUAUGCAAUUAUAGUCUUUAAUUUCAGGAACUUAAUCUGCUGGCAGUAUAAUCUCAAAACUUUGAAAGAGACUCUAAGUAAUAUCAUGUGAAUAUGUGAUCCCUUGGCUCUUAAUUACUAGAUCCUAUAAUAGAGUCCCUUCAAAAUUUAUUAAUUGUGUAUUUGGUUUGCAAAGGCCCUUAAAAUCUAAGAAUAUGGAAUCAUAGACAAACCAUAACCAGUGGUACGAAAGAAAGCUUUUGCUAGUAGAAUUAGGCUUGUGCCGUUCAUUUUCAAAAUUUCGUAAGUGCUUAGGUGAAGAGAGGAAUGAACAUUUUAACUAAUAAACCAAAAACACAGAGUAGAUGUUUGAGUAGCCGAAUUAAUUUUCAUUAAACAAAAAAUACAUACUGCAUAAACUUGUCAAUCUAAUGGUAAUUUCUUUUCCCAUCAUUGCAAUUUGAUUAGAUGCCUAGUAUACAAAAAUGUCUCUACUCUAGUCUACUAAACUACGUCAGUCUCUUUCCACGUGAAAUUUAUAGCCCAUUCAAGCGAGAAGUUAUGCGUUGGAAGACAUUUUCAGUGCAAGGAAUGGUGAGGCCACCUGUGGGAUGAUCAUAUCCAAACUCUUCCUCAGCUUGACUCAACAAAUAUUGAAACAAUGGUUGGUUUAAGUAUGAGAUAGGGAUCACAAACCGCUUUUGUUUAUCUCCAACAUACACUGCAACAUAGCCCUUUGGAACUUCUACAGAUUUUGAUGAUGCUUGUCUAGCAGUUACUGAUGCCCUUAGAGUAGCAUGUAAACGGAAACCCAUUUUUAGUUCUUGUUUGAGAGAAGAAGAAUAAAGAAAAAAUCUCAAAUGUAACUAAAUACUUGAGGAUGCCAAUGAAUUGUGUUGUUUGUGAAGGCAAGAGGAAGCGUAUUUAUAAUUAUUGAGGUUCUCUUGAAACUGAAACCCAAUUCCAAGCAAAAUAAUUUUUUGAAAGGGUAAAAUAAUAGAGAACAUAGGAUGAGAUAUAAUGUGGUGUUGUCUUAGAUUGUACCCUACCCUAUCAAACUAUCUCGAAUACAAAUGCAACCUCAUAUUUUUCAUGCAUUAAUUGGUAGCUACUCCAUAAUUUGUAAACAGGCUUAGGACAUGUUUUCUUCAUUAUGAUAAUGUUGAUGUCUAGCUGGUAAGUGAGAUAUAAGGCAGUGGAUAACAAUAGAUCAACAUAAACCAUUCUACAUGUUUGUUUUAUCUCAACUAGAUUAGAUUAGAUUGAUAUGCUGGCCUCUGCUCUCAACAAGGUGGGACUUGCAACAUCUGAUGGUGAUCCUUAAGAAAGUCCUGAGAAGACAACACCAUGUGAUUAUUCAUAUGCUUUUGUCUAACCACGACUCAAAUCUUAUGGCCCUCCUUCACUGAUCACAAUAGUUGCCGACUGUUUGUUACAUAUCCUUUCAUCUAUAUAUAUUCAUGCCUUCAAGCAGUUAGGACAAACACAAAAUCAUUCACAAUCCAAAACAUUUGAAAUUCAGAAACUCGAGUUUUCUAUAUUCAAAUAAGUUUUUCUUUUUUUCAAGAUCAAUCUUCUUCUUUUUUCAACACAUACGAAAAUGGGUUUUCGUUUACCAGGUAUCAUCAGAAGGACAUCGUCUUCAAAAGGCGUGGACAUGCCAAAGGGAUAUCUAGCAGUAUAUGUUGGAGAGGAAAUGAAACGUUUUGUGAUCCCUAUAUCAUACUUGAACCAACCAUCGUUCCAAGACUUGUUGAACCAAGCCGAGGAACAAUUCGAAUAUGAUCAUCCAAUGGGUGGUCUCACUAUUCCUUGCGGAGAAGACAUGUUCUUAGAUAUCACUUCUCGUUUGAGUAGGUGUUAACCUCUUUUGUAGAAGGAGCUGACAUAGAUUAUAUAACUUGAGGAAAUUGUACAUAAGACACUUUUUUUUUUAUUCUUUUCCAUUUUUGUAUUCCUUUGUAAGUCAAAGGUACAUGAAAAAGCAUUUGAGGGAGAUUGUAUGGAAAAAGAUUAUAGCUUGUUUUGGGCUUUGGCCAAUGUUCAAUGAAUAUAUGUUAUAAACUUAUUUGCCAAAAUUAUAAUACGAAGUGAAAGAUUUUAUUGCGUAUGCUCUUCAAUGUUAUUUUCCUUUGCAGUGCUUCACUUGAAAUUUUCCUUUGCAGGGCUUCACUUCUAAUAAACAGAGUAAUAUAUGUUACCGUAAUUUAGAGUCAAGGUGGAGAUUGUUGUGAAAGUGCCUCAAAAUUGAAGAAAUUGGAAUUCUGGAAGCUGAAUUUUCAGGGCAGGGUGGCCGAUUUUGACCUGUUUUAUUUGAGCUUCAGGUUCGGCAAAAAUCGGUGGCCGAUUUUGACAGCAGAAAAUAAAACAGAAAAUGUAUUUUCAGGCCACUAGGGUUUGUAUAGAGUUUGUCUCUUGGCAACAAACACUAGGGUUUGAGGGUUGAUUCAUCCUGAGAAACACUAUUAGGAUUGAGUCUAUUGGUUACGAUAAGAGAUUGAGGCUUUGGGUAUAAUUAGGCGGGAGACUUAUUUUUGUAACCUAAUAUCUCUUUUGUAAGGUUACUCAUCAUUAUAUUGAAACGAAGGGCUGCUCUUUCCCCAGACUAGGUCAAUUUGGACCAAACUGGGUCAACAAAUUCUUUUGUGUUCUCUCUUCCUUUCUCUCUCUCUCUCGUUGUUUUCUACUUUUGACUUGUGUUUAUAAUUGUUCCAUAAACUUUGUUUUGGUUGCUUGGUUAUUCAUUGCUCCACACAUCAAGUUUGUUAUUGGUGUGAUUUUUCAUCGAAUUCAGAACAGGGAUGAUUGACAACCUUGUUUGGAUGAUAUACCAUUAACACUUAAUUAAGAUAUCACGAGUUUUUUCAUGUCAAAAUAGAGGUUUUCAGCUUGAACUAUGUGAAUGCAACAACACUACAAAAAUUUAGAGAGAACUUUAAUUUGUUGGUAAUGACUAAUGAGUUCUAUUUGACUCGAGAGUUGAGAUACUCGAUUUAUAGAAAAAAAUGGAGAUGGUAAAGUAUGUGUCUAGUCAUAAGCUUAUAAAUUGAAAUUAGUAAUUUUUACUGAAAUUUUUUAACUAGUCGUUUCAAAACUAAAGAAAAACACUUUUGUUAUUAAAGAAUUUGACUAAAAAAAUGUAAAGUUAACAUUUUUAACUCAAUUUGACAGUUAUUAAUAUGUUUUACUAAACCAUGACUUUUGUUAUCUAAAUUCUUAUCCAAUAACGUUCUUCUCUGCAUAUUUAUUUUUUUCAAUAUAAUGAUCAUUAGCCAUGAUAGUUAAUUUUAACUUUCGUUUAAUCAAUUUUAUAUUUGAAAUAACUGAAUCUUCCAUUCUACCGCUGGAUAUUAUAAACUAAACAUUUAAAAAACAAUUUUCAUAUUGAUAUUUAAGGGAAAGAUAUAGAGAAAUACGGUAAUAGUGUUAAUAAAUUUCUCAUUCAGAUGAAGUUUAUACAUCCAAGUAUGAUCACUACAAAAGAGAAACUAAACUAAUGCAAAAAUUGGUCAUGCAUCUAUGUUAGUCUUGUCAUAUCCUCAGAGGGUUAACAGGUAUUCAAUUCAAGCAAGAAGUGAAUUCUAAGAAAAGGUCUUCUCUGCAAGGAAUAGUGAUGCCACCCAUUGGAUGGUCAUAUCCGAACUGUUCUUCAGAUUGGCUCAGCAAUUCUUGGAAUGAACUUUGGUUUAAGUAUGAUAUAGGGAUCACAAAUCGCUUCAUUUUCUCUCCUACGUACACUGCUAGAUAUCCUUUUGGUACGUCCACAGAUUUUGAAGAUGAUGACCUUUUGAUGAUACUAGGUAAACGAAAACCCAUUGUUGUACGUGUUAAAAAGAAUGGAUUGGUCUAAAAAAGAAAGAGUUGUAUAUAGAAGAGUCAAGUUUCUGAAUUUCAAAUGAGUUGGAAUGUGAAUGAUUUUUGUUGGUGCUAAAGGCUUGCAACCAUGGAUAUAUAUAGAUGAAAGGAUACUUAACAAACCGUCGGCAACUAUAAUGAUCAGUGAAGGAGGACCAUAGGAUUAGAGUCAUGUUUAGACAAGAUCAAAUGAAACAUCACAUGGUGUUUUCUUUAAGAGUUUUGAGGACUUUCUCAAAGAUCAACAUCAAAUGUUGUGGUAGAUAGAUAAUGCAAGUCCCACCUUGUUGAGCAGAGGCCAGCAUAGAGUUAAUGAACUUGAAUUGGUACUACUUACUGCAAAGAACAUGUCUGAAACAUGCUUACACAAUUAUGAAGUACUUCUUAAUGCAUGAACAAAUAAGUGGUUGCAGUUGAAAGGGUGGGGUACAAUCUUAAAACAACACCACAUGCUAUAUCAUCUUAUCCUUUAACUCUUUCAAACAAUAAUUUAGCUUGUAAUUGGGUUUCCAAAGAACCUCAAUAACUAUAAAUAUACUAACAAUUGCCUUUAGUUUAAGCACCACACAAUUCAUUGGCAUCCUAAAAUAUUAGUUACAUCCUUUGUUUAGAUCAAUCUCUCCGGGUUUUUCCCAACACAUACAAGAAUGGGUUUUCGUUUACCUGGUAUCCUAAGAAGGACAUCAUCUUCAAAAGGUGUCGAGGUUCCAAAGGGAUGUCUAGCAGUAUAUGUUGGAGAGGAAAUGAAACGGUUUGUGAUCCCAAUAUCAUACUUAAACCAACCAUUGUUUCAAGACUUGUUGAACCAAGCCGAGGAACAAUUUGAAUACGAUCAUCCAACGGGUGGUCUCACUAUUCCUUGUAGAGAAGACAUGUUCUUAGAUAUCACUUCUUGUUUGAGUAGGUGCUAAUCCCUUUGGUAGAAGGAGCUGACAUAGAUUAUGUAACUUAAUUUGUACAAAAGACACUUUUUUUUCUUUUCCAUUACAGUCUUCCUCCUGUGUAAGUUAAAAAGCAUUUGAGGCAGAUAGUUAAGGAGAAAGAUUAUAACUUGUUUGAGGCUUUAGGACAAUGCUCAAUUAAUAUAUGUUAUAAACUUAUUUGCCAAAAUUAUAAUACAAAGUCACCAAUUGUUUUUGCAUAUGCUCUUCAAAGUUAUUAUCCUAUGCAGUGCCUUUUUGUACUUUAUAUUGAAAAGUCAUACUAUAGUGAAAAGUCAGUGUAUAUUACAGUGGAGUAAAUAAAAAAAAUUGAAGAUCUAUAUAUAUAUAUGCGGAUCAUUACAAUUACAUAUAUUAAGUUUAAAAUUGAAAAAUCAUAUGCAACAAACAAAUAAUUUGAGGCAAAAUAAUAGAAUUCCAAAUACUAUAUUGAUAUAAUUGAGUAAAUCAUCCAAGGAUGGAUAAUGGAGAGAAACUCUUUUGAAGGUGAGAAACUAAACUGCUACAAAAAAUGUGUCAAAUAUCUACGUCAGUCCUAUGAUAUCUUCAAAGAGCUAAUUCAAUUUAAGUGAGAGGUGAUAUCUAAGAAAAUGUCUUCUCUGCAAGGAAUAGUUAGACCACCCAUUGGAUGAUCAUAUUCAAAUUGUUCCUCAGCUUGGUUCAACAAUUCUUGGAAGAAAUUAUCCCAUAUGGAAGAAAUUUAGAGCACCUCAGUUAGAUAAAAGGGAAAGGAAUUACCACCAAAUUAACAUGGAAGAAUAAGGAAAAAGAAUAUGAUUCAAAGAACAAGUGUGUACUAUUCAAGCGAUUUUGAUAUCACCUUUGAAGUGUUAUUUGGAGCAACAUGCAGAUCAGAUGACCCAGACGAUUAUAACUAUUUUAGGCAUUAACAGACUGAAAUUAAAAUUUUGUUAGAGAGCACUUGUAGUGAAAUCUUAACAUUAGACAAUUUCUUUUCAAGAGAGAUUUUUUUUUUUUUUUUUUUCAUUUAAUGAUCGUCUAGAGAUUCUAUACUGAAAAUUUAUCUUAUUGGAGCCAUUGACUAUCAAAAAGAUCGUUGAGGGGAAAAUUUAAGAAGAUAUAUUCAUAAAUUCCUCAUUCAGAUGAACUUGUCUACAAAAACGGUUGAUAAAAACAAAAGAGAAUAUUUCCAUGAUAAGAUCAACUGUUACAAAAUUUGGUCAACUAUCUAUGUCAAUCUAAUCUGAGUUAUCUUCAUAAGAUGUUAGCACCUACUCAAGCGAGAAGUGAUAUCUACGAAAAAAUCUUCUUCACAAGGAAUAGUAAGACCACCCAUUGGAUGGUCAUAUCCAAAUUCUUCCACAGCUUGGCUCAGCAAGUCUUGAAAUGAAGUUUGAUUCAAAUAUGACAUUGGAAUCACAAACCGCUUCAUCUUCUCUCCUACAUAAACGGCAAGAUAUCCUUUUGGCACAUCCAAGCCUUUUGAAGAUGAUGACCUUUUGAUACCUGGUAAAUGAAAACCCAUUCUUGUAUGUCUAGAAAAAAAAAUAACUGCACUAGAAAAUACUAGUACAAGACUCAAGUUUCUGAAUUUCAAAUGGCUAACAAUGUGAGUGAUUCGUGUUUGUUCGAAAUGUUUUGCAGUCAUGAAUAUAUAUAUAUAUAGAUGAAAGGAUACAUAACAAGUCUUCGGCAAUUGUAAUGAUCAUUGAAUGAGGGCCAUAAGAAAUGAUUCAUGGCCAGACAAGGGCAUAUGAAAGAUCACAUGGUGUUGUCUUCGAGACUCUCUCAAGGUUCAACAUCAAAUAUGUUUUAGUAGAUAAUACAGGCUUCACCUCUAUGAGCAAAGGCCAACAAAGCAUAUCAAUCGACAUGAGAUAAAAAAAACAUAUCGAGUGAUUUAUGUUGAUCUAUUGUUAUCCAUUGCCUUAUAGUCACUUAUCAGCUGGACAUCAACAUUAUCAUAAUGAAGAAAACAUGUCUGAAGCAUGUUUACAAAAUUAUUGACGCUAAUUAAAUCAUGAACAAAUAUGAGGCUAUACUUGAUCACAUCUUAUUUUUUAGCAAGUGGAAGCUUUGUAUUGGACAUUGUUUAGGAAAGGUAGGGGACACUCUAAGACAACACCACAUGCUACAUUAUCCCUAUGAUCUCUAUCCUUCCACCCCUUCAAUAAUAGUUUUUCUAGGAAUUGGGUUUUGAGAUAACUUCAAACUCUAUAAAUACACUUCCUCUCUCCUUCACAAACAGCACAAUUCAUUGCAUCAUCAAAUACUUAAUUACAUCCAUCUUACAUUUGAUCAUUUUUCACUGUUCUUCACUCGAACAAUAAGAAAAAUGGGUUUCCGUUUACACACUAUUCUAAAGGGUUCAGUAACAGCUAGACAAACAACAUCAAAAUCAGUAGAAGUGAAAAAGGGCUAUGUUUCCGUGUAUGUUGGAGAGAAAUUGGCGCGGUUUGUAGUUCCUGUAUCAUACUUGAACCAACCUUCAUUUCAAGACUUGUUGAGUCAAGCCGAGGAAGAGUUUGGAUAUGAUCAUCCAAUGGGUGGCCUCACCAUUCCUUGCACCGAAGAUGUCUUCCAACACAUAACUUCUUGCUUGAAUGGACUAUGAAUCUUAUACUAUACGCUAGAUUAGUUGAGACAUUUUUCAAAUAGGAAUUUAUUUGACUUGUGAAGUUGUAAAUAUAUGACACUUUUCAUGAGAAAUGGAGAAAUAUUACCAUCUGAAUAUCAAAUUCAAAAAUAUACUGUCCUCUUUUUCCUUGUUUAAUAACACUGAGCUCCGUUAUUUUAUAAAGAAUAACUCUGCUUAUUUAAAUAUUAAAUCCUAUCACAAUUUAUAGUUUAUUCUUAAAGUUUAAGUCUAUUCAAAUGAUAUGAUCCAUUACAUUUAUUUCUCUAAUACUAGCAAAAUUAAUGUCAUUUUAAAAUCCAGAUUAACCUUUUUAUGUAACAAACACGUUUUGCUAAUUCCAGGUAGCUAACUAAAAUUCUUGAACUAAAUCGAUAACUACUGAUUAUUUAGCCAGUUUAACAAGGCUUGUUCUAUGUCUUCAGAAAUUGCCUUUGUGCCCAUUUAUUAUAUACUAGCUUGAGCUAGCUUGGUUGAAUUUUUUACUAAUACUCAAAUACGAAAAGUUUAACAUCAUUAUUUUAACUAAUCUUAUAUCCUAAGUAGAAAUUAACUAGCUCCUAGACUUCAACUUUUCUCAACUUUCCCGCUAACUAAUGAUUUUAAAUCCUAUCGGUAAUUAGAAGAAAAUUCAAACUGGCCUGCUGGUAGGACUUGUCAAAGUCUUUCACUAGUAGUUUUUUUCCCAGACAUUCCAAAACAGAAAAAUCGCAAAUUUUGUUGUUACAGUUGAAUGUUUAUCUAUAGGGACUGAGGAACAGUUACUCUAUACCCUUCUAAUGUUUGGCAUUGUCCCAAAUGAACUCAAUUAUACAGAAUCUGUAAUAGAUCUAAACAAAGAAAAAAAACUAGCAGAUGGUAAAAUAUGUGGCUAGUCCCAUGUUCAUAAAUUGAAAUUACACAUUUUUUACAGCAAAAUAGAAAUUAGUCGCUCUUUUUUUAGAGCAAAAAUGUAACUAGUAAUUUCAAAGCAAAAGAAAAACAACUUUGUCAUUAAAGAAUUUGAUUAUAAAUUGUAAAGUUGACUAUUUUUAACUUAAUUUUGUUAUUAAGAAAAUAACAAUUCGUCACCUGAGAGAUUCGAACUCUCGCGGGGAAACCCCAUGUACUUAGCAGGCACACGCCUUAACCACUCGGCCAAAGUGACUUGUUGCUAGAGCAAUUUUUAUCCAAUAAUUAUGUGCUUCUCUGCAGAUUGUUUUUUUUUUUUUUUUGCAAUAAAUACAAUCUAUGAUCGUUAAAUCAUUUUUUUUAUGGAUGAUUGUUAAAUCAUGAUAGUUACUAACUUUUAUUUUUUUAAUUUAUUUUUGCAAAACGGGGGAUUGAUUUUAUAUUUGAAUAACUGAAUCUUUCAUUAUUGUGGAGAAAUAUAGAGAAAAUAUUGUUAAUAAAUUUCUCAUUGAGAUGAACAUUUUUACAACCAAGUAUGAUAACAACAAAAGAUUAAAUCUUUUGAAUGUGAGAAACUAAACUGCUACAAAAAUGGGUCAAAUAUCUACAUUAGUCCAAUGAUAUCUUCAAAGAGCUAAUUCAAUUCAAGUGAGAAAUGAUAUCUAAGAAAAUCUCUUCUCUGCAAGGAAUAGUGAGACCACCCAUUGGAUGGUCAUAUUCAAAUUGUUCCUCAGCUUGGUUCAACAAUUCUUGGAAUGAGGUUUGGUUCAAGUAUGAUACAGGAAUCACAAACCGCUUCAUUUUCUCUCCUACGUACACUGCUAGAUACCCCUUUGGCACCUCCAAACCUUUUGAAGAUGAUGCCUUUGAUCUGAUGAUACUUGGUAAACGAAAACCCAUUGUUGUAUGUAUGUGUUGAAAAUAAAGACUUGUUUGUAAAUAGAAUGCUCAAGUUUCUGAAUUUCAAAUGCUUUUGGUUGUGAAUGGUUGUGUGUUGGUCCAAAAUGCUUGUAUAUAUAGACGAAUGAAAGGAUAUGUAACAAACAGUCGGCAACUUGCAGGAGAGCCACGAGAUGGAUUAGAGUCAUGAAAACUAUGGGAGACAAGUCCAUAUGAAAGAUCACAUGGUUUUGUUUUGGAGGACUUACACAUGGGUCAACAUCAAACUAAUUUCAUGGUAGAUAAUGCACCCCCUUCAAAUAAUGCAGAUUAGUCUAUCCGUUCGUUAGGUCGAUACUAGCUGGACAUCAGCACUUUGAUAAUGAAGAAAACAUGUCUGAAACAUGUUUACAAAAUUAUGAAGUGAUAGUUAAUGCAUGAACAAAUAUGAGGUUGAAUUUGAAAGGGUGGUGUACAAUCUUUAGACAACCCACAUGCUAUAUCAUCUUAUCCUUUAAUUCUUUCAAACAAUAAUUUAUCUUGGAAUUAGGUUUGCAAAGAAUAUUAGUAACUAUAAAUAUACUUACAAAUAGGCAUCAAACACAACACAAGUCAUUGGUAUCCUAAAGUAUUAGUUAGAUUCUUCUAAAUUUUUGUGAUCUUUGCUUUCUUGAGUUUGUUCUUCACCUUCAAACAAUCACCAAAAAUGGGUUUCCGCUUAAAUGUUAUUCGACAGGCAUCAUUUGCGACUAGCCAAGCAGCAUCAAAAUCAGCAGGAGUUCCAAAGGGCUAUGUUGCAGUAUAUGUCGGAGAGAAACAGACGCGGUUUGUGAUCCCAAUAUCAUACUUAAACCAACCAUUGUUUCAAGAAUUGCUACAUCAAGCGGAAGAAGAAUUUGGAUAUGAUCAUCCCAUGGGUGGACUCACCAUUCCUUGCACUGAAGAUGUCUUUCAACACAUAACUUCUUGCUUGAAUGAGCCAUAAAUCUGACACUUUAGCAUACUGACAGAUUAUAGAGAAAUUUUGUACCAUACAAAUUUUUUAACUUGUAAAAAUUAUACCUUUUUAUUGGAAACAUCGAAAAAUACUUAUCUGAAUUAAAAGAAAAACAACUUUCAUAUUUCCUUCUUGUGUAAUGACAAUAAGAUCAGUUACUUUAUCAAUUACAAUUUCAGCACUCCGCAAUUUGAACAUCACAAAAAAAAAAGAGCUAUCUGCUUGCCUAAGGAAAAAUGUAGACUUGUAUGUCCUCAAAUUUGACAGUAAAAAUAAUAUGAACAGUCAGUGCAGAGCUAAACUUAUUUUUCAGAACCAAACAUAAGUUGUAUCCACAGAACAAAAUCAGUUUUGCUAAUUCAAUUAGCUAACGGGGAAAGGACCUACCAUCAAAUGUACAUGAAAGAAUAAGGGAAAAAAAUAUGAUUCAAAGAACAAGUGUGUGCUACUCAUGCGACUUUGAUAACGCCUAUUAAGAGUUAUUUGGAAUAACAUGCACAUCAGAUGAUCCAGACGAUUAUAACUUUUUUAGGCAUUAACAGAGUGAAAUUAAAAUAUUGUUAGAGUGCACUUGUAGUGAAAUGUUAACAUUGGACAAUUUCUUUUCAAGAGAGAAAUAAUUGUUUUCAUUUAAUGACCGUCUUACGAUUCUAUAUUGAACAAUUGUCAUACUGGAGCCUUUGAUUAUCAAAAAGAUUGUUGAGGGAAUAAUUUAAGAAGAUAUAUUCAUAAAUUCCUCAUUCAGAUGAACUUGUCUACAAAAACGGUUGAUAAAAACAAAAGAGAAUAUUUCCAUGAUAAGAUCUACUGUUACAAAAAUUUGGUCAACUAUCUAUGUCAAUCUAAUCUGAGUUAUCUUCAUAAGAUGUUAGCACCUACUCAAGCGAGAAGUGAUAUCUAAGAAAAGAUCUUCUUCACAAGGAAUUGUAAGACCACCCAUUGGAUGGUCAUAUCCAAAUUCUUCGACAGCCUGGCUGAGCAACUCUUGAAGUGAAGUUUGAUUCAAAUAUGACAUUGGAAUUACAAACCGCUUCAUUUUUACUCCUACGUACACCGCAAGGUAUCCCUUUGGCAUAUCCAAGCCUUUUGAAGAUGAUGCCCUUCUGAUACCAGGUAAAUGAAAACCCAUUCUUGUAUGUCUAGAAAAAAAAAUUAUUGCUCUAGAAAAUACUAGUAAACAAUACUCAAGUUUCUGAAUUUCAAAUUGCUAAGAAUGUGAGAGAUUUGUGUUGGUUCGAAAUGUUUAGCAGUCAUGAAUAUAUAUAGCUGAAAGGAUACAUAACAAGUCGUCGGAAAUUGUAAUAAUCAAUGAAGGAGGGCCAUAAGAUAUGAGUCAUGCCCAGACAAGGGCAUAUGAAAGAUCACAUGGAGUUGUCUUAGAGACUUCAAGCGUUAUGGUAGCUAGAUAAUGCAUAAUUCUUGAGAAGAAGCAUCAUAUAAUUGAUAGACUUGUAAGUAGAACCACAAACAUGUAGAAUGGUUUCUGUUGAUCUAUUGUUAUCUAUGGCCUUAUAGUCACUUACUAGCUGGACAUCAGCAUUGUCAUAAUGAAGAAAACAUGUCUUCAGCAUGUUUAUAAAAUUAUGAAGGACAUCUCAUUUGGUAGGAAGUGGAAGCUUUGUAUUGGACAUUGUUUAAGAAGGUAGGGUACACUCUAAGACAGCACCACAUGCUACCUUAUCACUAUGCUCUCUAUCCUUCCACCCCUUCAAUAAUAGUUUUUCUAGGAAUUGGGUUUUGAGAUAACUUCAAACUCUAUAAAUACACUUCCUCUCUCCUUCACAAACAGCACAACUCAUUAGCAUCAUCAAUUACUUAGUUACAUCCUUCUUACUUUUGAUAUUUUUUUCUCUGUUCUUCUCUCGAACAAUAAGAAAAAUGGGUUUCCGUUUACAUACUAUUCUAAAGGGUUCAGUAAAAUCAAAAUCUAUAGAAGUGAGAAAGGGCUAUGUUGCAGUGUAUGUUGGAGAGAAACUGACGCGUUUUGUCGUUCCUGUGUCAUAUUUGAACCAACCUUCAUUUCAAGACUUGUUGAAUCAGGCUGAGGAAGAGUUUGGAUAUGAUCAUCCAACGGGUGGCCUCACCAUUCCAUGCUCCGAAGAUGUGUUCCAACAUAUAACUUCUUGCUUCAAUGGACUAUGAAUCUUAUACUAUACGCUAGAUUAGUUGAGACAUUUUUCAAAUAGGUGUUUAUUUGACUUGUGAAUUAGUUGUAAAUAUAUGACACUUUUCAUGAGAAAUGGAGAAAUAUUACCAUCUGAAUAUCAAAUUCAAAAAUAUACUGUUCUCUUUAUCCUUGUUUAAUUUACAGUGAGCUUAGUUAUUUUAUCAGUUACAACUUUCACCGGUUUUAGUUAGUUCUUUAGUAUAAGCCUGCUUAUAAAGAAUAACUAUACUUCUUUAAAAAUUAAAUCCUAUCACUAGUUUGUUCUUAAAGUUUAAGUAUGUUCAAAUGAUAUGAUCUAUUACAUUUAUUUCUCUAAUACUAGCAAAAUUAAUGUCAUUUUAAAAUCCAGAUUAACCUUUUUAUGUAACAAACACGUUUUGCUAAUUCCAGGUAGCUAACUAAAAUUCUUGAACUAAAUCAAUAACUAUUGAUUAUUUAGCCAGUUUAACAAGGCUUGUCCUAUGUCUUCAGAAAUUGCCUUUGCGCCCAUUUAUUAUAUACUAGGAGCUAGUUUGGUUGAAUUUUUCACAAAUACUCAAAAACGAAAAGUUGAACAUGAUAAUUUUAAGGCUUAAUUACUCAUUUGGUCCCUUAACUUAUUUUUUGGUUUCGUUUUGGUCCCUUAACUUACUUUUUGGUUUCGUUUUGGUCCCUUAACUAUUAAAAGUUUCGUUUUGAUCCCUUAACUUAUUUUUAGGUUUUGUUUUGGUCCCUUAACUCUUCCUUCGUCAACCACUUUGAUCUUUUAUGCUAGGAUGAAUGUAUUAGAGUUAAGGGACCAAAACGAAACCAAAAAAUAAGUUAAGGGACCAAAACGAAACCAAAAAAUAAGUUAAGGGAUCAAAACAAAACUUUUAAUAGUUAAGGGACCAAAACGAAACUAAAAAAUAAGUUAAAGGACCAAAACGAAACUUUUAAUAGUUAAGGGACCAAAAUAAAACCAAAAAAUAAGUUUAACUAACCUUAUCUCCUAAGUAGAAAUUAACUCCUAGACUUCAAUUUUUUUCCAAAGCUCUGUCACACUGUUUAUUAAUAAACACCUUUAAACUUAUAACUUUUUUCUCAACUUACACGCUAAUUAAUGAUUUAAAAGCUAUCAGUAAUUAGAAGUAAACUCAAACUGGCCUGCUGGAAGGACUUGUCAAAGUCUUUCACUAGUAAUUUUUUUCCCACACAUUCCAAAACAGAAAAAUCGCAAAUUUUUGUUGUUACAGUUGAAUGUUUAUCUAUAGGGACUGAGGAACAGUUACUCUAUAACCUUCUAAUGUUUGGCAUUGUCACAAGUGAACUCAAUUAUACAGAAUCUGUAAUAGAUCUUUACAAUAGUAGUUUUGACUCAAGUUUACAUUUGUAUUUUUAAGGUAUGAAUGGAAUGAUGCUCGUAUACAACAGUAGUUUUUACUAUAAUGUAUUUCAAGUGUUAGGAAACAUGAUAUCCAAUGAAGGAAUGAGAGAAAACUAAGAGAAUCUUUCUAUUGAUGAUAAAAGUGAAUAUUACAAAUGAUCAAAGGUUCCUUCUAAUGAGGUGAUUACAACUAUAUACACUACUACAUGACUAAUACUAACUAGUAUCUAACCUAUAUCUCUAAUACCAAGUACUGAUAACAUUAAUUAGGAUAUCAUAUAUAUAAAUUUUCUCUACAUUCUGUCUAUGAUCUAAAUGAACUCAAAAACAAUCUGCAUAAGGCUUAACCAUAUUAACCGAACCAAACUGAACCGAAGUGUUGAAAUGGUUCGGAAUAACCGAACCGAACCAUUUAAGGUUUGAAACUAACCGAACUGAACCAAAGUUAUGGUUCGGUUAACCGUUUGCUUGCCUAUUAACCGAACCGAACCAAAACCAAAAUUUUGAACCGAAAUGUAUUUUUUACCCUUUUGCGAAUUUAAUUGUGUUUUUUUUUUUCCUUUUUAAAUUUAAUUGCCAAUGACCGUACCAAUUCGAUGCUCUAAAUAACAAAUUUUUGAGAUUCAUUCUGUAAAAAAAAAAAAACUCGGAUCUAAUUAUGUGGUUGAUCCUAAGGAAAAUAUGCAUAAGCAACAGUAUGGUUUAUAAGGAGAAUUUGAGGCUUAUUGCUGUCAGUUUGGAAGUUACUGCUAAUGCAAAUGAGAACAUAAAGAGUCCUUUGAGGCAACUAAUAUUGUAGGCCACAUAUGAUGUAUCUUUAAAUUUGCUGGUAUGCAGUGACAUCUGAUUUAAAUUUGCAUGAAUCAACAGGCAAAUGUCUCUUAGUGAAUCGGUUAUUUAGUAAUUAUGUGACAAUGAGUAGACCAUUUAUUGAUUAACCUUAACAAAGUUUACUUCAACAAUGCCGCUACAAUCUCAACCUGAUCAAGAAGCUUAUAAGUUUAGAGUUAAAAUUAUAAUCAAAAUCUAUUUUGAAUAAGCUGUUUAACAUAAAAUAAGCUGUUUUGAAUAAGUUUUUUUUUUAAAUGAGUUGUUUUGAAUAAUCUGUUUUUUAAAAUAAGCUAUUUGGAAUAAGCUGUUUUUAAAAUAAGCUGUUUUAAUAAGUUAUUUUUUAAAAUAAGCUAUUUUCAUAAAAUAAGUUGUAUUGAAUAAGCUGUUUUUUAGAAUAAGUUAUUUUGCAUAAAAUAAGUUGUUUUCAAAAUAAGCUGUUUUGAGUAGGUUUUUUUUUAUUUUUAAAUAAGCUGUUUUCAUAAAAUAAGUUGUUUUGCAUAAAAUUAGCUGUUUUGAAUAAGCUAUUUUUAAAAAUAAGAUGUUUUGUAUAAAAUAAGCUGUUUUAAAUAAGUUGUUUUUUUAAAUAAGUUGAUUUGCAAAAAAAUAAGUUGUUUUGAAUAAGCGGUUUUUAAAAAGAUAUUGUAAUAAGUUGUUUUGCAUAAAAUAAGUUGUUUUGAAUUAGUUGUUUUUUAACAAGAGAUCGUUAUAAGUUGUUUUGCAUAAGACAAAUUGUUUUGAAUAUGUUGUUUUUAAAAAGAGAUCACUAAGUUGUUUUGCAUAAAUAGAUAUGGUUAAUGGUUCGAUUCGGUUAACCAAAGUUAUUAAAGGUUCAGUUCGGUUAGUGAAUUGCUGUCAAAAUAAUGGUUCAGUUCGAGAACUUUCGAAAUGGUUCAAUUAAUUUUGAUAUAGUUCAGUUCGGUUAACCGGUUCAAUAUGGUUUUUGGUUAUUUUUUCCCACACCUACCUGAGAGGAAUGUUGAAAAAUUGAGUAACUUUAAACUCGGCCAUAGAGGAUGUUUCUGUCAUCAAGUUCUGAGAAAAACUCAGAUGAAUUUCUACCAGAACACAGUGUUUCAUACUAUCUAUGCUUGUGUGUUUGUCCUGAAAGGCUCUGUUGUUUCUUUCAAUCCAAAUUAUCCAAACAAUAUACAGGACUGCAGACAGCAUCACUUUCCGCAACAGAGAGCUACUCAUACUCAAACAGCUAGUGAUUAGAGCCAACCAGCUUGACUUAUCAAUCUGCUGACCAGUACCAGAGCUAAGCCAAUCCCACAACACCAUAGUAACCGGGCAAGAUAAGAAAAUAUGAUGAGAAGAUUCCGCCUGAAUGUGACAGAAACAGCAGAUAGAGACAAUGCAACACCCUCUUUUACGCAACGUGUCAUCAGUGGGAAACUUAUUGUGAGCAAAUCUCCAAAGAAUAAAAGAUCUGGAAGGGGGAGGAUACUUAUUUCAAAUAGCUGGGCACCUCGGAAAUCUCUAAAAAGUCCCUUUCAAAUGACCAAAAGCUAAUUUAUUGGUCAAAUUCCCAUCAAUAGAGUUGUUCCUAUUGAGUGUAUCAGCAACUGGGUCAAUAGGCAGAGUGAUACCAUAUAUUUGCUGGACUAAAGAGACAGGGGCCAAUGCUUGUACAAGAGAGGGGUAGCUAUGGCUACCCCAAAAAAAUAAAUUUUAUUGAGUUAGUAGGUAUAUUUUUAUGUUUAGCUACCCCUAAUAAUAUAUAUUUGGCUACCCCAAGUUCGAUUUUAGGUGUAAUAAUUUUUUAUGACUUUGGUUACUUUCGGGUGGCCACCUCAUAAAAUUAUUGCUAGCUUCGCCUCUGUAAAGAGACAUCCUUUAUUAUGCAGGAAAUAUUCAGGAAUUUGCCACUGGCCCUCUAUCACAAAAUCAGCAACUUUCAUUAAGUAGAGGUUGAGUUCGAACUAUGGUCAAGCAACAACUUUAAAAAAAUAUAGGGAGAGUUUUCUUGUCUGUGGUUUUAUUUGACUCCAGAGUCGAGAUACUCGAUUUAUUAAAAACAAAUUAGGAGAUUUUUAAAUACUUGACAUAGAUUGAAAAAGGAUAUUAGCUACAGCCUGCGGCUCAAAGAACUGGGCUGAAUGGUGUCUUACCUUUUUACUACCCUGUGUUGUGGGCUUAAGUGGAAAAAUUAGAGAAAGUGGAUUUGCACCCUUGAUUUAAUCGGAUAUCUGUGUUUUGAUUGACUGUGUGACUGCGCCAUUUUUUUUACUGCAGUGAAUCACAAUCUAGAUUCUAAAUUGAACAUAUGCUUUGAUUUUCAGAUUUAUAUUUAAUGGGAAAUACACAGUAACACAAUAAUAAUGUUAAUAAAUUUGUCAUUGAGAUGAACUUUUUACAACCAAGUAUGAUAACAAUAAUAAUGUUAAUAAAUUUGUCAUUCAAAAGAGAAACUCUUUUCAAGGUGAGAAACUAUACUACUACAAAAUUGGGUCAAAUAUCUACGUCAAUACUAUGCUAACUUCAAAGAUUUGAUUCAAUUCAAGCGAGAAGUGAUAUCUAAGAAUACUUCUUCUCUGCAAGGAAUAGUGAGACCACCCAUUGGAUGAUCAUAUUCAUAUUGUUCUUCAGCUUGGUUCAACAAUUCUUGGAACGAGGUUUGGUUCAAGUAUGAUAUUGGGAUCACAAACCGCUUCAUUUUCUCUCCUACAUACACUGCUAGAUAUCCUUUUGGCACGUCAACAGCUUUUGAAGAUGAUACCCUUGAUCUGAUGAUACUUGGUAAACGAAAACCCAUUGUUGUAUGAAUUAAAAAGAGAAGAUUGGUCUAAAAAAAAGAGUUGUGUAUAGAAGACUCAAGUUUCUGAACUUCAAAUGCCUUGGGAGGUGAAUGAUUUUUUGUUGGUGCUAAAUGCUUUUGCAGCCUUUAAUAUAUAUAGAUGAAAGGAUAUGUAACAAACAGUCGGCAGCUACAAUGAUCAAUGAAGGAGGGCCAUGAGGUUUGAGCUAUGGCCAGACAAGAGCAUAUGAAAGAUCACAUGGUGUUGUCUCUAGAUGAAUGGAUAAACUUCAAGUGUUGUAGUAGAUAGAUAAUGCAUAAUUCUUGAGCAUAAGCAUCAUAUAAUUGAUAGACUUGAAAGUAAAGCCACAAACAUAUAGAAUGGUUUAUGUUGUUAUAUUGUUAUCUAUGGCAUUAUAGUCACUUACUAGCUGGACAUCAGCAUUAUCAUAAUGCAGAAAACAUGUCUAAAGCAUGUUUACAAAAUUAUGAAGUACACCAAUUAAAUCAUGAAGAAAUAUGAGGCUGACAUCUCAUUUGGUAGCAAGUGGAAGCUUUGUAUUGGACAUUUGUUUAAGAAGGUAGGGUACACUCUUAGACAACACCACAUGAGACCUUAUCCCUAUGCUCUCUAUCCAUCAAACCCUUCAAUAAUAGUUUCUCUUGAAAUUUGGUUCUGAGAGAACUUCAAAAUCUAUAAAUACACUUCCUCUCUCCUUCAUAAAGCACAACUCAUUGGCAUCAUCAAGUAUUUAGUUAAAACUUACAUCCUUCUUACAUUUGAGAUUUUUUAUUUGUUCUUCUCUCAAACAAUAACAAAAAAUGGGUUUUCGUUUAAACUCUAUUCUAAGAGGAUCGGUAACAGCUAGACAAGCAACAUCAAAAUCUGUAGAAGUGAGAAAGGGCUAUGUUGCGGUGUAUGUUGGAGAGAAACUGGUGCGGUUUGUAGUCCCUGUAUCAUACUUGAAUCAACCUUCAUUUCAAGACUUGUUGAGUCAAUCCGAGGAAGAAUUUGGAUAUGAUCAUCCCAUGGGUGGCCUCACCAUUCCUUGUACAGAAGAUGUCUUCCAGCAUAUAAUUUCUUCCUUGAAUGGACUAUGAAUCUUACACUGUAGCAUACUCACAUAGACUAGAUUAAUUGAGACAAUUUUCAUUAUAGGCAUCAUUUUUACUUGUAAAUAUUACCCUUUUCAUGGGAAAUGGAGAAAAAAAUACUAUUUGAAUUACAAAUUCAAAAAAUUACUGUCCUCUUUUUUAUUGUUUAAUGACAUUGAGCUCAUUUACUUUAUCAGUUACAACUUUCACUAGCUAUAGUUAGUUCUUUAAAUAUCAGCCUGCUUAUGAAGAAUACAUAACUUGGCUGAUUUAAAAAAAA